CACUUCGGAUACUGAGGUUUCUGGACUUGAAAAAAAAAAUAUAGGACGUAUCACGCAAAUAAUUGGUCCGGUACUCGAUGUAGUUUUUCCACCAGGGAAGAUGCCUAAUAUUUACAACGCUCUGAUAGUUCAAGGUCGAGAUACUGUUGGCCAAGAAAUUAACGUAACUUGUGAAGUACAGCAAUUAUUAGGAAAUAAUAGAGUUAGAGCUGUAGCUAUCAGUGCUACAGAUGGUCUAAAGAGAGGAAUGGUUGUGAUUAACACGGGAGCUCCCCUAAGUGUUCCAGUCGGCGGAGCAACCCUAGGUCGAAUUUUCAACGUGCUUGGAGAGCCUAUUGAUAAUUUAGGUCCUGUAGAUACUGGGACAACCUCUCCUAUUCAUAGAUCCGCGCCUGCCUUUAUACAGUUAGAUACAAAAUUAUCCAUUUUUGAAACAGGAAUUAAAGUUGUAGAUCUUUUAGCUCCUUAUCGCCGUGGCGGAAAAAUAGGACUUUUCGGUGGAGCUGGGGUAGGUAAAACAGUACUGAUUAUGGAAUUGAUCAAUAACAUUGCCAAAGCUCAUGGAGGUGUAUCCGUAUUUGGCGGAGUAGGUGAGCUUACUCGUGAGGGAAAUGAUCUUUAUAUGGAAAUGAAAGAAUCCGGAGUAAUUAAUGAAAAAAAUAUUGCGGAAUCAAAAGUAGCUCUAGUCUACGGGCAAAUGAAUGAACCGCCCGGAGCUCGUAUGAGAGUUGGUUUAACUGCCCUAACUAUGGCAGAAUAUUUCCGAGAUGUCAAUGAACAGGACGUCCUUCUAUUUAUCGACAAUAUCUUCCGUUUUGUCCAAGCCGGAUCCGAAGUAUCUGCCCUAUUGGGCCGAAUGCCUUCCGCUGUGGGUUAUCAACCCACCCUGGGUACUGAAAUGGGUACUUUACAAGAACGAAUUACUUCUACCAAAGAAGGGUCUAUAACUUCUAUUCAAGCAGUUUAUGUACCUGCAGACGAUUUGACCGAUCCUGCUCCUGCCACGACAUUUGCACAUUUGGAUGCUACUACUGUACUAUCAAGAGGAUUAGCUUCCAAAGGUAUCUAUCCAGCAGUCGAUCCUUUAGAUUCAACGUCAACCAUGCUCCAACCUCGGAUCGUUGGUGAAGAACAUUAUGAAACUGCGCAAAGGGUUAAACAAACGUUACAACGUUACAAAGAACUUCAGGACAUUAUAGCUAUUCUUGGGUUGGACGAAUUAUCCGAAGAGGAUCGUUUAACCGUAGCAAGAGCACGAAAAAUUGAACGUUUCUUAUCCCAACCUUUUUUCGUAGCAGAAGUAUUUACAGGUUCCCCAGGGAAAUAUGUUGGUCUAGCAGAAACAAUUAGAGGGUUUAAAUUGAUUCUUUCUGGAGAAUUAGAUAGUCUUCCUGAACAAGCCUUUUAUUUGGUGGGUAAUAUCGAUGAAGCUACUGCGAAGGCUGCGAACUUGUAAAUGGAGAACAAAUUCAAGAAAUGACUUUAAAUCUUUGUGUACUGACCCCCAAUCGAACUGUUUGGGAUUCAGAAGUGAAGGAAAUUAUUUUAUCUACUAAUAGUGGACAAAUUGGGGUAUUAAAAAAUCAUGCGCCUAUUGCCACAGCUUUAGAUAUAGGUAUUUUGAAAAUACGCCUUAACAAUAACAACCGACAAUGGGUAACGAUGGCUCUGAUGGGCGGUUUUGCUAGAAUAGGAAAUAAUGAGAUCACUAUUUUAGUAAAUGAUGCGGAAAAGAGUAUUGACAUUGAUCCACAAGAAGCACAACAAACUCUAAAAAUAGCAGAAGCUAACUUGAAUAAGGCUGAAGGGAAAAGACAAAAAAUUGAGGCAAAUCUAGCUCUCCGACGAGCUAGGACACGAGUAGAGGCUAUCAAUAGGAUCUCGUAACAAGUUGGUUCAGCAAAAUAAUUAAAAAUAGAAAAAGAUAGAAAAUUACAAUAAAAAAAGAUGAGUAGAAAAACUUAUUAGAUACCGGAAUCAAUGGUAUCUAAUACGUUCUAUCUAUACCUUACCUACUAUUGGAUUUGAACCAAUGACUCCUGCCGUAUGAAAGCAAUACUCUAACCACUGAGUUAAGUAGGUCGUUUAUCAUCCUAAAUAAAAAAAGUACCCAUCUAUCAGAUCAAUGGAUUAUAAAUGUUAUAUUACUUAUAAACAAUACCAACGCACUAUCAAUCAAAGAGAUUCGAUCAUGUAAUAUUAAUCUUGACAAGAAUUUAUUUAUCGAAUAAAAUAUGUAUCAAAAGCACAAGGGCUAUAGCUCAGUUGGUAGAGCACCUCGUUUACACACGCGCCAAUGUUUUUUUUUCAUAGGAGUCCAUCAUGUAAUUAAAAGAGUUGAUCUUAUUGAGAAAUCCAUGUCUUACUCCAGGAAUAAAAUAAGAGAACAAUAGCCUGACAAAGGAUUUAGACGUCAAAUAAAAUCCAUAAUGGAUUUGAGAUAUUGAUAAGGUGAAUACUUAAUCUAUUCAAUGCUAGGCAAAUGAGUCUAGGGACCUCAAAAAAAUUCUCUUUUCUUCCUAUCUUAUGAACUUUAAGGUGUAUGAAGUUUCAUUUCCUAUUUGAUAUUUUUAUUUAAGUGGGUUGAUAGAGAGUCCAUUUAACUUUAGUUGAUCCAGGCCAAAAGCAGACCUACGUCAGGAUAACCUUCUUCUUUGAAAAACUUUGGUAGUGCUCUUAGAUUAAAAUCUAAAAAAAAAUAAAUCAGAGCACAGGGAAUCAUUUCCUUUUUCUUUGUGUAAAGAAAAAAGAUGGUAGACUAAUUGAUAUUUCUAUCAGUUAAUGAAAAAGCCCAAUGCAAAAAAAAAUGCACGUUGGGUUUUUAAAACAAUUCAAAUCAUUUUGAUAAUAAUAGUUUGAUCUGUUUUACCGAGAAGGUCUACGGUUCGAGUCCGUAUAGCCCUAAUAUUGCUACCUAUACUACUCAGAUUUAUAGAUAGUAGAUACUUAUAUAAUAGUAGAUAUAAUAGUCGAUAUAUUUGAUAUAGUACUAUAUAGUAUUUAGUACUAUAUACUAUUAAUUAUAUUAAUAGUAUAUGGAAUACUAAAUACUCCAUACUUGUAAUAUUACUAGUUUAAAUAUACUAUAUUUUUAGUUAAUUAGUAUUAUUAAAAAUGAAUCAAUUUCUAUUUGAAUAGAUUAAUAUUGGAUAGAAUAAUAUUUCUAUUAGUAUACUCAGAUACUAGUAUGAAUUUGAUCCGAAAUAAUGUAAAUUUAAUAAAAUAAAAAGCAUUUCUAUUUAGUAUUUAGAUUAAUUUUCAUUAAUCUAAUAAUUUGAAAAUUUCAAUUCAAAUCGACUAAGAAUUAAUAAGAAUCCGGUAUAUUUUUCACAUUCAUAGGAGUACAUUUAUGUUUUUGCUUUAUGAAUAUGAUAUUUUUUGGACAUUUCUAAUAAUAUCGAUCUUUAUUCCUAUUUUGGCAUUUCUGAUUUCUGGAAUUUUAGCUCCAAUUAGAAAAGGGCCAGAAAAACUUUCUAGUUAUGAAUCUGGGAUAGAACCGAUGGGCGAUGCUUGGUUACAAUUUCAAAUCCGUUAUUAUAUGUUUGCUCUAGUUUUUGUUAUUAUUAUUAUUAUUAUUAUUAUUAUUAUUAUUAUACAGCGUGACAAUUUAUAUAACUACUAUUUUUUUUGUGAUGAAACUAAAUCUCUUUUUUUAUAGGGGUUUGUUUUUGUGUUUAAAAGAAAAUUUGAGGUGAAUAUAACAUUAAUUCAUGAUAUUUGGAGAUAUAUUUGUGUAGAAUUUUUUUUGAUUCAAUGAAGAUGAUGAAGAUUCAAAGGAAGAAGACGAAGAUGAUGAACAUCUUCAUCAUAUUUAUGGAUUUGGUUUAUUUUUAAUAAAAAGAUAUUUAAAAAAAUAAAAUUAUGUAUUUUUUUUAAUAAAAAAAAUGAGAAAGAGGAUGUAUAUGUGCUUUUAUAAGAGAUAAAAGACCUAAGCGGAAAAAAUAAAGAUAAAGGACCCAAGUGUAACAAAUAAAUAAGAUAAAUGAUUUCUAAUGUAAUCAUGUCUAUAAUUAAAUAAAAAUUAAAAGUAUUAAAAAUUACCUUUGAUUAUAAUUGAUUCUUUUUUUAGAAAAAAAUUAACUCAUUUAUGACAUUUAAUGUUGCCAAUAUAUAUUACAUUUUGAUUGGUUGAUAUCAUGAGAGGGUAAAAUACCCUCUAAAUAAGAGAGGGUAAUCUAGAAAAAACCUGAGAUUGAGCUUCGAUAUCCGAAUAUCCGAUUCUGGUGAAGCAUCAAAGAUCCGGUUGUCCAUACUGAACAAACAAUUGUUAAAACUAUUGAUGUUUGAUUGUCGUAUUAGGGUACCUAACUAUACAAGAGUUGUAUUAUUAUGGUUGAUCAAUUGUUUUCAAGAAGAUUGUUGUGACUUUGAACAAUUCGUGAGAUUGAGCUUCGAUAUCCGAAUCUGGUGAAACAUCAAAGAUCCGGUUGUUCAUGCUAAACAAACAAUCCUAGAAACUAUUUAUGUUUAAUUAAUUUAUUCAAUUGGAGAAAGGUAGUAAAUUUAAAAUAUGAUGAUUUUGAAAGAGUUUCAAUAUCAUAUAUGAUUUUGAAUUUAGUAAUAAAAUAUUUGCUUAAUUUUGGCACCAUAAUUUGUUUUGGAAACAAAUUGGUCACCCAAAUAAUGCAUAUUUAAUUAUAAUAAUUAUUGAGUGUCAAUGUUACUAUAAUUAAGUAAAUAAAAAUUCUACCUUUUGAUUGUUUUUCAAAAGUUGUUUGAAAAAGGUAAUAAACGAUCCCAAUGUGAUAUUGAAUUUAGAAGAUCAUGAUUUGAAAUAGUUUCAAUAUCAGAUUUGAUCUUUUGAAUUUAUUUAAAAGAUUUGCAUGAUAUUAAUAUAAUUUAUUUCUAAUUUAAAAGUAUCAUGAUUUUGAAAAAGUUUCAAAAUCAGAUAUGAUCUUUUAGAUUUGGUCCUAAAAUUUGCAUAUUUUAAUUUUAUUCAUUACCCGAUUGAUUUUGAAAAUAGUUUCAAAAGGACAUAUAUACGAAUCAAUUAUAUAUGAAAUAUAUCGCGGUCAAAAUAUUGUUUCCAAAUCUUGAUUGAUUCUAAAAUUGUUUUAAAUAAUUAUAAAUAGUUAUUAUUAUUUAUUUCAUGGUAUAUGGUUAUGACCUUAGUUUUCGACGUUUGUUCAUUUAUUUAAAUAUGACCUGCGUGUCAUGAUUUAUUUUAUUUAAAUACGACCUGCGUGUCGUGAUUUGCUUUUAUUUAUUUUAUUUAAAUGUUAAAUAAUGUAAAUGCUCAAGAUGAAGAGAAGACAACGCCAAAAGAUGAUUUUGAUGGAGAAACUUUUGAAGCUUGGUCGUGGGUCAAAGAAUUGUAAUAAAGUAGUUUAUUUAAUUCUUACACGUUAGGAGGUCAUAACCAUACUACCUAGUUAAUUAUUUUAUGUAUGUGAUGCAUGAAAUGUGUGUUUAGAUUAGUGCAUGUAUAUUUUAAAUGUUUUAUAUAUACUUCCUAUCUAUGAACAUGAAUGUCAUGUAUAAUAUUAGAUGUGUGUAUAAGAUACACAUGUCAGUGAGAUCAACUUAAUUAAAAAUCCUUCAAAUAGAAUAUGAAGUAAAUUAUUUUCCAAAGUAUAACACACUUCAAGACUAAUAUCGAAAUGUGUAGAUUUCGCCUCCGCGAGGUGCACUUUCUAUACUAGUAAGUUGUGGUGCGGUAAUUCUAUUUACCGACUGUUAUUUUGGAUCUAAGUUAACUAUAUUAUUUUAAUAAGAUUAAAAUAUAUAUAUUUACUUCAAAAGAAUAUUAAGUUAAUUGCUUUCCAAAGGAUGACAUCCUUCAAGACUAAUAUCGAAAUGUGUAGGUUUCGCCUCCGCGAGGUGCACUUUCUAUACUAGUAAGUUGCGGUGCGGUAAUUCCAUUUACCCGACUGUUAUUCUUUGGGUCCAACUUAACUAAAUUAUUUUAAUAUGAUUAAAAUAAAUUUAGAAGCAAUGUUUGGGAACACCUAUAUGAUAGAUUAGAGUAAAGAGUUAUUCACUCAAAUGAUUUGAAAGUUGUAUGAGAUACAAUUGGAAGGAGUUCCUACCUAAAUAACUGAGUUUUGAGUACAGCCCCCGUUGACUUAAAGCAAGGUGAAAUAUGGAUUUCAAUCCACUAGAAAAUCUUCCAAUGAGAUUUUCCGAUUCAAAUGUUGAAGGUCAUUUGUUUUGAGUAAAAUAGUGGGAGCAUAUUUAAUUAAAGACCUAAUUAAUUAUGUUUUUUAAUCAUGAUACAUUUUUUAUUUAUUUUCUGUAUUUAGAAUUUCUUCAGCAUACACAUUUUUAUUAUACUGUUAUUAUAAAUGUUCUUAUGAAGAACAAAAUCUUCAGAAAGGAGUUUCUGAAUUGGUACAAAAUUAAGAAUUGUUCUUAAGAAUGAGAAAAACUGUUAAUAUUAUGAAAGAGUCAAAAUAGAAGUAAGACUUCUUAUUUGGCCAUAUAGUUAUAGAAAGUUAAAUUUCUACUUCUGCAUCAUAAGUAUAUGAUACUUGAUGGUUAAUCUCAUAUUUGUUGAAAUAUAGAGAGUUUUAAAGAAGCGGGACAUUAACUAUAAGCGAAGUCCACUUACGUCUAGAAUGAGACAAAUUGUUUCAUUGACAUAGGAGCUAAUGCUUGGACUUAAAUUAAACUUAAUAUGGAACAAAAUAAUUGUUAUUAAAUUCCAUAUAAAAUAGAAGCAUUAAAUCAUAAAUCUUGUAUUGACAAGAGAAUGAUUGUAUAGUUGAAUAAAAAGAUAAAUGUUGUCCUAUUAUCCAAAUAAUGUUUUCUAUACAAGUGUGCUAAUCAAGUAAUGGAAUUGAGUUCUAUGAUCUUGAUAAGCUGGUCUAUAACUUAUGAGAAAAGGAUCAAAUGAGAUUAGAACCUUUUGUAUAUCAUUGGCAUCCCUGUUUAGUACAAACAAGUGUGAAUCACAUUUCUAAAAUCCAUAGAUAUGGAAUAUUAGACUCAUUUGAUUUUAUAUCAUUUGAAGGAUGUGAGUCCCACCUUUCAAAAUAGAUUAGUAUACCGGUCACCAACAAAGGUGAAAGGACACGUAAUUUAUUUGAGUUUAUAUACAUAUGAGAUGUAUACGGAGAACUAAACAUAUUUGCUAGAUAUUGUUUCUAUUACUUCAUCUGACAUUACUAAAUCAUUUAGUAGAUAAGAAAAGUGUAUUUGACACGAUUCAUGAAAAACUUUGAAAUUGUUCAAAGAUUUCUACAAUGAAAUAAAAGGAAUAAGUUUGAAAAGUAUAAAGACUAUACGAGUAAGUCGUGAUGGUAAAUGCUUGAUUAAUGAGUAUAAUGAUUAUUUAUAUCGUUUCAUUUUUUACAUGACUCGAUCUAAAAUAGUUUGAUUAUGACUCAAAGACUCUUGAAAUUAAUUAAAUUACAGUUAUUCUUCACGCACAACAAGUUUUGAUUGAGUAAUCAUAAAUGCACCAUAUUAGAUAUGGAGGUAAGAGUACCUAUUUUUGACUUUAUGAUAAUUUGAGGUUAUAUGGUUUACUAGAUAAACUAAACUUCAAAUUAAAUGAAUGUAUACUUGUGGAGGUUCCCUUAGGAAACUAGAGGAUACUAUUUCUACAUCUUCUUCCUUGACAAAAGUUGUUUGUCGCUAGAACUAGAGUAUUCCUUUUCAAGGAGUAUAGCUUUGCAAGAGCUAAUGGGAGUGAUGUAGAACUUGAAUUAAGUCAAGUACCACAAAAUACAUGUUUCUCUAAGAAUGGAACAUGAAUUGAUUCAACAAAGGGUUGUUGGUAAUUCGCUAGUUCGAGUAGCACAUGAUCUAGAUGAGUCUGAUAUGUCAUAACACUAGGAUGAGAAACAUGAUUUUGUCAUGACUCAACAAGGUGAUAUGAUGCUCAUGGAAGAUGAGUACAUGACUUACUAGAAGGUCGCAAAUGGCCUGAUUUUGAGAAGUGGCUAGAUGCCAUGAGAUCUUAUAAAGAAUCCAUGUACACAAACCAUAUAUGGAUAUUGGUUAUAUCAUCCAAAUGAGUAUGACUCAUAAGAUGAAUGUGAGUUUUCUUGUAGAAAACUGACAUGGAUGGUAUUAUGAAUACCUUUAAGAUGUGAUUGAUUGUAGAAAGUUUCAUGCAACUCAUGAUGCAAAUCAUGACGAAACUAUUACAUCAUCGUAAUGCUUAAAUCUAAAGAUCCCAAUUGUCUUUGUUGUAUAAUACGAAUUCUAGGAGAUGGAUAACGAUGUUGCAUUCUUUAAUUAGAAUGACCUUAUAUAUGUAUUUGACAUAUAUGUAGGGUUCCGUUAAUCCAAAGGAUACUAGAAAGGUAAACGUAUUACAAAAUUUAUUUAUUAGAGAAAUCUUCUCAAAGUUAAAUUGUUUAUUUUAUUAACGAAGUUUUAUGAAAACUUUGAUUAAUAAAGAAAUCUUGUGCACAUAAGGAGAUUAGUGGGAGCAUUGAAAUUAGUUUGGUGGAGUAUGUGGAUGACAUACUAGUCACCAAAAUAAUUUAUCUACACAUGUAAGACAUGCUUAGAAAAUUAUUUUCAAUAUGUACCAAAAUUGAUUAUUGUGUUCGACACUAUAAUACGUUCAAGAAUAUCCUUGGAUGUCUUAAAGGACUAUAAAUUGUUUCUUGAACACAGAUGAAAGAAACAUUGUAAAUGAGUUACAAUAAUGUUGACUUUCAUAUCGGUGUACAGUAUAUCCAGAUUGUAAUUUGGAGUAAAUGUUAUGCUAGGAUAUCAACUAUGAAAUUUGUAAAAGUACAAGCUUCAAAUAGUUGUUGUUUCUAUUACAGAUGUCAAAUAUAUAUGAUUUGGAUUGUUUAGCUCAUAACUCAGUGAAAACAUGUGUUUCUUGCAUUGCGGAUUCCAUUGAUCUCGUAUGAGGUAAAAUUGGUUUAAAUCUUGUGAGCAAUGAAAACUUGAUCUCACCAAUGAUCCAAAUGUAUACUUUGACACUUCAAUUUCUUUUCGAUAGAAGAUCGAAAGUGGAAAUUGAAAGAAGUAUAACCUACCAACAUAGGAAAGAGUUCCUUAUCUGCUAGUAUAGUAUCUUGUCAAGAGUGUGCUUGAUGCUAACACUUGACCAAUAGAUAUUGAGUUAAUAUUUGAUUGGCUUUUAGUGCUAGUGGGAGAUUGUUGGAAUAAGCCCUAAUAGCCAAUCUAUAUUGAUUGGGUUUGGCUUUGUAUCAUGAUAUUGAUAUAAAUAUAUAUUGUGAAUAUAUAAUAACAAGGCAUUUCUUUAUUGAUUUUGUUUUGUUUCAAAAUAAUAAAGUCCCUAGAAUAGUUAGUCCGUUUAAUGGAACAUUAAGUAUAACUUAAUUGUGAGACCCCAUUAAACAUAAGGAAACUAUUCUCAAAGUAUUCGUAGUCAAGCUUUGUUGAGAAGUGGGAUAACAUUAAAGCAUAGAGACUAUUAUGUAGGUAGACUGAUGAUCACAACUCACAGAUCAUGGAUAAAGAGUUAUCAAGUCUUCACAUAGAUAUAAAUAUUAGGAGUAAUAUUUAUAUUGGAUUGAUUCGCCAUGAGAAUAUUACAUAGUAAAAGUUAUGAAAAGUGUCAUAAUAUAUUCUCAUAGUGAUAGUGGUGUAUUCCACCCUUCGACCUGAAACCACUAUGUAACCUAGAUGUUGGAGUCGAGUGCUUUGUCACCAUUCAAACGUUGUCCGUAACAGGAUGACUAUAAAGUUGGUUGAUGGGUACUCCAUGAAUCAUGCUGAGGGACAUGAGUGACCUAGAUGGAAUUUGCCCCUCCUACAUAACAGGAGAAAUGUCUACGGGCCCAAUAUUGAACUAGACAAGGAUGACACGGUCUAUGCCUUGUGUUCAAUAUAGACAUGAGGGAAAAAGGGUAAUUAUACACAUGAUCAUUAUCACAGAAAGAUUUCGUCAGAUCACAUGACAUUCUCGUAUAGUGCGGAUAGAACUUAGACAGCUCCACGAACUUGGCAGCAUGCUCUGUCACGGACAUAUUUCCUUGCUUCAGCUCAAGGAAUUCGAUCUCUUUCUUCCCGCGAACAUCUUCCGGAAAGUAUCUUCUCAGGAACUCUCUCCUGAAAACAGCCCAAGUCACCACAGCUCCUUCCUGCUCGAGGGUAGGCAGAAUAGCAACCCACCAGUCAUCAGCUUCCUCGGCCAGCUGAUGAGUACCAAACCGCACCUUCUGAUCUUCAGUGCACUGCAUAACUCGGAAAAUCCUCUCAAUCUCCUUAAGCCACGUCUGGGCUCCAUCAGGGUCAUAACGUCCUUUGAAAGUCGGAGGGUUCUUCUUCAUGAACGUCUCCAACAUCCUAGCUUCAGCAUUUGCACCAGCAUUCACGUUAGGUUGUUGUCCCACAGCUUGGGCAACAGCUUGUAGAGCAGCAGCUAACGCAGCAUCAUUCCUUCCAGCCAUUUCUGAUAUUCUACAAAAGUAGCAACAACAACAUAAGAUAGUAAUAUAAAUAUUACUAAGACUCGACACGACUCUCUAAUUGACCGGACAGAUCAACCUGCUCUGAUACCAAUUGUAACACCCCGUUUUCCCAAUAUACAAAUUUCAUAAGCAAUUAUCAGAGUAAAAACCAUAAACGGGAUAUCACAUAGAAACGUAAUCCAAAAAUAGUUAAAUGAUAAUUUAACCUUCACAAAUAUCUUUAACAUAGCAGCGGAAAAUCAUAAACAUAAAUCAUAAACGUUUUGGCACGCAGGCCCAACAAGUAUCUCAAAAGAGUUUAUCAAAGCAUAAAUUAUCAUGGCAGUUCACGUAAAAGAAUGAAGCAUGUUAUAGCAUUAACCCCAUCCCGUUACGUAUCAGAGCGACCUAGACGACACAGUGAGGCAAAGCCACUCACAGAAGCAACUGCACACUAAGCACGAUCACCUGCAAGUUACCCAUACGAAGGGCAACAUUUUCAAGCAGAAGGGGUGAGAUUUCAUAAUAAAAUAACAUUAAUCAAUGUAAUUGCGAAUCAUAAUUUACAUCAUAAUCAUUCCAUUAUUAACUUUGCAUAAAUGCUAAACAGUUAUCACGCAAUCAUAUAUCCAAUUCAUUAUGAACAACGUAACAUAAUCAAUAAACACUUAUCACGUAAUCACAUAUUCAUUCAUUAUCAACAAGGCAUCUUAAUCAUGACAAUGUGACAAUGCUCCUAGACUCCGUAUAUGCAUGUGGUACCAAUCGUCAUCAUAAGUAUUAAUAUACUUUAAUCGUGCGGAGGACAAAGCUCCUAUAAAACGUGCGGAGGACAAAGCUCCUAAUUUUCGUGGUGAGGACUAAGCUCAAUGAUAUGCUAUGCAUGGACUCUUAACAACAAAACACGUAAUCAACGUAAUCAACAUGCAUCCAAUAAUUUGGAGCUAAACUUUAUCAUAUACUUAUGCACUUAGUUAAACAACGGAAGCAGCAUAAACAAGUCACAUAUCAAGAUGAUAUUAUUAUAUCAAUAGCACAUAAAUUGCAUUAUUAUCAAACCUUCAUAUCUUGCAUGAAUAUACAAUACAUUAACUCAUAUUCAAUUAAUAUCAAUAUAACCUAAACAACUCUACAGGCUGCAUUAAACGUCAUCACUAGGUCUCAUUACCAGUUAGGGGUUCACUCUUGAUCAACGAGUGCGACACAGAUCGCACAGACACUCAGGAAACUACAAUCUGGUUGUACUCGCGAGGCGAGAGUUCUUACUCGCCAUGGCGAGCACCACUCAACUUCCAAACUAAGCUUGUUCUGGGUUCCCUCUGAUCCUACAUUCAUUCCUAAUCAAUACUAGGCAUGUUCAGGUACUCAAAGGCAUCCAAGGUCCAACUAAAAAGGUCGAAACACGAAAUAUGUCAUGCACUCUGCCUAAGCUCGCGAGGCGAGGAAGGUUGCUCGCCAUGGCGAGUUGCACCAAACAACUCGCGAGGCGAAGGGAAGGGGCUCGCGUGGCGAGCGAUGAAGUUCAUCACUCGCGAGGCGAGGAUCAUCACUCGCCGUGGCGAGCGAUGAACAGAAGCACGGGCAGACUAGGGUUUUUCUCAAAAAUCCAUCACACAACAUGGUUCAAAGCCUAAUUUUGAUUCCAGAAUUCAUCCUAAACAUAUUCUAAGGUUAAAGAACGGUUUCUACAUCAAUCUAAACAAGUUUUACCGCUUGAUCAUCAAUUUUUAGGGUUUUGACCUAAUUCCAAAACUUCUCUAAAUCAAUCCUAACUUGGUCAACUAAUCAUCAGAAUUACAGUAAUUAACAUUAUUGAAUUAUUAGUCUCACCCUUACCUGGUUAUGAAGAAAUCGUAGCUCUCUCUAUGCUCUUCUCCCUUCUAAGCUUUUUCUCCCUUUUCCAAAAGUUUUCACGUACAAUGAGUUUCUAAAAUAUUAGGUCUUCUCCUAUUUAUACCUCUUUCUAAUAACUUAUCUUAUCUCACUUUCUCCCCCAAAACUAUCUAAAAUAUCAAAACAGCCCUCAACUAAAUAUUUUUCAAAUCUUUAUUUUAUUUAACAAUGAAAUAAUUCCCAUAUCAUAAUCAAAUCCUUCAAUACUCAUAACUUAACACGUCAUCGAUCAAAUCACCAAAAUCACCACAAAUCAUCAAAACAUAUCAAAAUCAUACAUAUAUUAUAUAAAUAUAAUAUAAUCACCUAAACUCGAUUAAAUAACGAUUAAACGAAAGUGGGCGUUACAACUCUCCCCCACUUAAAAGAUUUUCGUCCUCGAAAAUUUACCUCAAGCAAACAACUCUGGGUAAGACUCCAGCAUCUUACUCUCAAGCUCCCACGUCAAGCUUUCACCAGUCGCUCCCGACCAAACGACUCUCACGAGAGGUAUCUCCUUGCCUCUCAACGUCUUCACUUUACGAUCAUCAAUCCUCAACGGUAAAGUCUCUACCGUAAGGUUGUCUCUAAUUUGCACAUCGUCGCUUUGGAUUACAUGAGAUGGAUCCGGAACAUACUUUCGAAGUUGCGACACAUGGAAAACGUUGUGCAAAUUCGCAAGAUGCGGUGGUAAACCCACUCGGUAAGCCACCGUUCCAACUCUUUCCAAUAUCUGAUACGGACCAAUGAACUUCGGGGUCAACUUCUUUGACUUCAAAGCACGUCCUACACCAGUCAUAGGAGUGACUCUCAAAAACACGUGGUCUCCUUCCUGAAAUUCAAGAUCUUUUCUACGCUUAUCAUGAUAACUCUUUUGUCGAUUCUGCGACGCCUUCAUUUUCUCUUGGAUCAUCUGAACUUUCUCAGUAGUUUGCUGAACAAUCUCUGGUCCUAAGACCACUCUUUCUCCUGAUUCAAACCAACACAACGGAGUCCUGCAUCUCCGACCAUACAAGGCCUCGAACGGUGCCAUUCCAAUACUAGAAUGGUAACUAUUAUUAUAUGUGAACUCGAUCAACGGAAGAUGACUGUCCCAAGUUCCUCCUUGUUCAAGAACACAAAUUCUCAACAAAUCCUCUAGCGACUGAAUUGUCCUCUCCGACUGACCAUCUGUCUGUGGAUGAUACGCCGAACUCAAUCUCAACUUCGAACCCAAGGCCUCUUGCAAACUUUUCCAAAAUCUAGAAGUAAAUCUUGGAUCUCUAUCUGACACGAUGCUCGAAGGAACACCAUGCAACUUCACAAUCUCCUUGAUAUAAAUCUCUGCCAACUGGGCAACAGGGAAACUAAUGUUAAUCGGUAGAAAAUGAGCUGACUUCGUCAACCGAUCAACAAUAACCCAAAUUGCGUCAUUCCCUCUAGGAGUAUUCGGCAAACUCGUCACAAAAUCCAUCGAUAUACUAUCCCAUUUCCAUUCUGGCACGUCUAAAGGUACCAUCAUUCCAGCAGGUUUCUGAUGCUCAACUUUCGACUUCUGACAAACUAAACAGGAAUACACAAACUGUGCCACAUCUCGUUUCAAACCAGACCACCAGAAAAUCUUCUUUAAAUCAUGAUACAUCUUCGUAGCUCCCGGGUGAAUACUCAAGCUACUUCUAUGACUCUCUUCAAGAAUCAUCUUCUUAAUCUCUUCAUUGUCUGGGAUACAAAUUCUUCCUCGGAAUCUCAACACACCUUGAUCAUCGAUUUUAAAAUCACUGUCUUCAGUCUGAUCUCUAGCAAUCAACAAGUCCACAAACUUUACAUCAACUUUCUGUGCUUCCUUGAUACUUUUCAGAAAUUCACUAUCAACCUUCAGCAUACCCAGUUUCACACUCUGAGGUGACCAUUCGCAAACCGAACUCAUAUCUCUAAACUGUUCAAGCAAUUCGAACUCUCUGACCAUCAUGGCGGACAUAUGCAAUGUCUUCCUACUCAAGGCAUCUGCAACAACAUUAGCUUUACCUGGGUGAUAAUUCAAACCAAAGUCAUAAUCCUUCAACAAUUCGAGCCAUCUUCGCUGUCUCAUAUUCAAUUCCUUCUGAUCGAACAAAUACUUCAAACUCUUGUGAUCACUAAACACCUCAAAUCUCGAACCAUACAAGUAAUGUCUCCAUAUCUUCAAUACAAAGACUACAGCCGCCAACUCGAGAUCAUGCGUAGGAUAAUUCUUCUCAUGAACUCUCAACUGUCUUGAAGCGUAAGCUACCACCUUACCUUCUUGCAUAAGUACACCUCCUAAACCCAACUUGGACGCAUCACAAUAAACCACAAAAGGUUCAUCUGACUUCGGCAAAAUUAACACUGGAGCAGUCGUCAAACGCUUCUUCAAUUCACCGAAACUUUUCUCACAAUGAACGUCCCACACAAAAGUUUUACCUUUACAAGUCAACUGCGUUAGCGGAAGAGCUAACUUAGAAAAUCCUUCAAUAAACCUUCUAUAGUAACCAGCUAAACCCAAGAAACUUCUAAUCUCAGUAACUGACUUAGGAGUCUCCCACUGUGAUACCGCUUCAACUUUAGACGGAUCCACUGCAAUUCCAUCACCAGAAAUAACAUGGCCUAGAAAACUCACUUCUUUCAACCAGAAUUCACACUUAGACAAUUUAGCAUAAAGCUUCUUCUCUUUCAACACUUGCAAAACAAUCUUCAGAUGCUCAGCAUGUUCUUCUUCAGUCUUGGAGUAGAUCAAAAUAUCGUCGAUAAACACAACCACAAACCGAUCCAAAAAUGCAUGGAAGAUGCGAUUCAUAUACUCCAUAAACACUCCAGGUGCAUUGGUAACUCCAAAAGGCAUAACUUUAUAUUCAUAGUGACCAUAACGCGUUCUGAAAGCUGUCUUCUGCAUAUCUUCAUCUUUUACUUUAAUCUGGUGAUAACCUGAUCUCAAAUCAAUCUUGCUGAAAACUCGUGCACCCACUAGUUGAUCCAUCAAAUCAUCAAUUCUCGGAAGUGGAUACCUAUUCUUGAUAGUUACCUUGUUCAACUGCCGAUAAUCAAUACACAACCGCAUACUACCAUCUUUCUUCUUUACUAACAAAACCGGCGCUCCCCAAGGUGAAACACUCGGUCUAACAAACUUCUUCUCAAGCAAGUCUUCCAACUGUUUCUUCAACUUAGAUAACUCAGAAGCAGACAUACGAUAAGGUGCCAUCGAGACCGGCUUCGUUCCAGGAACAAGAUCAAUAGAAAACUCAACUUCUCUCUCUGGAGGCACAUCAGGAAUCUCAUCUGGAAAAACUUCAGGAAAUUCACACACCACCGGUAACCUGUCAAUCACUGCUUGAUUCUCAAUAGAUAAAGUAGCCAUUAACGAAAACAUCAAGAUACCGUCGCGUUCCAGUUGCUUCAGCUGCUUAGUAGAUAAAAACUCUGCACCACUUUCCUCUUCGACGGAAGAGAAAUGUACUGACUUGCUAAAACAAUUAAUAAGAACGUGGUUGUACUCUAACCAGUUCAUACCCAAAAUCACAUCCAUACCACUCAAAGGUAGACAAACUAAAUCCAUUUCAAAAUCACGACCAAACAUAGACAAAGGACAUUUCAAACAUACGAGAGAAGUAGUCACCGAACCCUUAGCUGGAGUUUCGACAACCAUCUCUCCAUUCAUAUCAGACAAAUCAAGACCCAAAGCAGAAACACAAUCGAAAGCAAUAAAACAAUGCGUAGCACCAGUAUCAAUAAUAGCAACUAAAGGAGUAUUAUUAAUAUAGCAAGUACCUCUGAUCAAACGAUCCUCAUUCUCUGUCUGAGUCCCAGUCAAAGCAAAGACUCUACCAGUAGUCGGCGCCCUCUUAGGCUGAGUACACUAUGAACUAAUGUGACCCUCUCCGUUGCAAUUAAAGCAAACAAUGUCUGUACGGUUGCAAUCAGCUACCACAUGACCCUUCUUACCACACCGGACACACUUCUUGAUUUCCUCAGAACAAGCGUUGCUCUUGUGGCCUUUCUCACCACAAUUGAAGCACACAAUCUCUGCAGCAUCCUUCCUCUUAGGCCGCCUAACAUCGACCAUCUUCUGUUUCCCUUUGUCAGCGGGGGCACUGUACGGCUUAGGACGACUCUGCUGUCCCUUGCCCUUCCUCUCAUUCACUACCUUGUAGUGAGCCUUCGUGUCCUCUUCGUAGAUCCUGCAGCUAUUAACCAAGUCCUGAAAAACUCUCAGCUGUUGGUACCCAAUCGCCCUCUUGAUGUCGGGCCUCAAACCGUUCUCGAACUUGAUGCAUCUCGAGAACUCAGCAUUCUCUGCAGUAUAGUGCGGAUAGAACUUAGACAGCUCCACGAACUUGGCAGCAUGCUCUGUCACGGACAUAUUUCCUUGCUUCAGCUCAAGGAAUUCGAUCUCUUUCUUCCCGCGAACAUCUUCCGGAAAGUAUCUUCUCAGGAACUCUCUCCUGAAAACAGCCCAAGUCACCACAGCUCCUUCCUGCUCGAGGGUAGGCAGAAUAGCAACCCACCAGUCAUCAGCUUCCUCGGCCAGCUGAUGAGUACCAAACCGCACCUUCUGAUCUUCAGUGCACUGCAUAACUCGGAAAAUCCUCUCAAUCUCCUUAAGCCACGUCUGGGCUCCAUCAGGGUCAUAACGUCCUUUGAAAGUCGGAGGGUUCUUCUUCAUGAACGUCUCCAACAUCCUAGCUUCAGCAUUUGCACCAGCAUUCACGUUAGGUUGUUGUCCCACAGCUUGGGCAACAGCUUGUAGAGCAGCAGCUAACGCAGCAUCAUUCCUUCCAGCCAUUUCUGAUAUUCUACAAAAGUAGCAACAACAACAUAAGAUAGUAAUAUAAAUAUUACUAAGACUCGACACGACUCUCUAAUUGACCGGACAGAUCAACCUGCUCUGAUACCAAUUGUAACACCCCGUUUUCCCAAUAUACAAAUUUCAUAAGCAAUUAUCAGAGUAAAAACCAUAAACGGGAUAUCACAUAGAAACGUAAUCCAAAAAUAGUUAAAUGAUAAUUUAACCUUCACAAAUAUCUUUAACAUAGCAGCGGAAAAUCAUAAACAUAAAUCAUAAACGUUUUGGCACGCAGGCCCAACAAGUAUCUCAAAAGAGUUUAUCAAAGCAUAAAUUAUCAUGGCAGUUCACGUAAAAGAAUGAAGCAUGUUAUAGCAUUAACCCCAUCCCGUUACGUAUCAGAGCGACCUAGACGACACAGUGAGGCAAAGCCACUCACAGAAGCAACUGCACACUAAGCACGAUCACCUGCAAGUUACCCAUACGAAGGGCAACAUUUUCAAGCAGAAGGGGUGAGAUUUCAUAAUAAAAUAACAUUAAUCAAUGUAAUUGCGAAUCAUAAUUUACAUCAUAAUCAUUCCAUUAUUAACUUUGCAUAAAUGCUAAACAGUUAUCACGCAAUCAUAUAUCCAAUUCAUUAUGAACAACGUAACAUAAUCAAUAAACACUUAUCACGUAAUCACAUAUUCAUUCAUUAUCAACAAGGCAUCUUAAUCAUGACAAUGUGACAAUGCUCCUAGACUCCGUAUAUGCAUGUGGUACCAAUCGUCAUCAUAAGUAUUAAUAUACUUUAAUCGUGCGGAGGACAAAGCUCCUAUAAAACGUGCGGAGGACAAAGCUCCUAAUUUUCGUGGUGAGGACUAAGCUCAAUGAUAUGCUAUGCAUGGACUCUUAACAACAAAACACGUAAUCAACGUAAUCAACAUGCAUCCAAUAAUUUGGAGCUAAACUUUAUCAUAUACUUAUGCACUUAGUUAAACAACGGAAGCAGCAUAAACAAGUCACAUAUCAAGAUGAUAUUAUUAUAUCAAUAGCACAUAAAUUGCAUUAUUAUCAAACCUUCAUAUCUUGCAUGAAUAUACAAUACAUUAACUCAUAUUCAAUUAAUAUCAAUAUAACCUAAACAACUCUACAGGCUGCAUUAAACGUCAUCACUAGGUCUCAUUACCAGUUAGGGGUUCACUCUUGAUCAACGAGUGCGACACAGAUCGCACAGACACUCAGGAAACUACAAUCUGGUUGUACUCGCGAGGCGAGAGUUCUUACUCGCCAUGGCGAGCACCACUCAACUUCCAAACUAAGCUUGUUCUGGGUUCCCUCUGAUCCUACAUUCAUUCCUAAUCAAUACUAGGCAUGUUCAGGUACUCAAAGGCAUCCAAGGUCCAACUAAAAAGGUCGAAACACGAAAUAUGUCAUGCACUCUGCCUAAGCUCGCGAGGCGAGGAAGGUUGCUCGCCAUGGCGAGUUGCACCAAACAACUCGCGAGGCGAAGGGAAGGGGCUCGCGUGGCGAGCGAUGAAGUUCAUCACUCGCGAGGCGAGGAUCAUCACUCGCCGUGGCGAGCGAUGAACAGAAGCACGGGCAGACUAGGGUUUUUCUCAAAAAUCCAUCACACAACAUGGUUCAAAGCCUAAUUUUGAUUCCAGAAUUCAUCCUAAACAUAUUCUAAGGUUAAAGAACGGUUUCUACAUCAAUCUAAACAAGUUUUACCGCUUGAUCAUCAAUUUUUAGGGUUUUGACCUAAUUCCAAAACUUCUCUAAAUCAAUCCUAACUUGGUCAACUAAUCAUCAGAAUUACAGUAAUUAACAUUAUUGAAUUAUUAGUCUCACCCUUACCUGGUUAUGAAGAAAUCGCAGCUCUCUCUAUGCUCUUCUCCCUUCUAAGCUUUUUCUCCCUUUUCCAAAAGUUUUCACGUACAAUGAGUUUCUAAAAUAUUAGGUCUUCUCCUAUUUAUACCUCUUUCUAAUAACUUAUCUUAUCUCACUUUCUCCCCCAAAACUAUCUAAAAUAUCAAAACAGCCCUCAACUAAAUAUUUUUCAAAUCUUUAUUUUAUUUAACAAUGAAAUAAUUCCCAUAUCAUAAUCAAAUCCUUCAAUACUCAUAACUUAACACGUCAUCGAUCAAAUCACCAAAAUCACCACAAAUCAUCAAAACAUAUCAAAAUCAUACAUAUAUUAUAUAAAUAUAAUAUAAUCACCUAAACUCGAUUAAAUAACGAUUAAACGAAAGUGGGCGUUACAGGAGAAGUUUUGUUCGUGUGGACUGAGUAGAGGCAUCGCUGCUUUGCUUUGCUCGUGAUCAGAAAUAUUUCUUCUACAAAGGUUCUACUCUUCAAGAGGUAAACACAUGAAUCUUAAAAUGUUUAAGUUUCUGUUUGAUUUGUGAUUAAUGAUUUAAUCAAGAUCCGUUUCAAUGGGAUUUCUUCCGUAAAGAGGAUUAAAAUUUUGAAAAACCCCUCUUAAAAUCCCUUCAUUACUCUGAUUGUUUAUGAAAUUUAUAAGUUGAGAAAACGGGGUGUUACAACAAACACAUGACAAUUAGAGAAUCUAGCUGCUCUUUAAAGAAACGGUUAAAGUAGAUCAACUGUGUACAUAUUGAUGAAAAAAACAUAGCAAUUCCUUUGAUGAAAGGAUUAGUUAGAAAGAGAAUUUGAAACACAUCCAAUAGGAUGGACUAAUGCAUAAAGAUCACGAGUGACGACCUGAAUGACUGGAGAUCCCAAGAAAUAGGUUUAGUGAGUAACAAUAAGUCAUGGAGUAGUGAUAGAACAUGUUGUAAUAAAACUAAGAAACCAUGAUUUUAAAGCAACAUGAGGUUGAGAUGACAAAAUCUCUUAAUGAAGAUCCAUACUCUAUAUGGAUUGGAGCUCAAAGCUAGAUGAUACUCUUGAUAGAUUCACCUAUAAGAAUGUGGAACCGAGGUCGUUCCUAUGGGAUUUUGAUGAUUACACCUCGAAAAGGUUGUGUGUAGGUUCUAUGUCUGAGUUUGAGUUCAAUUCCAUGAGAAACUCUUGUUAAUUGGAGUUUUGAAACUAUUUUUGAAAUUCAUUGGGGGGAUUGUUGGAACAUUGGUAUGAAGUUGAAAUAAAAUUAAGGUUGAAAGAUUAAAAACAAAGUAAAUAGACAUCGAACUAGUGUGGGUGUGAAUUGAAAAUAAAAUAGAGUGUGAGGGUCCCAUAUAAAAUAUAACAUAUACAUUAGUAGUUUUUAAAUUAUGAUAUUCAAUUUUUAAAUACCUGAUAAUGAUAAAAAAAAUAAUAGUAAUUAUUAUUUUUACAAGCGAAAAGACGGGCACUCACGUGCUUGUCUUUCCGCUCUUUUUGUUGCACCAACGUUUGAAAAUUAUGAACCGUAUUUUUUUUAUAAAACUUUGAUUUUGGUUAACACUAAAAAUAUAAAUGUUUGUUGCUUUCAAGUUAUAAGAAAUCAAAUUAACUAUGAUUAUCUAUUUCGAUGACAUUAACAAUAUAACCAAAAAAUAUAAUCUAAUUAUUUUUUAAUGACACCAACAAUCUUUAUUAUAGAAAAAGUUGUUUAAAGGUAUAAUUGGAAUAAUGAAAAAGUAAGUAUAAAUAUACACAUCUAAUUGUUACACUUUUUAAAUGAAAAAGGGAAAAACCAAACAUAUAUAUAUAUAUAUAUAUAUAUAUAUAUAUAUAUAUAUAUAUAUAUAUAUAUUCAUAGCGUGUUACAUUUUUUUUAAUAUUUAAAAUUAUUCUUAUCUAUUUGUAAUAUGUGUUAAUUGUAUUGAAAAUUGAGGGUAUAUUUGGAAAGAGAAAAAAGUCAGCGCAAAAGAGCUGGGUUAUUUUCUUUAUAUAUAGUAUAGAUAUAGUAUAGAUUCAUAGAUAUCAAUUUCCACAGUUUUAAUCUAUGUCGGUUGUGAUAAGAUUUCGAAUCCAAUUAAGUUUCGUAUGUUUCCUUCAUUCAUAUCCAAUAGUUUGUUCCACUUUUUUUUUGUUUCAUUUUGAACUUAUCUGAUUCGUUUGGUGCUUGCGCUGAUCUGUGAGUUGUUUAAUUUUUAAGUUUACUUAAUUCUGAAGUUUCUCCAGAUUAAUCAUGAACUCUCCCUAUAAAAGCAGAGCUCGCCUAGUUCAUUCGAUGCACCGAGAAGUAUUCUGAAACUUCAAAUAUUUUUCUUCUCUCCCCCCCAAUAUCAUCGACUUUUUGCGAUAUAAUGUUCUUUCGAAAUUAAGAAUGGUCUAGCAUAGUCCCUUUGAUAUUUUAUGUCAAUUUGGAAUAAACAAUAUUUUCAGAUCAUAGUGCCAUAUUUACAUUUGAAGAUGUUAAAAGUUAGAAUGGUGAUAACACCACAUUUGAGUGGUCACAUUACCAUAGUUGAGUAGUUAUAGUACCAAUAUAAUUGAUUGAUUUGAGUGUUAUAUAUAUGAGUGGUCUUUGUAGUUAAUCAAGAGGUUUUCUACAUAGCAGUAGUUAAUUGCACAGUUGUAGUUGAACUUAAUAUAUUCGGGAGAUAAUGUGGUUAAUAGUCUAUCUUUCAUAAUUUUAGACAGUGUCCCGAAACAUUUUAAAAAGAGCAUCUAAUAGUGACUUAACCUAAUAACAAUUUCGAUAUAUAAAAAUUUUAUUUUCGGAACAAAUUUAAAAAUCCAAAUAUAACCGUUUGAAUAUCCAAAAUCCAACUAUUUAAGACAAACUAAAUGCAAUGUAUUUUUCUGAGGAUAGAUGUUUCCUACUGUUUUCCAUUGACUGUUCUGACAUCAGUGACACCACUAUCCCAAAUACCACGAAGGACACAUACAUAUUUUAACCCCCUUAGAAUUCUUCAUCUACACCAUUUUGUUGGCAUUUCAUCUUCUCACUAACACUCAUAGCAGUUAACCAUCAUUACUAGCUAUUUAAAAUCCAAAAAAUCUAUUUUCACAAAAAGAUAUUAAUAAAUAAUAAUUGCUAUUUAUAUAAUUGAAAUUCCAUAAAAUUUCCUUCAACAGCCACACUUUCAACCUUUUUUCCCCUUCUAUGCUCAUUCUUAAUUGUUUUCUACCCUAACAUGCCUCCCAAGUUCGACACAAUUUCAGCCAUUAUAACCACAACCCAUUGUAAAAUAUGGUCAUCGAAAGUGAAGAUAAUAAGAUUAUGGAGGUACAAUUAAUCAGUGAAUUUAAACUGAAGAUUUAAAGUAGUUGUUUCUCGUUUCAACCUCGUCUAAGAAGAACGAAGAAUUGAAAGGGAGGUAUCAACGGUCAUUUGAAGAACACUGAGUACUUGUCCUGCGUUAACAGAGUUGACAAAGUACAAGUGUACAACCACUACCUUCACUACUCUGUUUUUGUCUACGCUACAAGACAAGACAACAGCUAUGCCUGCAGAAUUGUUCCUUCAAGAUGGGAAUGAAUUUGAAGCUAAUUCUUCAAAGGACUACACCCAAAUCAGGCAAAGGAUUACUAGUGGAUGAUCAAAGGGACUCAACGAAUCUUUAGACGUGUUAAUCAUCUCAACGUCUCUUUCACGCCUCUAUAUAAAGGAGUGAAGACUUGUUGAUUGUAGAUAGAGAUAUACAAGUUAAAAAGCGUCAAAACUUUGUCAAUUUGAUUCUACAAAGCACAUUGAAUUUCUGUACUGAUUUGAUACAUCUUAGAAAUUCACAAGUCUAGAGUCUUUAUUGCAUUGUAUUUGUGAACACCACUGAUUGUAUAUCAAGUGUUUAAGGUCAAACAUUUUCUCUGUAUUUUUGUUUGAACAGAAGUCUCUUGCCUGCGUGCUUGAGCAUUAGAAGACUCUUGCUUAGUGCUUGAGCAUUGGAAGACUCUUGCCUGUGUGCUUGAGCAUUUUUGAGAAGUCUCAUACUUAGAGAGUAUUGAGCAUUUGUAAUCUUUGUGAUUAUAGUGAAAUCUCCUUGGAAGUGCAACGGGGACUGGACUACUUCCGAUUUGUGGAAGGAACCAGGAUAACUGCUUGUGUCUCGCUUUUCUUUUCUCUGCUUUGAUCUUUUCCGCUGCAUAUCUGAUUCUGGUUAUUACAUCAGAAGCAUUCCAAAACUGCUUUUGAAGUAUUAUCAGAAGAAGUAUUUUUAGAGAAAAAGAAAACACAAUUCAACCCCCCCUUCUUGUGUUUUUUUCACCUUCAUUUGGUAUCAGAGCUUGCUCUGUUAUCAUAGCACUUAACCGUGUGACAGAUCAAGAUCCAAGAAAAACAUGUCUGGUGGAGAGGAAUCAACUACAUCUACAAAAUACAAUAGUGUCAAACAUGACUACGAUACUGCUGAAAGGAAAUCAGAUUCUGUAAAAGCUCCAAAGUUCAAUGGAGAUCCAGAAGAGUUUUCAUGGUGGAAAACCAAUAUGUACAGCUAUAUCAUGGGAUUGGAUGAAGAACUAUGGGAUAUUCUUGAAGAUGGAGUUGAUGAUUUGGAUUUGGAUAAAGAAAGAGUUGUUAUUGACAGAAGGAUCCACACUCCUGCUCAGAAGAAACUUUACAAAAAGCAUCACAAGAUCAGAGGGAUCAUUGUUGCUUCUAUACCUCACACUGAAUAUAUGAAGAUGAGUGAUAAAUCCACUGCUAAGGCAAUGUUUGCAUCACUCUGUGCUAACUACGAAGGAAGAAAGAAGGUUAGAGAAGUAAAGGCUCUAAUGCUAGUUCAUCAGUAUGAGCUGUUCAAGAUGAAGGAUGAUGAGAGUAUAGAGGAGAUGUACUCAAGAUUUCAAACUUUAGUAUCUGGACUGCAAAUACUAAAGAAGAGCUAUGUUACUUCUGAUCAUGUUAGCAAGAUUCUGAGAAGCUUGCCUUCUAGAUGGAGACCCAAAGUAACUGCCAUUGAGGAAGCUAAGGAUCUAAACACUUUAAGUGUUGAAGAUCUUGUCAAAUCCCUCAAGGUACAUGAAAUGAGUCUGAAUGAGCAUGAGUCCUCUAAGAAGAGUAAAUCUAUUGCUCUACCAUCUAAAGGAAAGUCUUCCAAAUCUUCCAAAGCUUACAAGGCCAGUGAAUCUGAAGAAGAAUCACCUGAUGGAGAUUAUGAUGAAGAUCAUUCUGUGAAGAUGGCUAUGCUGUCUAACAAGCUUGAGUAUUUGGCAAGGAAGCAGAAGAAGUUUUUGAGCAAAAGGGGUGGCUAUAAGAACUCCAAGAAAGAAGAUUAGAAGGGAUGCUUCAACUGUAAGAAGCCUGGUCAUUUCAUUGCUGAUUGCCCUGAUCUUCAGAAGGAGAAGUCUAAGAGCAGACCCAAGAAACCAAGCUUCAGCUCUAGCAAAUUCAGAAAACAAAUCAAAAAGAGCUUGAUGGCGACCUGGGAAGAUCUGGUUCUGAUAAAGAAGAAGCAGAUGAUGAUGCAAAAGCAGCCAUGGGGUUAGUGGCAAUAGUAUCAUCAGAAGCAGUAUCAGAAGCUGAAUCAGAUUCAAAAGAUGAAAAUGAGGUAUAUUCCAAAAUUCCCAGACAAGAACUUGUUGAUUCUCUAAAAGAACUCUUAUCACUAUUUGAACACAGAACCAAUGAGUUGUCUGAUUUAAAAGAAAAAUAUGUUGAUUUAAUGAAACAAUAAGAAACAACUCUAUUGGAACUGAAAGCUUCUGAAGAAGAACUCAAAGGGUUUAACUUCAUAUCAACAACAUAUGAAGAAAGACUCAAGAUUCUUUGUCAGAAGCUACAAGAAAAAUGUGAUAAAGGUUCUGGCAAUAAACAUGAAAUUGCGUUGGAUGAUUUUAUUAUGGCUGGCAUAGACAGAAGCAAAGUAGCUUCUAUGAUCUACAGCACAUACAAAAACAAUGGCAAAGGGAUUGGAUAUUCUGAGGAGAAAUCCAAAGAGUAUAGUCUCAAGAGCUAUUGUGAUUGUAUCAAGGAUGGAUUGAAAUCCACCUUUGUGCCUGAAGGUACUGAUGCUGUAACUGCUGUUCAGUCAGAACCUAAAGCUUCUGGUUCUAAGGCUAAGAUUACAUCAAAGCCAGAAAAACUCAAGUCUAAGGUUAUGACAAAAUCUGAUCCUAAGACUCCAAAGAUUAAAAUUCUGAAAAGAUCAGAACCUGUUCCUCAGAGUCUGAUUAAACCAGAAUCUAAAAUCCUAAAGCCAAAGGAUCAGAAGAACAAAGCAGUUACUGCUUCUGAGAAAACAAUACCUAAAGGUGUUAAACCUAAAUAUUGAAUGAUCAGAAGCUACUCAGCACUCAGCCCAAGGUACAAGGGAGGAAAGGUAAAACCUCCAGAACUAACCCAAAAGGACCCAUGAAGAUAUGGGUACCUAAAUCUGAAUUUAUUAAAAUUGCAGGUGUGCCUAAGGGCAAGAGAGAAACAAAGGUCAUGGUACCUAGACAGCGGGAGUUCAAGGCAUAUGACAGGAGAGAAAGCUUUGUUCCUUACCCUUACCAUGAAAGAUGGAGGAGAAGUGAAGUUUGGUGGCAACCAAACUGGAAAAAUCAUUGGUACAAGUACUAUUGGUAAUUCCUCAAUUUCAAUAAAUAAUGUGUGGCUUGUAGGUGGUCUGAAGCAUAACCUAUUGAGCAUUAGUCAAUUUUGUGACAAUGGGUAUGAUGUCAUGUUCAGUAAGACCAACUGCACACUAGUCAACAAGGAUGACAAAUCCAUUACAUUUAAGGGAAAGAGAGUUGAGAAUGUCUAUAAGAUUAAUUUCACUAAUCUGGCUGAUCAGAAGGUAGUUUGCCUUCUGUUAAUGAAUGAUAAAAAGUGGGUAUGCAUAGAAGGUUGGGACAUGCUAAUUGGAGAUUAAUUUCUAAAAUUAGCAAGUUACAACUUGUCAAAGGUUUGCCUAACAUUGAUUAUCAUUCAGAUGCACUUUGUGGUGCAUGUCAGAAAGGGAAGAUUGUGAAAAGUACUUUCAAAUCCAAAGACAUUGUAUCAACCUCCAGACCCUUAGAAUUACUUCAUAUUGAUCUCUUUGGACCAGUUAACACUACAUCCUUAUAUGGAAGUAAAUAUGGAUUAGUCAUUGUUGAUGAUUACAGCAGAUGGACCUGGGUAAAAUUCAUUAAAAGUAAAGAUUAUGCAUGUGAAGUGUUUAGCAGCUUCUGCACUCAAAUACAAUCUGAAAAAGAAUUGAAAAUUUUGAAAGUUAGAAGUGAUCAUGGUGGAGAAUUUGAAAACGAGCCAUUUGAAUCUUUUUGUGAAAAACAUGGGAUUCUCCAUGAAUUUUCUUCUCAUAGAACUCCAUAACAAAAUGGGGUUGUAGAGAGAAAGAACAGAACUUUACAAGAAAUGGUCAGAACCAUGAUCCAUGAAAACAAUUUAGCUAAACAUUUAUGGGCAGAAGCAGUUAAUACUUCAUGUUAUAUUCAAAAUAGGAUCUAUAUCAGACCUAUGUUGGAGAAAACUACAUAUGAACUCUUUAAAGGAAGAAGACCCAAUAUCUCUUACUUUCAUCAGUUUGGAUGUACUUGUUACAUUAUAAACACUAAAGACUAUCUGAAGAAAUUUGAUGCCAAGGCUCAAAAAGGAAUCUUUUUAGGUUACUCUGAAAGGUCAAAGGCAUACAGGGUGUAUAAUUCAGAAACACAGUGUGUUGAAGAAUCUAUGCACGUUAAAUUUGAUGAUAGAGAGCCUGUAAGUAAAACUCCAGAGCAAAGUGAAAGUAAUGCAGGUACAAAUGAUUCUGAAGAUGCAUCAGAAUCUGAUCAACCUUCUGAUACUGAAAAGAAUUCAGAAGGUGAAUCAAGUCCAGAAGCUGAACCUAAUCCAGAAGCUGGGUCUUUUUCAGAAGCUGAACCUAGUCCAGUAGUACAGAAUGAAAAUGCUUCUGAGAACAUUCAAGAUAACACUCAGCAUGUGGUUCAACCAAAAUUCAAGCACAAAUCUUCACAUCCUGAGGAGCUAAUCAUUGGAAGCAAAGACAGUCCUAGAAGAACAAGAUCUCAUUUCAGACAAGAAGAAUCUUUGAUAGGAUUGCUUUCAAUAAUUGAGCCAAAAACUGUUGAAGAAGCUCUCUCAGAUGAUGGAUGGAUUUUAGCUAUGCAAGAAGAGCUAAAUCAGUUCCAAACGAAUGAUGUGUGGGAUCUGGUACCCAAACCUAAUCAGAAGAACAUUAUUGGAACAAAAUGUGUAUUCAGAAACAAGCUGAAUGAACAAGGAGAGGUAACCAGAAACAAAGCUAAACUUGUUGCACAAGGUUACAGUCAACAAGAAGGCAUUGAUUACACUGAAACAUUUUCUCCAGUUGCAAGAUUGGAAGCAAUCAGGUUACUUCUAUCCUAUGCGGUUAAUCAUGACAUAAUAUUAUAUCAAAUGGAUGUCAAGAGUGCUUUUCUUAAUGGUGUCAUUGAAGAAGAAGUGUAUGUCAAACAAUCUCCUGGGUUUGAGGAUCUUAAGCAUCCUGACCAUGUUUAUAAACUUAAGAAAUCACUAUAUGGCUUGAAACAAGCUCCCAGAGCUUGGUAUGAUAGACUAAGUAAUUUCUUGAUUAAAAAUGAUUUUGAGAGAGGUCAAGUUGACAAAACACUAUUCAGAAAGACCCUUAAGAAAGACAUUCUGAUUGUGCAAAUAUAUGUUGAUGAUAUAAUAUUUGGUUCUACUAAUGCAUCUAUUUGCAAAGAAUUUUCUAAGUUAAUGCAGGAUGAAUUUGAAAUGAGCAUGAUGGGAGAAUUGAAGUUCUUUCUUGGAAUUCAAAUCAACCAAAACAAAGAAGGAGUAUAUGUUCAUCAAACAAAAUAUACAAAGGAGAUUCUGAAGAAGUUCAAGCUAGAAGAUUGUAAAGUGAUGAACACUCCAAUGCAUCCAACCUGCACCUUAAGCAAAGAAGAUACUGGAACUAUAGUAGACCAGAAGUUAUACAGAGGUAUGAUUGGUUCUCUGUUAUACCUCACUGCAUCCAAACCUGAUAUUUUAUUCUGUGUAUGCUUGUGUGCAAGAUUUCAAUCAGAUCCUAGAGAAUCUCAUUUAACUGCAGUUAAGAGAAUUUUCAGGUAUCUGAAAGGAACAACUAAUCUUGGACUCAUGUAUAGGAAAUCCCUAGAUUACAAGUUGGUUGGAUUCUGUGAUGCUAAUUAUGCUGGUGACAGGAUUGAAAGAAAAUCAACCAGUGGAAAUUGUCAAUUCCUGGGAGAGAAUCUGAUAUCCUGGGCACGCAAAAGACAAGCAACUAUUGCUAUGUCUACAGCAGAAGCAGAAUACAUUUCAGCUGCAAGUUGUUGUACACAACUACUUUGGAUGAAACAUCAGUUGGAAGAUUAUCAGAUUAAUGCUAACAGUAUUCCCAUCUUCUGUGAUAAUACUGCUGAUGAUCACACAUCAGUCCGGUACAACUUUACAAAGAGCUUAUCGGUGUAGAAAAUGCCCGCUAUCGGAGGAUGAUUAAUGAUGAUAGGCGGUAUAAAGAGAUCUUAGACGCUCUAUCCUACGCCGGUAUUGGCAAUGCACCACGGGUUAAAUGGAUGAUAAUGCCGGAUAUGGGUUUCCUCAUCGGAUAGAAAUUCAACCAAUGCGCUUGGCAACCUAUUUUCCUUUAUGUGGUCCACCGCCGCCGCCAAGUAUAACUCCAUUGAUGUGUCUAGCAUAUGUGAAUGACAAUCAUUUUAUGGCAUUGAAUUUGAAGGAUGAUUGUCCGAUUCCUCCCACUUGCAAACUAUGGAGACAACACCAUCGAGAGGAAGCAGACAGCUGGUCUGAUAGAUAUGCCAGCCGGAUGGUAGAUUAUAAUGAGCUAAGUCAGAGGCGGGUCAAGCGGUGGUAGAAGAUGAUGAAGAAUAGUACAUUAUUGAAAAUCUUGAUCCCGAUGAGAGAGUUGGUCCUAGUCUUGGUGUGAAGGCUGAAAAUGACGAUAGCUCCAUCGAUCUUUCGACGCCAUAGAUUAGAUAUAUAUCAUUAAUGUAGUUGAAAUGUAUAUCAUUAGGUGAAAUGUGUAAUGAUAUAUAUUCAACUCUUUUUUGGUAUAAUGAUAUAUAUAUAUAUAUAUAUAUAUAUAUAUAUAAAAUCAUUUUUUGAUAUAAUAGUUAAGUUAAUUGCCUUUUAUACAUACAUAUAUAAUGAUUUUUCGAAGGUAAUUUUGGAAAAAAUAGGGCGCGCAAGGAAGGACAUAGGAUGGGAAACAACUUCUAGUGUAGGCCAACUUAUUCCCACUUUUUGUGUUAUUUAUCUGAAGUUUAUCAAUUUAAAAUGGAGUAAAUAGUCAAUUUCUCCCAUAAAAUUGUAGGUUUCGUCAAUUACCCCCCUGAAAUUGGAUAACGUUAAUCAAUUUAGUCCCUCCGUCAAAUUUUUCUGUUAACUGUUUACGGUUAUGAUCAAAUACCCCCUGAAAUUUGGCAUUUAUGUGCAAAAUGCCCCCUAAAUUUGAAAAUUUAUAUUUUUUUUUAUCCUUGACUCAAAAGAUAUUAAAGGCAAACAAAUAAACAAUUAUUGAUCAUAUAAAUAUGUAUGGAAUGUAUGUUUAUGCAGCUAUUUGUCAUAUAAAUCUUUAUGGGAUGUAUGUUACUCUCAUGUGUUUUAAAUAUAUACAUAUAUAGAAGACUUUUUUUUACACAAGUUGGUAAUUAUGUUAAAGUAUGCAUUCAUAAAGUACACAAGUCUUUGAUAAUUGUGUGUCCAUAUGUUAAUAUCUGCAGAAGGAAGAAGAAACAAGACUUGUUUAUAAAUAUGAAAUAUGAAUGAAAAGGCUGCACAUGACAAAACCAUGAUUUCUUGGCAUAUAUUCAUUCAUUUUCUUGUGAAUAUAAUUUUUAUGACAAUAGGUACAAUAUACUACUUGAAGAACUAAAUGUAUGAUUUUUGGUAAGAAAAAAAAUCUAAAUUUUUAAGUUUAGGGGGCAUUUUGCACAUAAGUGCAAAAUUUCAUGGGUGAUAUUUGAUCAUAACCGUAAACAGUUAACAGAAAAAUUUGAUGUAGGGGUCAAUUGAUUAACGUUAUGCAAUUUCAGGGGGUAAUUGAAGUUUUAUUAAUUUUGAAGGUAAUUGACGAAACUUACAAUUUCAGAAAGGAUAUUGACUAUUUACUCGUUUAAAAUGUAGCGAAUAACAAAAUAUUCCCUCCUUUAAAAAAUAAAAAAGAAAUUCUUGAAACAAGUGAAUUUUGAGGUGGUUGGUAUCGUAACAAUAAACAAAUCAAUGAAUAAACAAACAAACAUGAUGGUAAUAUGGUAGGUGUGGGGAUUCGUUGACCAAACUGAUCUUCUUGCAUAUAGCCUGCAUCCCAGAGUUGUGAAACACGCUUGCUCAGAUCAUUUUGUUUUUGUUCAAUAUCUAUUAUAUCAUGGCAGAGGUUGAUGUUGGUCAGGCAUUUCUUUCCCCUAUCAUUCAAUUGAUUUGUGAGAAAUUAACUUCAACAUAUUUCAGAGACUAUUUCCAUGAAGGGCUGGUGAAAAAACUUGAAAUCACACUGAAGUCUAUCAAUUAUUUGCUGGAUGACGCAGAGACUAAGCAGUACCAAAAUCAACGCGUGGAGAAUUGGCUUGAUGAUGUCAGUAAUGAGGUAUACGAAUUAGAGCAACUAUUGGAUGUGAUUGUUACUGACGCACAACGAAAGGGGAAGAUAAGUCGUUUUCUUUCUGCUUUUAUUAAUCGAUUUGAAUCUAGAAUUAAAGCUUCGCUGGAGAGGCUAGUGUUUCUUGCAGAUCUAAAGUAUGAACUGGGAUUUGAAGUAGCAGCUAAUCCCAGGCUAGAGUUUGGUGGAGUCACCCGCCCGUUUCCAACUGUAUCUUUGGUUGAUGAAUCUCUGAUACUUGGUAGAGAGCAUGAGAAAGAGGAAAUAAUCGAUUUUAUACUUUCAGACAGGGAUGGUGUCAACCGGGUACCCAUAAUCAGUAUAGUGGGUCUGAUGGGGAUGGGUAAGACAGCCCUUGCUCAGCUUGUUUACAAUGACCAUAGGAUACAGGAGCAGUUUGAAUUUAAAGCUUGGGUCUAUGUUCCAGAAUCUUUUGGUCGUCUUCAUCUCAACAAAGAAAUAAUUAAUAUUCAACUCCAACACUUGGUAGCACGGGAUAAUUAUUUACUUGUUCUAGAUGAUGCCUGGAUCAAAGAUAGGAAUAUGUUGGAGUAUUUACUACAUUUUACUUUUCGAGGUAAGAUUAUCGUGACGACACAUGAUAAUGAAGUAGCAUCAGUCAUGAGAUCCAACCGGAUAAUUCAUUUAAGGCAAUUGGAGGAGAGUGACUCUUGGAGUUUAUUUGUGAGACAUGCUUUUGAAGGCAGGAAUAUGUUUGAAUAUCCAAAUCUUGAAUCCAUCGGUAUGAGAAUAGUAGAAAAAUGUGGGGGUUUGCCUUUAGCUCUGAAAACAUUGGGGAUUCUCUUGCAAAGAAAAUUCUCUGAAAUUAAAUGGGUUAAGAUAUUGGAGACUGAUUUGUGGCAUUUCUCCGAAGGUGACAGCAACAGCAUUUUUUCCAUUCUGAGAAUGAGUUACCUUAGCCUACCUUCCAAUCUGAAGCAUUGUUUUGCAUAUUGUUCUAUAUUUCCCAAGGGUUAUGAGUUUGAAAAGGAUGGAUUAAUCAAGCUUUGGAUGGCACAAGGUUUGCUAAAGGGAAUAGCCAAAAAUGAAGAAGAGUUGGGUAAUAAAUUCUUCAAUGAUCUAGUGUCAAUUUCGUUUUUCCAACAAUCAGCAAUUGUGCCAUUCUGGGCUGGUAAGUACUAUUUCAUCAUGCAUGAUCUUGUCCAUGAUUUAGCGACAUCAAUGUCAGGGGAAUUCUGCUUACGAAUAGAGGGUGUGAAAGUGCAAUAUAUCCCUCAAAGGACACGUCACAUUUGGUGCUGCCUUGAUUUGGAAGAUGGUGAUAGAAAACUAAAGCAGAUUCAUAACAUUAAAGGACUACGGAGUCUGAUGGUAGAAGCACAAGGCUAUGGUGAUAAACGCUUUAAGAUAUCCACCAAUGUGCAGUAUAAUUUGUAUUCAAGACUACAAUAUUUACGGAUGUUAUCUUUCAAAGGUUGCAAUCUCUCAGAGCUAGCUGAUGAGAUAAGAAACUUAAAGCUUCUGCGCUAUCUAGACCUUUCUUACACCGAGAUUACAAGCUUACCUGAUUCCAUUUGUAUGUUGUAUAAUUUGCAUACGCUCUUGCUGAAAGAAUGUUUUAAACUACUUGAGCUCCCGCCAAAUUUUUGCAAACUCAUCAAUUUACGUCAUCUUAAUUUGAAAGGCACGCAUAUUAAGAAGAUGCCAAAGGAGAUAAGUGAAUUAAUCAAUCUUGAGAUGCUGACUGAUUUUGUUGUGGGAGAGCAACAUGGAUAUGAUAUUAAGCAGUUGGCAGAACUCAACCACCUUAAAGGAAGGCUUCAAAUUUCAGGAUUGAAAAAUGUGGCUCAUCCAGCAGAUGCUAUGGCAGCAAAUUUGAAAGAUAAGAAACAUUUAGAAGAAUUAAGUUUGUCGUAUGAUGAAUGGAGAGAAAUGGAUGGCUUAGUAACUGAAGCACGUGUCUCGGUCUUGGAAGCUCUUCAACCAAAUAGACACCUCAUGAGACUCACCAUCAAUGACUACAGAGGUAGUAGCUUUCCAAAUUGGCUUGGGGAUCAUCAUCUACCCAAUUUAGUAUCUCUUGAAUUGUUGGGAUGUAAACUCUGUUCCCAGUUGCCACCACUUGGGCAGUUGCCUUCUCUCGAGAAGCUUUCCAUUUCUGGCUGUCAUGGAAUAGAGAUCAUUGGUUCAGAGUUUUGCGGCUAUAAUCCAUCAAAUGUUCCAUUUAGAUCCCUUGAAACUUUGCGGGUUGAGCAUAUGUCUGAAUGGAAGGAAUGGUUAUGUCUUGAAGGUUUCCCAUUGCUUCAAGAGCUUUGUAUAACGCAUUGUCCCAAGUUGAAGAGUGCUCUGCCUCAGCACGUUCCUUGUUUGCAAAAGUUGGAGAUUAUUGAUUGCCAAGAGUUGGAGGCUUCAAUUCCUAAUGCUGCUAAUAUCAGUGAUAUAGAACUAAAGAGAUGUGAUGGCAUUUUUAUAAAUGAAUUGCCAUCAAGCUUGAAAAGGGCCAUCCUUUGUGGAACUCAUGUCAUUGAAAUCACCCUAGAGAAAAUUCUAGUUAGUAGUCCCUUUCUUGAAGAACUGGAAGUUGAAGACUUCUUUGGUCCAAAUCUAGAAUGGUCCUCUUUGGAUAUGUGUAGUUGUAAUUCCCUUCGCACUUUAACUAUAACAGGUUGGCACUUGUCAUACCCCAAAUUUGACCCGUUUGAAAUCUUUUAUCCGUUUCUUUUACCAUUUAAAACUCGUUUUUGUGUCGUCUUUAAUUAUUAAAAAAAAACUGUCAUCUUGCAUUUAAGUCUCUGCUCGCUUUUUACAACAGUUAAAAUCACUUCAUCUGUUUUUUUUAUAACUUUUAGACGCAUUUUAUAUUUAAAAGUUUUAGUCAUAACAGUCAAGUCAUUUUAAAAGAUCUAAUUGUAUUUUAAAAGUCGCGUUUUUUUAAUCAUUUCAGACAAAAUUUCGGCAGAGAGGAUACUUUGAAGUACCUCAUGUCAGAUUUCGAAGGGAUUUUUUUUUAUUUAUUAAUUAAUAUUUUAUUUUUAUUUUAUUUGUCAUUUUUUAUUUUUCUUUUUUUUGUUUAUUAUUAUUUUAUUUUAUUAAUUUUUUUUUUUAAAAAAAAAAACAAAGAAAGGAAAGUCACUCACGUAACUUUCUUUCUUCUUUCCUCUUUUCUUUUCUUUUUUUUCUUAUUAUUUUUAUUUGUUAAGUCUUUAUCCCCAAGUCUCCCACAGGGGUAUUUUGGUCUUUGAUAUGUACCAGAGCCAACCCUAUUUUGUCACUAUAAAUACACUGUCCAAUCAUUGGGAAGAGGGUCCGAAAAUUCACUGUAGCUGCGUCAGAGUCAAAUUAGUCCAAUCAAUACAAACCCUAAUCCUUUCUCUCUCAUACCAAAUACAGAUCAAACACAAAAAAAAAUCACAAAAAUUAUGAACAAUCUCAAGAACACAUGAACCUUGACCCUUUCCAAAAAUGAAUAUAAUCACCACAAACUCAUAAAACCGACUCAAAUCAUCACAUAAUCACCAUAAACUAACAGAAUCAACUCAACUCAUCACAAAAACACCAAAACCGAAUCGGUUUUCAUCUACAUAAUCAAAACGUGAUUCUUCAUCACCAACACCAACAAUUUCGAGUCAAGCAAAGAAGAAGAGAAGGAAAAUGAAGUGAAGUAUUCCGGAUCUAGAAGAAAACGAAGCUUUCUUUCUCUUUCUACAACAUAUUUCUCCAUUUCAACUAGGGUAACUAUCUUCCCUUUCCUCUUUUCUCUUUCAUGUACAAAAAAUUUUCGAAUCUUAAAAGCUAGAUCUACUCUUGUUUGUUGUUUCUUUUUGAAAACUAGGUUUAGAUUCGGACUCUACACAAAAAAGGAUAUCUAGAUCUGCAUUUUUUUUGAAAACAGAGGUGUUUGGAUUUUCCGGCGUGGUGGCGCCGCCCUGAUGGGCUGGCAGCCGCCGUGCCGGCUUUCAAGUAGCUCGUCGGAGAAGAAGGCUGCACUUGCAGACCUUCUCUCACUAAGUUUGUUUAGAGAGAGGGAGAAAGGAAGAAAUGAAGGAAAACCGGUUCAAAUUUCUUUUUAUAAGCACAUGCGAACCGGUCUGGUUCAUCUGAACCGGACCGGUUCAUCUGGCUCUUCCUUCCUUUCUUUCUAAACCCUUAGAUCUUUCCUCCUCUUUUAAUCUAACGGUCCUGUGUGUGUAAUCCAUGGUAAUACUUGUACAUCUUCGGAUCUAGACUGUUUAGAUCUCGUAUCUGACGGUCAGUGAUGAUUCUGCUAAGAUCACGCGCAUGUUCUUUUCUGUGUUCAGUUUUGUUUAACCCUUGGAUCUUGGAUCCAGUGGCUGUGAUGAGAUAUUGGGAUUUAGAUCUGGACCUCUGGAUUCAUCCAACGGUCCAGAUUGUAUCCUGCUGAGCCAAUUUCUUUUUUAAUUGUUCUUUAUUUUUAAAUACUGUUUUUACACUUUUUUUUGACAUUUUUGUGUUUAGAAAAAUUCCAAAAUAUUGUUCUCAUCAUUUUAAUUUUCUCUAAUUUUAAAAAUUCAUCCUAUUUGUUUACUUUUAAAAUUUUUUGUUUAUUUCUUAUAUGAUGAUUUUAAUUGUUGCUUGUCUUAAUUCCUUGCUUAUUAUUUCUUAUAUCUCAUGCAUCAUAAUAUUUGUUAUGCUUACUAACAAUUUAAUUUUUGUCUUGAAUCAUAGCAUUCACAUUUAAUUUUCUUAUCAUUUUAUUUUGUCAUUGACGUAGUGUGUAUAAAUAGGGAAUUGAUGUAAUUUUAUUUCUUGCAUUUUAUUUUGGCAUAAAGGCCUUAGGGUUGUAUUUAGGAAUUGAUGUAAUAAUGUAGGUAACACAAGCACCGACAAUUGCACCGACACUACCACAAUUUAUUUACCGCUUUCCGCUCGUUUUUACGACGUUACGUUAGUUUAGAAAAAAUCAUUUUUCUCAAAAAAAUCAAAUAUGCAAAACUUCAAAAUCAUUUUCUUAAUAACAUUUUUAAUUAAACUCUCAAUCAAUUUUAAUUCAACUUCAAUCAUUUUCAAAAUUUAAAAUCAAUCAACCUCACUCAUUUCUUUUAUCUCAUGCCUUGAGGUCUCUUUCUCUUCUUAAAACCAUUUUCAAAAAUCUUAAAAUCAACCUAACCCACCAAAGAAUAUUUUUUAGUGGAACUACGUCGGUUUUGAUCCCUUUCCCAAAAAGGGUACGUAGGCAGAGGACUUGUCCUUCCAAAUCAAAUAAAAAUAACCAAAAACAUACUCCUUCUCCCUCCAUUCUUUCACUUAGAUUUUUAGGUAAUAAUUUUUCAAGUAAGCCAAAUGAAUUUAGCACAAGAUAAUCUAGGUAAGCGGUUCCUUCGGAGUACCGAAGUCGUUUAGGGUGCUUAACACCUUCCCUAUUCGAAACCAACCCCCGAAUCCAAAGUCUCGAUAAGGGUUUUUACUCAUUUUUUCCCUUCCCACGAAUAAAAAUUGAGAGUUCAAAGAUUGACGAUUCAAAUCAAUCAAUGGUUUGAUAUCCGAAAAUCGGGGAGCACAGCACUCUUCUUCCUUGCCUUUUGCACUACAUUUGUUCACCAAUCUUAAUUCUCUCGUGUUGUACAAUUGUCCGUGGCUGGAAUCGUUUUUUUAGAGGCAGUUGCCUUCCAACCUAAGCAGCCUCCGAAUAGAAAGAUGCCGUAAUUUGAUGGCUACAAUAGAGGAGUGGGGUUUGUUCAAACUCAAAUCUCUGAAACAAUUCAGUCUUAGUGAUGAUUUUGAAAUCUUUGAGUCCUUUCCAGAAGAGAGUAUGCUGCCAUCAACUAUUAACUCUCUUGAGUUGACAAAUUGUUCAAACCUAAGAAAAAUAAACUACAAGGGUCUUCUCCACCUCACUUCACUUGAAUCUCUAUAUAUUGAAGAUUGCCCUUGUCUUGAGAGCUUGCCAGAGGAGGGUCUACCCAGUUCCCUUUCUACUUUGUCCAUUCAUGAUUGUCCAUUAAUUAAGCAGUUGUACCAAAAGGAGCAAGGCAAGCGUUGGCAUACAAUUUCUCAUAUCCCUUCUGUCACAAUUUCCUGAUUGACGGCUGAGAUGAGAUGUUAUUUUUUCCAGGUGCACGAUAUUCACCAAUCUGUUUAUAGUUGUCGAACAUUAGUAAAUUUUCUUUUAAAUAGUGAAAUUAAUGCACAACGUACUGUGUUUUAUGUUGAUCAAGUCAUGGUGUUUGUGAUAUAUGUUUCUAUGGUGUUUAAAACCAUCUCAUGGGAUUCUUCGUUUUCAAUUUUUAUUUAUUCUACCUAUUGAUAUAAAAGUCUUUUAAUUGCUGAGGUCCUUUAGGCUUUGUUUGGGAGUUGAAUUUUGGAGGGGAGGGGAAGGGAAGGAAAAGCUUAUGGAGUGGUAACCCUUGUUUGCAAGUUUUAAAAAAACAAGGGAAAGGUUUUGGGGGGUUUUGAAGGGUUUAAUUUGUCCAAUUUUAAAGUUCCCCCAAAUUGGAGGGUUUUGGGGGGGUUAAACAUACAAAUUGACAAUUUUGCCCUCUUAAUAAUUCAAAAUUUCAAUUUUAGACCUUACUAAAAUUAUUACAAUCUUUUUUAGAAACAACUUAUUCCAAACAACUUAUUUAUACAAAACAGCUUAAUAGGACCUCAUUUUCAAAAACAGCUUAUUCAAAACAACUUAUUUAUGCAAAACAUCUUAAUACGAUCUCUUUUUCAAAAACGGCUUAUUCAAAACUGCUUAUUUAUAUAAAACAGCUUAUUACGACCUCAUUUUCAAAAACCGCUUAUUCGAAACAACUUAUUUAUACAAAACAGCUUAUUACGAUCUCUUUUCCAAAAACAGCUUAUUUACGCAAAACAGCUUAAUACGAUCUCUUUUUCAAAAACAGCUUAUUCAAAACAGCUUAUUUAUACAAAACAGCUUAUUACGACCUCUUUUUCAAAAACAACAUAUUCAAAACAACUUAUUUAUGCAAAACAGCUUAAUACGAUCUCUUUUUCAAAAACAGCUUAUUCAAAACAACUUAUUUAUACAAAACAGCUUAUUACGACCUCAUUUACAAAAACAGCUUAUUCAAAACAACUUAUUUAUGCAAAACACCUUAAUAGACCUCAUUUUCAAAUACAGCUUAUUCAAAACAGCUUAUUUAUGCAAAACAGCUUAAUACGAUCUCUUUUUCAAAAACAGCUUAUUUAUACAAAACAGCUUAUUACGACCUCAUUUACAAAAACAGCUUAUUCAAAACAGCUUAUUUAUGCAAAACAGCUUAUUACAACCUCAUUUUCAAAAAUCGCUUACUCAAAACAACUUAUUUAUACAAAACAGCUUAUUACGACCUCUUUUUCAAAAACAGCUUAUUCAAAACAACUUAUUUAUGCAAAACAGCUUAAUACGACCUCAUUUUCAAAAACGGCUUAUUCAAAACAACUUAUUUAUGCAAAACAGCUUAAUACGAUCUCUUUUUCAAAAACAGCUUAUUUAUACAAAACAGCUUAUUACGACCUCAAUUUCAAAAAUCGCUUAUUUAAAACAACUUAUUUAUACAAAACUGCUUAAUAUGACUUCAUUUAAAAAAAUAGCUUAUUCAAAACAACUUAUCUAUGCAAAACAGCUUAAUACGAUUUUUUUUCUUUCAAAAACAGCUUAUUUAUAUAAAACAGCUUAUUACGACCUCAUUUUCAAACUCCGCUUAUUCAAAACAACUUAUUUAUACAAAACUGCUUAUUAUGACCUCAUUUUCAAAAACUGCUUAGUCAAAAAUCGCUUAAUACAAUCUAUUUUUCAAAAACAACUUAUUCUAAACAGCUUAUUUAUCCAAAACAGCUUAUUAUCACCUAUUUUCAAAAAACAGCUUAUUCAAAACAACUUAUUAAUGCAAAACAACUUAUUACGACCCCUUUUUAAAAAAACAGCUUAUUCAAAAUAACUUAUUUUUACAAAAAAAGUUUUGGAUAAAUAAGUUGUUUUGAAUAAGUUGUUUUUGAAAAAGAGAUCAUAAUAUGUUGUUUUGCAUAAAUAAGUUUUUUUGAAUAAGUUGUUUUUAAAAAAGAGAUCGUAAUAAGCGGUUUUGCAUAAAUAAGCUGUUUUGAAUAAGUUAUUUUUUGAAAAGAGGACAUAAUAAGUUGUUUUGCAUAAAUGAAUUGUUUUGAAUAAGAGGAUUUUGAAGAUUUUGAAAUGAGGUCGUUAUAAACAGUUUUGUAUAAAUAAGUUGUUUUGAAUAAGCGAUUUUUGAAAAUGAGGUCGUAAUAAGCUGUUUUGUAUAAAUAAGUUGUUUUGAAUAAGCGGUUUUUGAAAAUGAUGUCGUAUUAAGCUAUUUUGUAUAAAUAAGCUGUUUUGAAUAAGCUGUUUUUGAAAAAGAGAUCGUAUUAAGCUGUUUUGUAUAAAUAAGCUGUUUUUGAAAAAGAGGUCGUAAUAAGCUGUUUUGUAUAAAUAAGUUGUUUUGAUUAUGCGGUUUUUGAAAAUGAGGUCGUAAUAAGCUGUUUUAUAUAAAUAAGCUGUUUUGAAUAAGCUGUUUUAGUAAAAGAGAUUGUAUUAAGCUGUUUUGCAUAAUAAGUUGUUUUGAAUAAGCUUUUUUUGAAAAUGAGGUCAUAUUAAGCUGUUUUGUAUAAAUAAGUUGUUUUGAAUAAGCGAUUUUAAAAAAUGAGGUCAUAAUAAGCUGUUUUGUAUAAAUAAGCUGUUUUGAAUAAGCUGUUUUUGAAAAUGAUGUCGUAAUAAGCUGUUUUUUUAUAAAUAAGUUGUUUUGAAUAAGCGGUUUUUGAAAAUGAGGUCGUAAUAAGCUAUUUUGUAUAAAUAAGCUGUUUUGAAUAAGCUGUUUUUGAAAAAGAGAUCGUAUUAAGCUGUUUUGCAGAAAUAAGCUGUUUUGAAUAAGUUGUUUUGUAUAAAUAAGCUGUUUUGAACAAGUUGUUUUUUGAAAAGAGGUCGUAAUAAGCUGUUUUUUAUAGAUAAACUAUUUUCGAUAAGUUGUUUUUGAAAAAGAGAUUGUAUUAAGCUGUUUUUCUGAAAAGAGGUCAUAAUAAGUUGUUUUGUAUAAAUAAGCUAUUUUGAAUAAGUUGUAUUUUAAAAAAAGAUCGUAAUAAUUUGUUUUUCAUAAGAUAAGCUAUUUUUUAAAAAGAGGUCGUAAUAAGUUGUUUUGUAUAAGUGAUUGUAAUAAUUUUUUAUUUUUUUUUAUAAAUAAGUUGUUUUUUAAAAUAGAUCUUAAUAAUUUGUUUUUCAUGCGAUAAGUUGUUUUGAAUAAAUUAGAAGUUAAAUUACAAAGUAUAAGAAUGUAUUGAUUUUAAGAGGAAAAAGGGUAAAAUAGUAAAAUUAUAACAUAAGCCCUUCAUCUCCUUUCCUUGUUGGCUUUUUAACUCCCAAACAAGGGGAAGGUUUUCCCUCCUUUCUCCCUUCCCUCCCUUUCCUUCCCUUCCCCUCCUUAGCCUUUCCUUUCCUUCCCCUCAAAACUCGCAAACAAAGCCUUAAUUGCUUAUAUGAACCUUCAAGAAGAGACACAAUUCAUAGAAGUAUAUCUGAAUGUCGCUGUCUUUUGAAAAUAGUGACGUUUUUGCGGAAAUGAGAGCUUUGUGUUUAAAGGUAGGAAAGUAAAUAGGCAAGCAACAUAAAUUUAUUAAAGCAACCAGAGAAUAGUAACAAUGUCUGAUUACAGCCAACAGAACACUGUUUUUCAAGUUCAAACUUUGUUAGAGUAAUGUAGAAAGCUUAGCUUCUUAGUGAUUAAGGCUUUGUUUGCAAGUUUUGAGGGGAAGGAAAGGAAAGGUUAAGGAGGGGAAGGGAAGGAAAGGGAGGGAAGGGAGAAAGGAGGGAAAACCUUCCCCUUGUUUGGGGGUUAAAAAGCCAAUAAGGAAAGGAAAUUGAGGGCUUAUGUUAUAAUUUUACUAUUUUACCCUUUUUCCUCUUAAAAUCAAUACAUUGUUAUACUUCGUAAUUUAACUUCUAAUUUAUUCAAAACAAUUUAUCUCAUGAAAAACAAAUUAUCACGAUCUAUUUUUAAAAAACAACUUAUUUAUAAAAAAAAAAAAAAAAAACUUAUUACAAACACUUUUUAAAAACAACUUAUUUAUACAAAAAAAACUUAUUACGACCUCUUUUUAAAAAACAGCUUAUCUUAUGAAAAACGAAUAUUUACGAUAUUUUUUAAAAAAACAACUUAUUCAAAACAACUUAUUAUGACCUCUUUUAAAAUAAAACAUCUUAAUACGAUCUCUUAUUCAAAAACAACUUAUCUAAAACAACUUAUGUAUACAAAACAGCUUAUUACGACCUCUUUUCAAAAAACAACUUGUUCAAAACAGCUUAUUUAUACAAAACAACUUAUUACAAUCUCAUUUUCAAAAACAACUUAUUCAAAACAGCUUAUUUAUGCAAAACAGCUUAAUACGAUCUCUUUUUCAAAAACAGCUUAUUCAAAACAGCUUAUUUAAACAAAACAGCAUAUUACGACCUCAUUUUCAAAAACUGCUUAUUCAAAACAACUUAAUUAUACAAAACAGGCUUAAUAUGACCUCAUUUUGAAAAAAAACAGCUUAUUUAAAACAGCUUAUUACGACCUCAUUUUCAAAACAACUUAUUUAUACAAAACAGCUUAUUACGACCUCUUUUUCAAAAAACAGCUUAUUCAAAACAGCUUAUUUAUGCGAAACAGCUUAAUACGAUCUCUUUUUCGAAAACAACUUAUUCAAAAUAGCUUAUUUAUACAAAACAGCUUAUUCCGACUUUUUUUUUCAAGAACCGCUUAUUCAAAACAACUUAUUUAUACAAAACAGCUUAUUAAGACCUCAUUUUCAAAAACAGCUUAUUUAUAUAAAACAGCUUCAUACGACCUCAUUUUUAAAAACCUCUUAUUCAAAACAACUUAUUUAAUCACAACAGCUUAUUACGACAUCAUUUUCAAAAAUCGCUUAUUCACAACAACUUAUUUAUAUAAAACUGCUUAUUAUGACCUCAUUUUCAAAAACCUCUUAUUCAAAACAACUUAUUUAUCCAAAGGGAGAUCGUAAUAAGUUGUGUUGUAUAAAUAAGUUGUUUUGAAUAAGCGAUUUUUUGAAAAGGAGUUCGUAAUAAGCUGUGUUGUAUAAAUAAGUUGUUUUGAAUAAGCGGUUUUUGAAAACAAGGUCAUAAUAAGUUGUUUUUUUUAUAAAUAAGUUGUUUUGAAUAAGCUGUUUUUGAAAAAGAGAUCGUAUUAUGCAGUUUUGCUUAAAUAAGUUGUUUUUAAAAAUGAGGUUGUAAUAAGUUGUUUUUUAUAAAUAAGGUGUUUUGAAUAAGCGGUUUUUGAAAAUGAGGUCGUAACAAGCUGUUUUGAAAAAGAGAUCAUAUUAAGAUGUUUUGCAUAAAUAAGUUGUUUUGAAUAAGCGAUUUUUGAAAAUGAGGUCGUAAUAAGCUGUUUUGUAUAAAUAAGUUGUUUUGAAUAAGUGGUUUUUAAAAAAUGAGGUCGUAAUAAGCUGUUUUGUAUAAAUAAGUUGUUUUAAAUAUGCGGCUUUUAAAAAAUGAGGUCGUAAUAAGCUGUUUUGUAUAAAUAAGCUGUUUUGAAUGAGCUGUUUUUGAAAAAGAUAUCGUAUUAAGCUGUUUUGCAUAAAUAAGCUGUUUUUGAAAAUGAGGUCGUAAUAAGUUGUUUUGUAUAAAUAAGUUGUUUUUAAUAAGAGGUUUUUGAAAAUGAGGUCGUAAUAAGCUGUUUUUAAUAAGCUGUUUUUGAAAAAGAUAUCGUAUUAAGCUGUUUUGCAUAAAUAAGUUGUUUUGAAUAAGCUGUUUUUGAAAAUGAGGUCGUAAUAAGCUGUUUUGUAUAAAUAAGCUGUUUUGAAUAAGCUGUUUUUGAAAAAGAGAUCAUAUUAAGCUGUUUUGCAUACAUAAGUUGUUUUGAAUAAGCUGUUUUUGAAAAUGAGGUCGUAAUAAGCUGUUUUGUAUAAAUAAGCUGUUUUGAAUAAGCUGUUUUUGAAAAAGAGAUCAUAUUAAGCUGUUUUGCAUACAUAAGUUGUUUUGAAUAAGCUGUUUUUGAAAAUGAGGUCGUAAUAAGCUGUUUUGUAUAAAUAAGCUGUUUUGAAUAAGCUGUUUUUGAAAAAGAGAUCAUAUUAAGCUGUUUUGCAUACAUAAGCUGUUUUGAAUAAGCUGUUUUUGAAAAUGAGGUCGUAAUAAGCUGUUUUGUAUAAAUAAGUUGUUUUGAAUAAGCUGUUUUUGAAAAAGAGAUCAUAUUAAGCUGUUUUGCAUACAUAAUUUGUUUUGAAUAAGCUGUUUUUGAAAAAGAGAUCGUAUUAAGCUGUUUUGCAUACAUAAGUUGUUUUGAAUAAGCUGUUUUUGAAAAUGAGGUCGUAAUAAGCUGUUUUGUAUAGAUAAGUUGUUUUGAAUAAGCGGUUUUUGAAAAUGAGGUCGUAAUAAGCUGUUUAUUAUAAAUAAGUUGUUUUGAAUAAGCAGUUUUUGAAAAUGAGGUCGUAAUAAGCAGUUUUGUAUAAAUAAGUUGUUUUGAAUAAACGGUUUUUGAAAAUGAGGUCGUAAAAAGAUGUUUUGUAUAGAUAAGUUGUUUUGAAUAAAUUGUUCUUAAAAAAGAUUGUAAUAAUUUUAGUAAUGUUUGAAAUUGGAAUUUUGAAUUAUUAAGAGGGCAAAAUUGUCAAUUUGUAUGGUUAAUCCCCCAAAACCCCCCAAUUUGGGGGAACUUUAAAAUUGGACAAAUGAAGCCCUUCAAAACCCCCCAAAACCUUUCCCUUGUUUUUUUAAAACUCGCAAAUAAGGGUUUACACUCCAUAAGCCUUUCCUUUCCUUCCCCUCCCCUCUAAAAUCCAACUCGCAAACAAAGCCUAACCAACUGUUGAGUCAGUUACAACUAUGUUGAGUUAGUUAGAACUAAAGAAUUCUAUAUAUACAUAGUUGAAUCCUGUAACAAUCAAUGAAAUGAAUACAGAAAAGUUAUACAUUUAGAAUUUCAAUAUGGUAUCAGCUGCUACAUCUCAUAUGCAUGUGUAAACAAAAUAGUCUGCUACAAUUAGAUAAUUUUCUUUGAACAGAAAACAGUAUUGACAAUAUAUUCAAUAUUAACUAGCAUACCAUCUACUUAUGACUCUGAGAGAAGGUUAAAUAUUUAUUUUCAUAUUUCAACAAAGGUGAAAGCUAAAAAUGAUUGGUCAGAAAUGAAUGAAUAUUAACAUCAACAAUAAUACUAGAUGGAUAUGUUGUUUUUUGUAACAGUUCGUAAAUCUAGAGAAUAAAAACAUAAAAUCUAUACAGAAAAAAAAUUAAAACUAAGAAAAGAAAGAAAUAUGAAAGUAAAAAAACCCCAUCCAUCUUCCUGUCUUGUUGAUUACUCCAUUUCACUUCAUAAAUCUUGAAAUCUAUGGCCUAAUAAUAAAACAACUCAAGAUAUAUGCAUUGAUCAUAUCUCUCUCGAGCCACUUUACGAAAUCCCUCUGACUUAUGCGUACUGCUCUCUGCAGAUUGAUAAAUGCUGGUCCUGCUGGUGAGAUUCUCCCAGCCGUUUCAUCAUCAGUAGAGAUGAGAGAAUGCAGCUGAAGAACAGAAGUAAUUACAGCAGCAUCUUCUGUCUUCACAAACGAGUUUUCGAAAUUGACAUCUUUGAGUUUGCUAACUUUGGAUUAAUCUGCAAAGGAAAAUGCAAGUUCCCUGCUUCAGUUGUCAAAUGAUAGCUUAUUUGGUGCAAUACAUCUUUCUUUUCAUGAAUUCCUGUAAUUUUCAGAUUUAUUGUUUCAUAUGAGAAAAAUGGAGAUCAAUAAUGUGAACCACCUUUUCACCUUUCUUGCCUAUUCACGAGUAUUUGGAUUUAAUUGUGUAAUUUAUAUACCCCUGGACUUCUAUUUCUUAUGCUUGUUUAUUUCUUUCACAAGUUUUUUUUUAUAUGUUAAUGAUUACAACAUAUUUAAUAUGUAAUUUUAUGUUAGAAGUUGAAUGAUGACAUUUAUGGAGAGAAUGAGGUGGUCACUAGGCAUAAAUACUGGUUGUUUUGCAAUGGUGUCAUCAAGUUGAAAUAUACAUGUAGUUGACAAUGGUGGUGGUUGACAUCUCUAAUUGUCAAAAUAUCAUAACUCUAAUUUCAUCAAUAAUGGCAAUUUUAAUUGGUACAAAUAAGAUGUCCUAACUAAGGUGAGGCCUAUGUUACCUCUCGAUAAAUUGUAAGUAGGAUUCGAUUCUAGAACAAAAGUGAUGGAGAUCACACGUUGAAUGAAUGAGUUGAAUAAGUUUGAUGUUCUUGUGAUGAAAAUAGCAAUUGAUUGAAAGAAUAAAGAUGAAGAAAAUAGGUUUAUUGUUUAGUCGUAAGUUUCAAUAAAAUAAUUUGUAUUUGUGAUCACUAUUUUAAUUUUUCUGAUGGACUAUGCAAUGUAAUAUCAUCCACGUAAGAGUAUUUCAUAUUAAUGAUGACAUAAUACGUUAUUAUGGAUCCAAACAUUAAUGAUGAUUCCAUUCUUUAUUUAAGUUAUUUCUACAAUUUUUAUUAUAUCCAUUUGUCACGUCAAGUUCCUAAAACCCACUUAGAUUUCCUCAUUGUAGAUGCUUACUUUAAACCAAUAUUGAUAAUCACUUAAUUUUAAUUCGUGAUUGAUGCAUAAAGAAUCUCAUUCCAAGUAUCUGGGACUCCUGCUAUACACCAAUGAGUACAAUCCAUUCCGUGGGCAUUAUUGUGAAUACUAGGAUGUCCAUCUUUUCUCAAUUCUGAUAAAGCUGUAAUGUUGAGAAGCUGAACAGGUUUUGUUAUUUUUUGCAACACAUUUUGCAAUACAUAUGAUGCUGGUGGCAAUCCAAGUGAGGAUGAUGAUCCAUUUAUUGGUGUUAUCUCUUUUCCACAGCCUGUCACUCCUGGCUCAUGCCAUUCUGAUCCACUAUUUUUAUAUGCACAAAUAAAAAUAAUUAGAGACAUUAACAUAUAAUAAACAAUAUAUCAUGCUAAACACAUCAAAAUAGUUAUUUCACUUUCAACAUAAAAAUUAUUUUUUAAUUUUAAUAUGAUUUUUGAGAAUAGCCUACACAUAAACAAAACUAAAACAUAAAAAAUGAUUUUAUAGACCUUAAAAUAAUUUUAAUUGAAAGUGAGAUGACUUGUAAAACUCACUUGUAGUGUACAGGAGAAAUUCCUUGGAAAAGAACUUUGGUUUUGCUUGUAUCAACUUCUGCAUUAACCCAAUUAGCCCAAGUUGUCAAACCAGUUCUAAAAGCUUCCAUAUGGUCCAUCUCUUUCACUAUUUUGUUACCUAUUUGAAUAUAAUCCCAUCUGCAAUAAAAAUAAAAAUGGUCACAUUACAUGUUAGCUAUAGUGAGAAUCACCUUUUUAAUAUAUCACCAAAUUCAUCAUGGAAAUAAUAGGGUUAAACAAAAAUUGGUCAAUGGAAUUAACAAAAAUUUAAAUUAAUCUUUAAAAUCGAAAGAAAAAAAAUUAAAUAAAUCUCACCAAGAAUAUCUAAAAAGCUUCUACGAUACACUCACAAAUUGAUGUGUACAUAUUGCUUUUUUAAAUCUAUUAAUUUGCCUUGGUAAACAAAAUGAAAAAAAAUAGCUUAUCCUAUAUUUAACAUUAAUCUCUAAAUUAAUAUCAAUUUUUAUCAAGCCCUAAGAUAUAUAUACUAAUUACAAAAAUGAGCUUUAUAGAAUAUUUCAUACGUACGGUUGAAAGGGUCCUGUACGGUACCACCAAAGCCAAGUGUUGAAAACCAAAACAUCCAUUUGUUUCCAUAAGUUUCCACUUUUAAGGGAAUCAAGUUUCAAUACUCUACCAAUCUUUUCCACUUCAAUGUCAACCAAAUAUGUAGUAUGGUGGACAAUAAUUGAAACUCCAUAGUCCUGGAAAAGUAUUGAAAUUUUAAUAAACAAAAAUACAUUUUAAUCUAUUUAUUUAUUUAUUUAUUAUUGCAAUAAUUGAAACUCCAUAGUCACUGACCAGGUAUGUGAAGUUGAUGAUGGGAUCAGAACCCUGUUUUAUUACUCUAGCUUGUGGUACAGCAGAAUGAAGCAAACAUACAAGUGAUUGCCUUUGGUUUCGACUUAUUGAAUCUCCAAUAAACAUGAUUUGUUUCCCCUUAAAUUUUGUCAAGAAACUUUUUCCGUCAAAUCUGCAAAGAGCCAAGACAAUUAUUUUUUUUAUAACAUAAAAUGUCAUAUCUUUAUCUUUGAGGAACUAAGUUACUUUAGUUUACAUAAGUUUGACUACUUUUAAAGUUGGUUUAACUUAUGAAAAAUAAAAAAUUAAAUUGACUGGUUUUAAUGAUCAAAUUAACCCUUUAAAGUAAGUUCAAAAGACUAAGGGUCUGUUUGGUAAAGUCAUCAAACGAGCUUAUAGCUUAUAAGCUCGUUUGAUCAAAAAGAGGUAUUUAACCUAAAUAAAAAAAAACUUGAGAAUGUAGAGAAAAUUGAAAGUUAAGAGACCGAGAGUAUAUAUAUUGCAUCUCUCAAUACAUCAAAAAGUUGUAUAAAAAAUAAGACUAUACAAUUUAACAUAUAGUUAGUAUUAUUUUUGUUUUGGUAAAAUCCAUCGAUUUUCAUUGUGAUUUUACGAUUUCUUAUAUCGAUUCUACAAAAGUAGUUGAGUAAAAUCUUUUGAUUUUGAUUGCGAUUUUACGAGUUUUGAUUUUUCUCUUCCCUUCCGACCUGAAGCAAAAUUGUGAUUUUGACAACCUUGCCUAUAAGCACACAUUAAGCUGUAACUAUAGUACACCAUCAAUUUAUACACACACAUGAUCACAAUCAAUGACAUAGCCAAAUCAAUAACAAACACUAGAAAAUAAAACACAUGAAAAAAUCAAGAGAGAAAUUAUAAAAACAUAAAGUUUAAUUAAAUUGUUACCUUGGUAAGUUACAAUUGCUUGGUUGCCAUCUAUAUUUGAGGUAUUGCUUAUCAAGACGACCAUACUUCAAGCAAUUUAACUCCUCACGAACAUGAGGGCAUGUUGAAGAAUCAUAAAGAGGAUAUGAUUCAUCAUACACCCAACUCCCUUCAUAUAAAUUGCAACUUUCUCCAUUAGUUUCUUCCAAAGAGAGACAAAUUACCAUAGAAAUGGCAAUUGCAAUCCAACCAUAUACCCUCAUUUCAACAUCCAUCUUACUCUCUCUUUCUUCUUUGAAUUUUUUGUGGGAAUGUUGGUAUGUUUGGAGAGAUAUAUAUUUUUGUCAUAGAUGAUCAGAAUUGGUAUAAUAUAAAUUGGAUUUGUCCCUUUAUUGCACAUUAAUAGGGUUUGCUUGUUUGUGAUUUUUUCAAACAAAAAAAUAACUUUUAUUAUUUGACUGGUGCUAGUCACACCAAAAAAAAAACAAGUUACACCCAAAUUUAUUUAAAAUUUUACAAUAAUACCAAAAUUGCCCUCUUCAUGUAAAUUUUUAAAAACCCAUCUUUUAUGAUAAUUUUGAACCCUUACCCCCUUUCAUCCACAAAUCACCAUAGAUGUGCAACCAAUAUUAGAAUCAACAUCUUUGUUAUUGAUCUGUACUAUAUUCAUAAAGGUUAGUGAAUUUUAUGAAUUUUAUUUUCGAUGAGUUUCUAUUUGUUUAUUGUUUGUUUUGGUAUGAGAUAUGUUCAAUUUAGGUUAGUGUAAAUUCAGUUUACUUACGUUCAAUCUAGGUUAAUGUAAAUUCAGUUUACUUACGUUCAAUCUAGGUUAAUGUAAAUUAAGUUUACUUAUGUUCAAUUUAGGUUAAUGUAAAUUUAGUUUACUUAUGUUCAAUGUAAAUUAAGUUUACUCAAUUUAGAUUAAUGUAAAUUUAGUUUACUUAUGUUCAAUCUAGGUUAAUGUAAAUUUAGUUUACUUACGUUCAAUCUAGGUUAGUGUAAAUUCAGUUUACUUAUGUGUAUGUAUAUAAGAGGUUAGUGUAAAUUCAGUUUACUUACGUUCAAUCUAGUUAAUGUAAAUUAAGUUUAUUUAUGUUAAAUCUAGGUUAAUGUAAAUUCAGUUUACUUAUGUUCAAUAUAGGUUAAUGUAAAUUAAGUUUACUUAUGUUCAAUAGGUUAAUGUAAAUUAAUUUUACUUACGUUCAAUCUAGGUUAGUGUAAAUUCAGUUUACUUACGUGUAUGUAUAUAAGAGGUUAGUGUAAAUUCAGUUUACUUACGUUCAAUCUAGGUUAAUGUAAAUUAAGUUUACUUAUGUUCAAUCUAGGUUAAUGUAAAUUCAGUUUACUUACGUUCAAUCUAGGUUAAUGUAAAUUAAGUUUGUAAAUUCAGUUUACUUACGUUCAAUCUAGGUUAAUGUAAAUUAAGUUUACUUAUGUUCAAUUUAGGGAUAUAUUAGUCAUUCUGAAGUGUAACUUGUUUUUUUUGGGGUGUGACUAGCACCAGUCUAAUUUUUUUUUCCGAUGAUUGGGCCUCAAUUUUGGCCUAAUUUAAUAUGGAUUUGAGUUCUAAAUAUCGUCAAUACUCUAUUUUCCCUUAAAAACACAAUACAUUUUUUUUUCUCAAUUUUUUAAAAACACUUGAAACAUUUUUCUCUUAAAAAAAGUAAUGUUUUUUUACUAAGGGUCCUAUCUUUAUAAUUAGAGCCGAGCCUUUAAUUUUAUAAAACCGCCCUGAUAGGAACCUCAAAUCUAAGUCAUUUUCGAGUUCAUCAGUUCGAUCAACAAAAUCAAGGAGUAUGGUCCUAAACUUGUUUCUCACCGAUCACAAUAAUCAUUUGAUCGGUAAAAAUUGUAAUUCGAUUUUUAUCUAAACUCUUAUAAACAAAAUUUUCUUAUUUUAGUUGAAACCUGAACAACGACAAAUGACUCUCCCGUUUAUCUACUACUAUUGCUCCACUAGUUAUUUUAUUUAUCCAGAUUAUCUUUUGUGAAGUGUCCAAUUAAAAGGAGAAGCUUUGGGUUUCUCACUGUUAAUCAUCGCCUCAACAGAUGAAACAUGGUUUAUAACGUGACUGCAGCUACAAUAGUUAUACAAGUUUGAGUGAGAAUUUAUUUACUGGCAAUUGUUCCACUACAUGCAAAUUUUUAUAUUGUCAGUAUAAACUUGUGAUACUGAUAGAAUGUGAAGACAAAUCAUGAUGAUAAUAUAAUAUCUACUUUAUUUGAUUUACUUAUUUUAUUAGGCAAUAUCAGCAUGUAAAAUAAAAGCUUUAAUACAAAGACAUGGGUUCUGGUAGUAGGUGAAUAAUUGUAUCAAAUAUCAUAUUUUAUAUAGCCGGCCUAACCCUAUCAUAUUUUAUAAUAGCCUCCUAAUAUACGACACUCUAAAGUCGAUAUUUGUUAUUAAGUGGAUUGGUAGGUUUGUGAAACAGCGACCUAACCCUAUCAUAACCGUGUAUUUUUCUUCAGCCUUAUCUCUUUACCAUACACACACUGCCAACUAUCCCAAUUCUAAAUCUUCAUAGUUCUAAAAUUCAUUCAAGAUUUAGUUACAACUUCAUUCCUUGCUGCUUUUACUUUAACAAUAGAAAAUGGCUGCAACUUUGGUGGGAGGAGCUUUUCUCUCUGCUACUGUUCAGACUUUAGUUGAGAAACUUGCUUCACAAGAGUUUUGUGAUUACAUCAGAAACAACAAGCUGAAUUCCUCACUCUUGGCAGAGUUGGAAACAACACUACUCGCUCUUCAGGUGGUGCUGGAUGAUGCAGAACUGAAGCAAAUCACCAACACUGCUGUCAAACAAUGGUUGGAUCAGCUGAAAGAUGCAAUCUAUGAUGCUGAGGAUUUGCUUAACCAAAUCAAUUACGACUCCCUGCGAUGUAAGGUGGAGAAGAAACAAGCUGAAAACAUGACUAAUCAGGUUUGGAACCUCUUUUCAUCUCCUUUUAAAACUCUCUAUGGAGAGAUCAAUUCACAAAUGAAGAUUAUGUGUCAAAGGCUGCAGCUUUUUGCACAACAGAGAGAUAUCCUUGGCUUGCAAACUGUGAGAGGGAGAGUUUCUCUUAGAACGCCUUCAAGUUCAAUGGUAAAUAAAUCUGUUAUGGUUGGUAGGAAGGAUGAUAAAGAGAGACUCAUUAGUAUGUUGAUAUCUGACAGUGGCACUACCAAUAGUAGUAUUGGUGUGGUCGCAAUUUUGGGUAUGGGCGGUGUUGGCAAAACCACUCUUGCCCAACUUCUUUAUAAUGAUAAAGAAGUUCAAGACCAUUUUGAUCUGAAAGUCUGGGUUUGUGUAUCGGAGGAUUUCGAUAUUUUGAGAGUAACUAAAACCAUUCAUGAAUCUGUCACUUCAAGAGGUGGUGAAAGCAAUAAUCUUGAUUCUCUUCGAGUUGAACUGAAUCAAAACUUGAGGGAUAAAAGAUUUUUGUUGGUGCUGGACGAUCUGUGGAAUGAUAGUUAUAAUGAUUGGGAUGAGUUAGUAACUCCAUUGAUUAACGGCAAAACAGGAAGUAGGGUGAUCAUCACAACACGCCAACAAAAAGUUGCGGAGGUUGCACACACGUUUCCUAUUCACAAAGUAGAUCCUCUAUCAGAUGAUGACUGUUGGUCGUUACUUUCAAAGCAUGCAUUUGGAAGUGAAGUCCGUGGUGGUAGUAAAUGCCCAAAUCUGGAAGAAAUUGGUAGAAAGAUCGCCAAAAAAUGUGGUGGGUUGCCCAUAGCUGCUAAAACGCUCGGUGGAAUUUUGCGUUCAAAGGUAGAUGCUAAAGAGUGGAGUACAAUUCUAAAUAGUGACAUAUGGAACUUACCAAAUGAUAAUAUUUUACCUGCUUUGCGUCUAAGUUAUCAAUAUCUUCCCUCACAUUUGAAAAGAUGUUUUGCCUAUUGCUCAAUUUUUCCGAAGGAUUUUUCACUUGACAAGAAGGAAUUGAUUUUGUUAUGGAUGGCAGAAGGCUUCCUAGAGCAUUCUCAGUGUAAUAAAACAGCUGAGGAAGUAGGUCAUGACUACUUUAUUGAAUUGUUAUCCAGGUCCUUAAUUCAACAAUCAAAUGAUGAUGGAAAAGAAAAAUUUGUUAUGCACGACCUUGUCAAUGAUUUAGCCUUAGUGGUGUCAGGAACAAGUUGCUUCAGGCUUGAAUGUGGUGGUAACAUGUCUAAAAAUGUUCGUCAUUUUUCAUAUAAUCAAGGAGUGUAUGACUUUCUCAAGAAGUUUGAAGUUUGAGGUUCUCUAUCAGUAGUAAGUAGUAACUUAAGAAAAUGACAUAAUUAAAAGUAAUCACAUGUGUCAGUGUCGUGUCGGUGCUACAAAGCUUAAAUAGACUUUAGUUUACAAAUUAUAAUAAAACAGUACAUAGAAAUUCAUUUUAGUCUUUGUAGCUCAUAUUAAAGGGACUAAAGAGUUAGGCUUGUCACAUCUACAUUGUUGAACCAGAUGAAACCGUUAGAUUUGUCACAUUUACAUUGUCAACUUGAAAUAUUUAGAAAUGUUAUAAACUUGUUUUUAAAUUGAUUACGAGUAAUAAAGAAAAAUUAACAUUUACUCAGGUUGUACUUUUUCCUCUGUAUAGUUCAAUUUUAUUUUAAUAUAUACACACUAUUUAAUUCAACAAAGGUAAUACACUUUCUUACUUCGCGCAGGUAAUUCAUGAUGCCGGUGGAUACUUCCUCACGGAAACUGUCAAAAUACUGUUUUUGUCGAUUGAGAAACGUACGUAUGCUGAUAGGAUGGCAACGAGGGAAAGUCUCAGGAAUAAUUUUACCAUUUUUUUUUGAACAAUAAUACUAAAUUUAAGAUUGAAAUAGGCAUAAUUAAUAAAAAAAAAAUUAAAACAUGACAGAACCCUCCAAACGCGACAUUUAAUAUGAGUUAGAGGGACAUAUGUCUCUGUUGGAACAAAAUUGGUUUGUACAAUUCCUCUAGAGAUUUGAUAAUAACAAAGUAUUGAAGAACAAUUAGAUAUGUUAAUAUAUGUUCAAGUGUGCAGGACCAAAGAUUAAAUUUAACAAAAUCUGAACAUAAAUAAGAGCAUCAGAAGCACAAAAUAAACUAAAAGACCAAGGUUGAUGAUCUAAAAAAAGGCAAUCAGAAGUCAACAUCUUGGAUCAGAAGAAAGAAAGUCACGAAGAAGUUGAAGAUCUACAUCAGAUUAUGAAGAGCAUCAGACUCUGAAGUACAGAAGAUCCUGAGGGACCCAAAAGCCACGUCAGAUUUAUCCUCUUUUGUAGAUGUCUCUAUAAAGGCACUGAUAGUACAAUUUGUCUUCUUCUGACCACGUGUAGAAACAAACAAAGAACUCCAAGGACAAAAAGAAUGAACGGAUAAUUUCAGUUUCAACAAAGAAAUUUCAAAUGUCUAAUCAAUUGCAUUAUCCAUAUCAGGAAAUGGCCCAAUGUCCUUGAUUUGAAACUUCUCAACGAUUCUUAAUGCGUUGACACUCUUCUCCAACGUCUCUCAAAUCCUUGCAUGUGUAAGGAGCUGAAGACUUGAAGAACAAACAAUAAGACUCUUCUAUUUUUAUUGUGCCUUACUCUGUACAAAUUAAAAAGAACAUAGAACACUUAAGAAUUUUUUUAUCGAAGUUUGUAUCUUAGAAAUUCUAAGUAUUAGAGUUUGUUCUGUUUUGUAUUGUUUACAUCUCUGAUUGUAUAUCAAAUGUAAGAAUAAAUCUGUUUAUUUGUAAACUCUUAGAAGUCUUUUUCAGUUGUGAUUAAGCAUUGAAAGCCUCUUGCUUUUGUGCUUGAGCAUUGGAAGUCUCUUGGCUGUGUCCUUGAGCAUUUGUAACCUUGUUUGACUAUAUGAAAUCCCUUGGAAGUGCAAGGGGACUAGACUCCUCUUGGAUUGUUUGAGGAACCAGUAUAAUUGUUUGUGUCUGUUUUCCCUCUCUCUAUUAUCUUACUUCACUGCAAGCAGUUUCGGAGUACUCCUCAGUUUCUGAACCUAACUCAGGCUGUGAAUUCAUUCAGACUCUGAGAACUGCAAACACUUAGAAAAGUUGAAAAAACCAAUACAAUUCAACCCCCCUCCUCUUGUGUUUUUCUCACCUUCGGUUGGUAUCAAAGUACGGUUUGUGCUCAACCACUUAACCGUGCCACAGUUAAAGAUUCAUAGAGAAAAACAUGUCUACUGAUGAGAGUGGUUUUGGUCCUACUGUUUCAGGCAGAAAUAACAACGCUACUAUCAACUAUGAUUACAACACCACUAAUGAAAAGCACAACUUUUCAGUAAAACCUCCAUCUUUCAGUGGAGAAAUUACGCAAAUUUUAUGGUGAAAAAGAAAAAUGUACGGUUACAUCAUUGGUGUUGAAUGAACCAUGGGACAUAAUUGAAGACGGUGUUACACUUGUUGUUGAUACAGAACGAAAAGUGACAGACAGGAAAAGCUUGACUGCUACUCAAAAGAAAGAAUACAAAAAGCAUCAUAGAGUACGAGGGAUUCUGGUCGAUGCAAUACCUCAUUCAGAGUAUAUCAAGAGCUUGGAUAAAUCUACUACAAAAGCUAAUUUUUUAGUCACUGUUUUUUACCUAUUAGGGAAACCAGCAAGUAAAAGAGGCUAAGGCUAACCAGUUAGUUCAUCAGUAUGAGCUUUUUAAAAUGAAGAAAGAUGAAGAUAUUAAAACCAUGUAUUCAAGGUUUCUAAUUUUUGUAUCUGGCCUUUAGGUUUUGAGCAAAAAGUUAUAAUGUACCUGAUCAUGUCAAGAAGAUUCUUAGGACCCUCCUGCCAUGUUUAGACCAAAGGUUACAAGCAUUCACGAAGCAAGGGAUUUGAACACAUUGAGCUUGGAGAAUCUGAUAAGCUCCCUCAAAUAUCAUGAGAUUGAGCUUGUUGGAGAUGAACCUGCUAAGAAAUCGAAGUCUAUUUCUUUGACAUCCAAGGAAAAAUCUGCCAAAACUCUAAAGACUGCUGAGUCAGAAGAAGAAGUUCUUGAUGGAGAUUCCGAAGAUGAUUCAAGUCUUGAAAAGAUGCCUUAUUUAACCAAAAUAUUGUAUUAGUUGACCAAGAAGAUAAGGAUACUAGGUAAAAGAAGUGGGUUAAAAGAAUCAAGUUUCAAGAACAGGAAGGAAGAACGUAAGGGUUGCUUCCGCUGCAAGAAACUUGGUCAUUUCAUUGCUGACUGUCUAGAGUUACAGAAAGACAAGUGAAAGAAGGAGAGCUCCAGGAAAGAAAGUUACAGGAGAAAACUUUAGAAGAGUCUUAUGGCAACAUGGGACAAAUUUGAUGAAGAAUUAGAACGUAAAAAGGAAGAAGAUGAAGAAGCUAAUCUGACCCUAAUGGCCACUACAACUUCUGAUGCAAAAUCUGGUUCAAACUCUGAUGAUGAUGAGGUAUUUCUAAACUAACUCAUGAACAAUUUGUUGACACUGUCAAAGAACUUGUAGGACGUUGUCUAGAAAAAUCAAAAGCUUUACAAACUUUAAAGAAAAUAUUUGAUUUGUUGACAGAAGAAUCUAAGCUCAUGGAACAUCAAGCCAAAAGUCUGUUAAUCCAAAAUGAAAGAUCUCAAAGUGAGAAAUAAGUUUUUGGAAGAAAGUCAAUUUUAAAACAUCAAGAAAGUUGACAGACCUUUGACUAAACAUGAUAAUGCUCUUGAAGAGUUUAUCAUGAUUUAUUUGUUUCCACGAUUUAUUUGUUUUAAUAAUUACUAAUUGGUAUGCAUUAUUGAAGAAAAAAUGAACAUCUAAAAAAUAUAAACAAAAGAAAAUUGUAUGUGUCCUUGUCCUUCGAGUAUUGAUCAAUUUCAGUCUGGCAUCACAAUAAACAUAGUAGUUUGACAUCAAAACAGUCUUGCCUCAGAAAUUACACACAAUGAUAGUUUACUUUCCUAAUUACAAAAUAAACAGAAAAAUUAAAGUGAAAAAGGAAUUUUUUUAAAACGAAUAACAAUAAAUUUCUAUUUGAAAAAUUCAUCAAAACAAUCUUGCUCAAGAAAAUAAGACAACCAAUAGUUUGAUAUCUCAAGUCACAUUAAUUCGUUGAAAUCAAUAGCGGUGGAUGAGUUGCUUGUAUGCGUCCUUGUUCUUCGAGUAAUGAUCAAUUUCAGUCUUGCAUCACAAGUAACAUAUUAAUGAAACAUCAGAAUUAUUAGUUUGGUUGAGAGAACCACGUAAAGAUGAAAGGGGGUGGUGGAAAAAUUUAGGACUUUAUACAUAAAAUCUGGAGGAUUUUUAAGGAACUUAAUUACCUUAUAGAAAAUUGAUUUAGUAAAAAAAAAAUUAAAGACAAACUCUAGUUUUUUUAUUUAUUCAAUGGAUGAGAAUCAUAUGACUCAUAAUGAACCUUCACUAAAUAGACUUAGACACACGUACAACUUAAAAUAUGAGUAGUCUGAUUUUCAUUACGAUCAAGAAGUGCAAUUAUUUGAUAGUGCCCAAAAAUCUACCCAAGUGUUAAAAGCAACAUACAAAUUUAAUUUCAUCUAAGUCAAAAUAUGACGUACAAAAAAACAAGUCAAAAUAUUUACCUUUCCAAUUAAUUCUAUGAUAGUUAGCAACUUCUGACCGAUAAAUUCAUCAAAGAAAUCAGUCUUAUGGAGAGCUUCCAAAGAUUCUGAGAGUGAUUUUGGCAAUCUCUGAAGGUUUUCUAGAUUUGGAUCUGUGUCUGUUUCAUACAUAAAAUAUGAAGUUCAUUAUUCAAUUAAAUAUUUUAUAAAAAUUCUUAAAUUGUAAGAACCAAAAAAAUAUUAUGCAAUCAUAAUACAAAUCAGCAAAAGAACCAUACAAGAACAGUGCCGACGAAAAUGGUAGCAGAUUAGAAAGGGAAAAAGACUUACAGUUUAUAUUAUCUUACCAAUAGGCUCUGGAAGAGAAAGAUGUCGACGAAGGCUAUAACACCCUAAAUCCCGACGUUGAUUUUAAUUAAUAAUAAGUACAAAUAUUAAGAUAUAAAGGAUGUUACACUUCUUCAUUAUCCAUCAUACCAUAAAUAAGUAAAUGGGCGUCUAACUUAACAAUAGAAAAUGCUUAAAAUAAAACUUCAUAAUUCAAAGACAUCAAAUUGUUCAUCGGCAUAUGUUGAUAAAUAACAUAAAAAGUCAUGGUCCUUUAACAUCAUAACAUAAAGACGUUCAACGUUUAACCCCAAUCCCAAGUGUUACAGAUCAGAGCACACAUUUAUUCGACUACUCAUUGAUAAAGAUAAAUAGCUACGGAGGUAUAUUCCCAUUGCCACCUUCUAAGCGUCCCGCAAGGCUAAAUCUCCUCUUCCUGUGUAUCUGUACCCCAGGAGUACAGACACCAAACACACAAACAACAUAAAAGGGUGAGAAUUCACAUCAUAACAUACUUUAGGAUUCAUAAGAAAUAAAUUGCAUCAUCACAUUAUCAUAGUCACAUCAUCAUUUUAUCAUCAGUCAUUCCACAUAAUAUUUACACCAUUCACUUCAUAUAGUCAUCAAAACUCAUACGUCAUAUGACACACAAAAAUGAACGUUUCACAUCAAUUCACAUCAUUCACACAUACCGCAUUUUCACCUAUUUACGACUUAUAUGCAACAUGGUUCAUUCCUAGACCUACAUGCAUGCCGGUACCGGAUCCUAUCGUCAUAAUAAUGUAAGUCAGAGGUGUGUUACGGAACUUACAUUCGUCAUUCGUCAUUCGUCAUUAUGCAGUAUGAUAUGAUGCAUGUGGACUCACCAAAACAUCAUUUAGAAGACAUAUAAACAACACGUCAUCUUUACGUCGUAAUUACCCGUCAUAUUGCUUAUUAUUAGAAAACAAGAACUUCAUUCAUCAUACGUCAUUUUACAUCAUUUGCACUUAAUAAUCGCAACUUCAUCUUACUUCAUUAUCUUACGUCAUUAGCAACUCAUCAUCAACUUACACCAUAUAUUCGUCUACUUAAGUCUAAGUCAUCAUCUUGUCAUGAUCUUCUAGUUCAUUACGUCCUUGAGAUCCUAUCCUCAUAUAUUAAUUCCACAUUGUUAUCGUCUAUGCCCUAGAAUUCCAUCUUCGUAUUCUUGGUUUACUAUAGUUCAUGCUGUUUCUAAAUAAACUUAUCUUCACCUUUACUCUUCUCCAACUCAUUUGACAACCAUCUUAUUUUAAAUACAUUAUAGCAAGAGAAACUACCCUAUAACCCUUAAUUAAAUCCCUCUCAUUUUGGUUUAUUGAUUUGGGGCCUUACUAUACGUCUUAGGGACCCUUUGGAGUCAUAAAAAGAGUUUAAAAAUUAAUUUAAGUCCACACUGCAUCGUGGCACGUUGAAUUCCAAUCGUGGCACGAUUGGGCAACUUCAAAAAAUGAUUUCAUUGCUGGAAAAAGCGUGGCACGUUGGCUUUCAAUCGUGGCACGAUUUGGCAGUUCUCAGAACCCAGAAAACAUCGUUUUUGCCCUCGAAUUUACCCCUAAUUUGGCUAGAAAUAUCUGUUUUUGACUUCGUUUGAACCUAAAUUGAUAGGAGACAUUACCUAGGGUUUCCCUUUCAUCUAAACAUUAAAUUUUCCAUUAUCUCAUCGGAUUACCUACUCUUCUCAGGAUCAAAAUCUUUAAUUUAUAAACCCUAAAUUAAUCUCUUAAUUCUUGUUCGUUCAACAACAUCAUUGUUGUUAUGCAGCACCAUAACUUCAUCAUAUUUCACAUCACAAUAAAACCUCAUAAUAAAUAAACUAUCAUAGAUAACACACCCUAAAGUAGUAGGAAUCUCCCCUUUACCUCGAACCUUUGAAAAAUCUGGUUUUGGCUUGACCUUGUUGCACUAGGGUUCUCUCUGCCUCCGCUCUCCUCUUCUAUUCUUUUUCACGUUCAAAAGAUACUGAAACUAUAGAGUGUUAAUUCUCUAAAUAUACUUGGGCUAACCUCCAUCUAUUACUCUUUCUAUUCUAUUUCCUAUUAUUUUUACUCCUCCCUCCCCCACUUAGUUAUUUUCUUCUAUUCGACACCUCCCCCUUUUCUUAUCUUAUUUUACUUAUCUGUUUUCCUCUUCAUUAUUGACAAUCUUCCUAGUACAUCAUUAGUCAUCGUAAACCAUCAUCUCAUAAUUAACAUAUAUUUUAAGCAUCAUAACAUCAAUUGAAUCUUAAACUUAAGAAUUUAUCUAACUAGUAUAAUUCACUAAUUAAAUAUAAAAUUCGGGGUGUUACAAAGGCCAUCAAUGCCAGCAGCAACUGUAGCAGAUAAGCCCAAGUAUGGGUUUGCAGUACCAUCAAAUGGUUUAAACUCAAAAUUACUCACUAAACCACUGGGAAUUCCAGGUGAACAAGCUCGCAAUGGAGCAUUCCUAUUUUCAUUUCCCCAAAAUAAGUAUGAACCCCAUGUGGUCAGCAACAACCUAUCAUAACUACAAUCAAAUUGAGUAGUCACAUGAUUACAUUUCAUGAGAUUAGUAUGAAGUGUGUUGAUGAUUUGCUUAAUAAUCAUAAAGAUUAUACCCAUAAAAGACAGAGGGUGCUGCCCCCACUCAUGAUAGCUAAAAACAAAAGUAAGCAUAUUUGUCUUUAGCCACUAAAACGAUAACAUUUUGCCCCUCUCUCUUAAAUAAUGCGGAUCUGCAACCUUCUGAUGAAAUACCUUGUUGUUCAUUUCAUUCCAAAUAAUCCAGACACAAGCCAACCAAAUUAUCCGAAAGAACGUGUGAGAAGAACGCAGUAACCUGUUGGAACAAAAUGUGUUUCACAAUAAACCUUUAUGAGUUUUGAUGAUAACAAGGUAUUAAAAAUUGUCAAUAACAAGGUAUUUUCAGGAACAAAUAUUUGAUGGAUUAAGUCUUGGAGCAAAAGAAAGGGAUUUGGAGCUGAUUCGGUACGAAAAUACGAAGAUUUGGAGACAAAAUAUGUCUCCCCCAAAGUCAGAAGCUUGGCACGGUGUAACGCCCUAGUCGUUAAUUUAUUUAUUUUAGAAUUAACUAGAGUCUUUUAUGUGUUUUUAAUUAAUAUGUGUGAUUUAUUUGGUGUAUAAUAUUUUAUUAUGUAGUUAUUUUUUUAUAAUAAAUUGAGAAAUUGAAUUAUUUUAGGAGGUUGGGGAGUUAAUUAGAAUUUAAUAGAAUUAAGGGGAGAUUAAUAGAAAGAGGGGAGUUAUACUUUGGUAACUGCUAUUCGUCUCUUGAAUCAAAGGACUAAUAACAGUCGCGACUUGUUGUGUCGCCAUAUUAACCAUAUCAUGGUUAGUCUCUGCCAUGGUUUGCCUUAACGCAUUCAUCGAAGCGUUGGUCAAUGAUUGUUGAGGCGAACCGAAUGGGAUAAACGUUUGUUGAGAUCUACCAAACGAGACAUUUUCCCCCUGGUUAGAAAAGGGUGGUAUGAUCGUGGUAGUGUGUGAAGUUUGGGUCGAAGAGGUUGGGAUGCCAUAGGACCCUCUUCCAUUGUUUCCCAGAUUGAGAAACCUUUGAGAAAACGUAUUUCCCGCAGACUGGGUAGUCUGAGCGGCUGUCGUAACCGCCGGGGUACUUCUUAAAGUAUUAUAGGCCAUCGUAUUCGACGUAUUGGCCUGUGAUGUUUGUGAAGUUACGUUUUCCUCUAGUAGGGUCUCUACAGGCUCUAAUACAUUAGUCAUAUUGCUAUUCUGGUUAAGUUGCGGAGACCCUAUCGGAAUUGUUUGAUUGGUCGCUGUUCCUGAAGUAGAAGCAGUGUUCGCUGCUGUUGUGCCAGAAACUAUAGAAGGACGCGUCAUUUCAGGAAGUAUUUUGUUAUUCCUUAAACGCAUACACAAUGCAGACCAACAAAAAUUUUAGAAUUGAAAAAAUUUUCCAAGUUAAAAGCACAAAAGGUCCCACUGGGCGUGCCAAUUUGUUUACACUAAUUUUUGGUAAACAAUCGCUGGUUUCCAUAAUGUUUACUUGGAAGAUCAACCAGUAAAUCUUAGGAGCAUAUUGUGCUUUUGUUGUUUGAAAGUAGGAGUAAUACUUGUUCGUAAAGUAUUUUUGAUAAAGUAAAGACAAGAACAAAAUGUAAAGAAUUGAAUCCAAUCCGUGUUGAAUCCAAUCGAAAUUCUGUAGAUAAUGACAAUAAAAAGGAAGUACUUUGAAAGGACUUAGUAAAAACAAGACUUAAAUUGCAAAAAGUGUUUAAAAGAUUGUAUUGAAUUUGUAAAGACUUAAUGAAAGUUGGUGCACAUAUUCAUACUUUGCAACUUGUGACUCAUUUGUCGCUUCCAUACGGACAGUAUUGAGUGUAAGUUUUUAGUAUGAUUGAAUUGUGACCCCUUUUUCCUAAGAAAAACUACUAUUUAUACAGAUAGUCCUAUAACUACCUAAUCAUAUCCGUUCGAUUCAAAAUCGAAACUAGCCGUUUGAAACUAGCCGUUUGCUAACUGCUUGAUCUUAUCCAAAAAAUCUGAAGGCGCUUCGAUAACUUCCUUUAUCCAUCGAACUAAAACGGCUUCUUCGAUUCCCGCUAAAGGUAUACAUAUAUUUUUCGAUGGAUUCUUUCACAAAGCUAAGUCCAACUUUUUAGGUCAAACCCUUGACUGCAUUAAAUGAUACUAUUCUCACAAAUAUCGGCUAACACAGGUAGAUGUAAAAUUUGUUGAUUUAAUGAUUGCUGGUUAUGAAACUGAGAAUAGUGAUUUCAAGGUUGAUGAUCAGGGUGUGUUGAGGUUCAGAGGAAGAAUUUGUAUUCCUGAUGAUGAUGGUUUGAAAAAGUUGAUUUUAGAGGAAAGUCACAAGAGUAGCUUGAGUAUUCACCCGGGAGCUACGAAAAGGCACUCAAGGUCCAACUAAAAAGUCGAAAUUACAAAAUCCAACAUGCUCUCUGCCUUAGCUCGCUAUGGCGAGUAAGGUUGCUCGCUAUGGCGAGCUGUAUUGCACAACUCGCGAGGCGAGGAAAAAGAGGUCGCGAGGCGAGCGAUGAUCAUUGUUUAUUUUUACGUGUGCGCUUAAAUAAUUUAGAGGAAUGCUAGGAACACGACCUCUAACACACUCUUUAAACACAUCCAAUAAUAUAAAACCACCUCAUCCCUUUUUUUUCUGUCCUUUUACGGGUUACCUGUUUGGGUUUAGCCAAUCACUUGUUUUAUUUUGUAUUAUUAUUUUUAUUUUAUUUUAACUUUUCAUCUUCUAGAUUUACCCAGAAGGAUAUCUCUGUUAACUAUCUUCUAGAAUUAAGAAUGGGAAAAAACUCAUCCAUUUGGAACAACAUCUGUAACACAACUUUCUUCUUUUUCAAGGAUAUGGCAAGUGGACAACAAAAUUUUAAUCAUGUUGUAAUAAGGAUUUUAUUCCCAUUUUAAAUUUUAGUUUUUUCUUUUUCAAGGUCCCAAUCUUAAUUCUAAUUUUUUUCCAAAAUUCUAAAUUUUAGUUUUUUUUUUUAUUCCAUUAAGGAUUUGACAGAAGAAUUAAGAAUUAAGAAUUUUUUCCGAUUCUUCAUUCUAGUUUUUUUCCGAAAGAAGGUCCAAAGGAAAUCGCCGUUAACAGUAACAGCCUGAUUUUUGCUAGAUUUAUUUUUAAUUGUUUUAAUAUGUGUUUACAUGUGCUUGUGUGUGAUUAUUAACCAUUGGGUGCAUUUUACUGGGUUUUCGAGUUAGAAGGGUAAUUUAGUCAUUUUGAACUCAGGGGUAUUUUGGUCAUUUGAUGAUUAAGGGUAAAUUAGUAAUUUUUGGUGAGGAUUAUUUUUAGUGUUUAGUGAGAACCAUUAUUUUACUAAGUUAUGAGUGUAGUAAUUAGUGGUGAACCGUUUAGUGACCGUUGUUAGUAUUUUAUCAUUGAGUGGUCGUUAUUAGUAUUUUACUGUUAAAAAUGUAGAAACAUUUUAGAAUUGUGUUGGAGUGGGUUAAGUCCACUAAAGUAUUAGGUUAAGACCAUUAGAGGACUAGCCUAUAUAAGCAUUGUCUUAAGAGAAAAACCUUAUUCAUUUCAUUACAUAGAUAUUUUGAGAGAGGUAGAGAGAGAAUGUGCAAGAGAAGAGGAGAAAAUGGUUAGAGAGAAGAGGCUUGAAGAUUCAAGAAGAUGUGAGGAUCCUAGGAGCUAAAGUGAAGCUUGGGCUAGGAAUUUGUGCUAAUUAAGGUAAGGGGGUUAGAAUUCAUCAUAAUCAUUUAGUGUGAUUUUUCAUUUGUUGUAUGAUUAAGUGCUUAAUUGAAUAAGUGAUUAUUGGUUCUUAGAUGUUGAAUUUCGUGCUCUAAUUAUGAUGGUAUGUUUGAAUACAUGAAAUUGGUGAUAAUUGAAUUAUUGUUGGUGAAAUUGCAUGUUCAUAGUAUGUGAAAAUGGGUACUGAUGAGUCAUUUAUUAUCUAUUUUAAUACGUUAUAUAGUUUCAUUUUAAUUAGAUUUAAGUUUAUUUUAUAUUUAUAUUACUUCAUUUUUGAACUAUUUUACUUUAAUUGCAUAUUGUUAUAUUUCAGGAACGAAUAUUUGAUGUUUAAGUCUUGGAGCAAAAGAGAGGGAUUUGGAGCUGAUUUGGUACGAAAAUACGAAGAUUUGGAGACAAAAUAUGUCUCCCCCAAAGUCAGAAGCUUGGCACGGUGUAACGCCCUAGUCGUUAAUUUAUUUAUUUUAGAAUUAACUAGAGUCUUUUAUGUAUUUUGAAUUAAAUUAACAGAAAGGAUCAAACCGAUACUUUAAAUAAAGUUAAGGGACCUAAACGGAUCUUUUAUUACUUACGGGACCAAAGCGAUACCAAAUAAAUACUUAAGGGACCAAAAGAGCAUUUAAGCCUAUAAUAAAUUGAGAAAUUGAAUUAUUUUAGGAGGUUGGGGAGUUAAUUAGAAUUUAAUAAAAUUAAGGGGAGAUUAAUAGAAAGAGGGGAGUUAUACUUUGGGAGUUACGGAAAGAAUAAGGAGAGAAACAUUUUGUACGUACAACUGACAAGUUUGGGGGAGAAAACCAAGAACAAGGGAGAUGAACCUAGGAACUGAUUUGCUGUGUUUUUUUUCUACAAUUCUAAGGUAAGGGUGAGAUUAUCUUUCAAUAAUCAUAAUAUGUAAUUUCUGAAAAUUAAUCAAAUGCAUUGUUCUUGAAGAUAAAAUGGGGAAUUUAGGGUUGAUGAUGACUUCGAAAGGAAUGGUGUAAGAAUUGUGUUUAAUGUGUUGUAAAUUGGUGUUCAGUAUAUUUUCUUAACUUAUAAUGUUGUUGUGAUCAGAAUUGGAAUGAAAUUAGAAUAUGUUGGAUGAAUUGGGAAGUUUUGUAUGAUUGCUAGAAUGCUCUGAAUUGUUGUUGUUGAUGCCUGUUUUGUGUUCCUUUAGAUGCCUAGUUGUAUAUAGGACCUGUAAACAUUUGCUGGAAAACGUUUUGGGUGAUCAGGGGAUUAAAAUUGGGUUUUUGGAGUGAGAAGAGGUCUAAACCCGUAGGUUUUUGGCCUGCCCAGAUGAGUCGUCGCUUAAGCGAGCAUUCAAGAUCGCUGCCCAGAAUUUGAAGGAGCCAGGUCGCUCAAGCAACCCAUGAGCGAGCCCGUAAGCGUAGAAAUAAUUGCUUUCUGCCAAGCGUUCGCCUGAGCAAACCCGCGAGCGUGCCGUCAGCGAGCAAAACCCAAACUUUCUGCAAGCCGGUCGCUUAAGCGAGCUGAGCCUUAGUCAGCCACUUUCUGAAUUUUGCUUCGUGCAUUAGGGGACCCUUUUGAGCAUUCAAAGAUGUUUCUUUCAGCUUAUAUAACCCUUGUAUAGGUAACAAAUCCUACUAAAGCACAAUGAUAAUUGAUUUAGCUUAAUAUAUGAAUUUUGGAGAUGUUGGAGUAAUUGAAACUAAGUAAACUCGUAUACUAUGUUGAGGGAACUUGUUGCAUUAACAUGAUUAUUAAUAAUUGUGUAUUUUCUGAAAUUGUUGGAUUGGUUUUGGUAAUUUAUGGUUAGCUGAGAUGUAUGCUUCUGUUUAGAUAAGUUAUACAUGAUGUCGCAUUAUGGAGUGAUGAGUCAUAUGAGUUCAUAUGCAUUGUUGGAGUUGUAUGUAGAUAUAUACAAGUGGGUCAGUUGCAUAAACAUAAAAGCGGUGAGGGCUUCUGCCCUGGAACGCCUUGUCGUUCAAAGCGGUGGAACACAUUGUUGUUCAAAACGGUGAUUAGCGGUGAGGACUCAUGUCCUGAUAAAAGAAUACUUUAACCAUUCUAUAGCGGUGAGGGCCCCGGCCCUGAUAUGGUGGCACAUCCAUUGUAGAGGAGUCUUAGUGGAGUUGUGGAGUGUUGCAUGAGUCAAUGUCGUUGGUCUUUAAAUGCCUUGUUGUGGAUAUUGAAAACGAUGAUGUUUAUAAAAUGUUGAAGAAUUAUUAUGAUAUUAGGGUGUUUGAUUCAUUGAAGUUAUUAUAUAUUAUUAUUAUUGUUUGUGAAUCUCACCCCUUCUGCUUGAAAAUGUUGCCCUUCCGAUGGGUAACUUGCCGGUGAUCCUGAGUAGUAGGUGGUGGCUCAAAGUGUCUAGGGCUCUGAUACGUGGGAUGGGAUUUUAUCUUUUAAUUUCUUUCCUAUGUAUCAAAUUUUGAACACUGAUGGCGUAGCCCUAUUGCUGUUGAAUUACCCUGUUGAGGCUUUUUAUGCCAAGAAAUAUUUAUUGGAUAUUAAAUAUGUUGGAUGAUGUUGUUAAUUGAUGUUGAUCAUAUUCCGCUGCAAGAUUUUGAUGAAAUGAAUAAAAUUGGUGGUUUAUUAAAUAGUUUUAUAUUCUAUUUAAGAAAUUUUAAAAAUGUAGUGUGACAUGCCCGUUUGGGUUAUUACUCUGAUGUUGAAAUAUUUAUUAUUUAAUUGAUUAUUGGGAACGGGGUGUUACAAUUGGUAUCAAAGCAGGUUGGUCCGUCCGGACGAGUAGUAGAGUCGUGUUGAGCCACCUAGGAUAGAGUGUCAACUGUAAUGUUGUUUGUUGUUGUUGUUCUGCAUUGUUGUUUCUUAUGUAGAACUCUGAAAUGGCUGGUCGUAAUGAUGCUGCUAUCGCUGCUGCACUUGAGGCUGUUGCUCAAGCUGUAGGACAGCAACCGAAUGCUGGAGCUGGUAACGGUGAGGUGAGAAUGCUGGAGACCUUCUUGAGAAAUUUGUAAGACCCAGUGUUUCACCAUGGGGAGCGCCUGUGUUGUUGGUAAAGAAGAAGGAUGGUAGUAUGAGAUUGUGCAGUGACUAUCAUCAGUUGAUAAGUCAAUGAAUAUUCUGUCAGUGCCAAGGCCCAUUUCCCGACUCGGCUAUGUAAGAUUGGUUUCGACAGCAUAUGUUUAAUAAUAUCAAAAUGGGAAUAAACAUAAACGUGAAAAGGCUUUAUAUAAUGCUUAAGUUUUGUACAUGAGAAGAAUAAACACAAACAAAGUUUUUCACUAGGAUGAUAUCUUGUUUCAACAUCAUUAAGUACUCGACUUAGAUAAUAAAUGGCCCUUUCUGUGCCAUAUUCAUCCUCUUGUGCUAACAUACUUCCUAUGGUGCCAUCUGACGUUGCUAUAUAUAACUUCAUUCUUCUACCCUUCAACAAAGGGGAAAGAACCGGAGGAUUUACCAAAUAUGACUUGAUUUCAUCGAAAGCUUUUUGGUGCUCGGAUUCCCAUUUGAAGACAUCAUCUUUCUUUAAUCGGAGUAGUGGUGAGAAAGCUUGUGUCUUGCCACUUAGGUUUGAUAUAAACCUUCGGAGAAAGUUGAUUUUUCCUAAUAGAGACUGUAAUUCUUUCUUUGUAGAAGGAGCCUUGGUCUCAAUUAUUGCCUUGGUUUUGUUCUGGUUGAUCUCGAUUCCUUUUUUGUGCACAACGAACCCUAAGAAAUCACCUGCACAAACCCCAAAUGCACAUUUUAAAGGAUUCAUUUUCAAUCCAUAUUGCCUCAUCCUUUCGAAUGAUCGGCGUAAAUGUUCCAAGUGUCUCUCUUCCGAAGAAGAUUUCACUACAAUGUCAUCUAUGUAAACCUGCAUAAAAUUCUCUAUGAAGUCAUGGAACAUUAAAUUCAUCGCUUUCUGGUAUGUAACACCAGCAUUUUUUAGACCAAAUGGCAUCACUAUCCAUUCAUAACAUCCUAACGUCCCUAGGCAUCGAAAUGCAGUCUUAGCGAUAUCUUCUUCUGCAAUAAAGAUUUAAUUGUAACCAGAGUAUCCAUCUAGCAUACUCAAGUAAUCGAAACCCGCCGCUGAAUCUACUAGCAUUUCUGCUACUGGCAUUGGGUAUUCGUCUUUAGGGGUAGCGAGAUUCAGAUCUCUAAAAUCUAUGCAUACCCUUAUGGUUCCAUUUUUCUUUUUAACUAGAACUACAUUUGCUAGCCAAUCUACAUACCUUGUAGGCCUGAUAAAGCCGCAUUUCAAUAGUCGAUCGAUCUCUUCUUUAAUCUUUGGUAGGAUUUGUGGAGCGAAUCUACGCGGAAUCUGUUUGACUGGCUUUUUGUCUGGUCGAAUUGGUAACUUUAACUCCACCACUUCUCGUUUCAGACCAGGCAUCUCGUUGUAAUCCCAUGCAAAGCAAUCUUUGUACUCUUUUAAUAGCUCUGCAAUUUGAUAUUUAAAUUUUUCAGGGAUUUUGGCACUUACGUAACUAGGUCUUUUAACCGUUCCAUCACCCAAAUCAAUUUCUUCGAGGGGAUCUUGUGCCUUCAUUUUUAUAGUGGAUCCCAUAGGAUCCUCUUCGAAGCCUAACGGUUCAUUAUCAUAAAUGCAAUCCAGUUUCUGGUCUUCGACAUCAACAUCUGUCGAUCCGUCUUCAAGCUUCUCGAUCUCCUCUUGCUUCGAAGAUUCGGCCUCUUUGGCCGUUUAUAACUCUUUUUCGGCCAAGUAGGCCGUAAUUUUCUCCCACAUACUAGGAUCAGACAUAAUUUCAAUUUCUUGCGUCCCCCCCGAUUGGUGGGGUAGCAUACUCAGAAAUAUUAGGAACAAGGCUAUCAGCAACCUUUUUGUAUGCUUGGGCUCUAGUUACGAGCAAACCUUCAUUCUCCAACUGAACUUCCUGUUGACUGACCAUUACAAAGUCAUGGUCUUUGAAUUCUUUUUCCCACACGAACCCUGCUUCUGGUUGCAGUUUCAUUGAGUACAUUUCAUCACUCGAAGUUAUCUUUUCGGGUCCUGGAUAUAUGACUGGGGCUAUAUGUGCCAGCUGCUUAUUGAAAUUCUUCUUGGUAAUAGUGUUUACUUCAGCCAAGAAAUAACUUUGAUCGGCUUCCACGUUCUCAACUAGCCCAUCUUCUUUCCAUAUGGCAAUCCUUUGAUGCACCGUAGAGGGAACUGCACCCACACCAUGUAUCCAUUCUCUACCCAAUAGUACAUUGAAGUUCGCUUUUGAUGGGACUACCAUAAAUGUUGUUACCCUUUUUGUGCUGCCCACCACUAAUUCCAAUUCGAUGGCGCCCAAAGAAUUUCCUGAAGUGCCUUCAUAGUUAGUGAGAAUAACAUUAUGAGGCUUCAAGUUAGAGUCAUAAAGUCCAAUUCUUCCCAGAAAUGAUUGAGGCAGCAAGUUGACGGUGGCUCCACCAUCCACUAGUACUUUAUUUACCCCUACGCCAUUGAUUUUGGCCUGAAUAAAUAAAGGCUUGAGAUGUGACUUCAUCGAAGUAUCUGGUUUUUCGAAGAAAUAAUAGCACAGUGGCUUGUGAGUUGCCAUUUCAUCGACGAAAUCACUUUCAACUUCGUUAAUUUCUAACUGAACAUCGUAUUCCACCGGUAGGAUAGAAACCACAUUGCAAACUAUAUCGAGACUAGGGUCAGAUCCCGUGAAAUUCGAAGUCAUAUCUUCAUCCUCUUUGGGAUGAUCUUUCUUCAAAAUUGACAAUGGGGGUGAGAUUCUCUCUGUUGCUGGUUUCUUAACCAUUUCGAACACAGUUUUCUGCUUAUCCUGUGUUUUAUAACAUUGGUGAUGUAUUGUAAAGCUGUUGCUUUUUUCUGGGGUUGAUACCUACGCCAUUGAGUUCGUGUCAUAGGUUGCUUACCUUUGUAAUUAUUAUUAUAAGAAUACCUGGUAGGCAAUUCUGGCACAUCAAGUCGAGGAGCAGGAACUUUUCUCUUCACCAAUUUGGUUGGAGGGGCAGAAUAGCCAGACUUUCUUCCUCCUGAAAAGACCCAAGUGUCAGUGGGGGAGUCUGCAGAUGGAUUGAAAGUUCCUCUCCAAUUUCUCUUUUGCGAAUUUCCAGCAGCAUAAUCUUUAUACGGGACACCCCUUUUAUUGAACUUCAAUUUAGGACGGCUAUCUUUCCUCUUCCCGUUCCACUUUGCCUGUGGCUGAGCGCUCUCUAUUGCUUUAGCGGCUUCCUUAUCGAACACUGCGCUACACCUUGGACAAAGCAUGGCGUUGGUGUUUGAAAUUUUGCAGCGAUUCAGAAAAUCAACUAGAUCUUCUUCAGCUUUAGGGUAUGCCUUUUCUACAUUCUUUUGGAGUUGGUCCUCAGUAACCAGGCUGGCAUUUCGAACAUGGUCUUCAGUAACCAUCUCAGUAUCAUCAAGUACAGCCUUUCUCGAUAACAGCUUGCUGUCGCUUGGUGCUGCAACAUCCACCAUGUUUAUGCCAACCACUUCAGCGUACAUGGAAUCGGCCUUUUUGGAAGAUUCGACAUCAGGCUUAUUUGUUGCUUUAGCCUUUUCUCCGAAUUUCAAUCUUCCUUCAUCGAGAGCUUUCUGCACAGAAUCCCUAAAACGAGUGCAACGGGAUAAGUUAUGGCCCAAAAAACCAUGAAAUUUACAAAAACCCCUUUUCUUUCUCUGAUCUAGAGGAGGGAGUUUCAUAUUAUCCGGCACUAAAAUUAUGCCAUCAGCAACUAAAAGAUCAAAUAUUUCUUCACAUUUAGACACAUCAAAAGUAUAAGUUUUUGGGGGAUAUUUAUCAUUUUUGGGUUCUUCUGCGUUUUUCCCAUUUGAUGGCCUCAAUAAUUUGCAAGUGUAAGGCGGCCCAUCUUUUAAUUCUGCGAGAUUUAUUUCGUUAUCUUCUACAGAAUCGGAACCCCAAUCGAAUUCUGGCUCACUAUCCCUAGUAUCGAUAUAAGCAACUUUCUCUUUCUUAGGGAACCUAUUCGUUCUGGCUUUUUCAGCCUUGAGUCUUUCAACUUGGCGGACUCUAUCUGCUAAUUGCGCCAUGUCCCUAAGAUAUUGUGUAUCUAAUUUCUUUCGAACAGAAUAAUCUAAGCCACCUGCAGCCAUUUCGACCAAUUCGUGUUCUGGCACGGCGGUGAAACAUCGGGCUUUGAGGAGUCGAAAUCUGUUCAAAUAAUCGUCUAUCGACUCAUGCCUUUUCCGUCUGAUACUGGCCAACUCUUUCAAACUAAUCUUAGAUUGGCCCAUGUAAAACUGCUCAUGAAACGCUUUUUCUAAUUGAUUCGAACUGACUAUGGAGUGUGGAGGCAAUGUUGUGAACCAUGUGAAUGCAUUCUUUGUCAGAGAACUUAGGAAAUAUUUCAAUUUCAAAUUCUCAUUAUUUGCCAAAUCACCGGCCUCCAUAAUAUAUCGGGCAACAUGUUCGACAGUGGACUCAUUCGUUUCCCCAGCAAAUUUGGUGAAUUUGGGGACUUUAUGGUUUCUUGGCAUCUCCGUUUCUAACACGAAUUCGGACAACGCAGAAACAAAAUUUGGACGGUGUAUUCCAGUGUUGAAACCGUUUUGAGCCAUCAAUGAUUCGACUAUAUCGGCUAUGUUAUUAUGGCCCCCAUAGUUAUUUCGACGGGCCUGCAUAACCACUUGGUCAACAUUUUGGUUUCUAUUUACCACUACAGGAAUCCUAACGGCUUCUUCUGGUAUUUCAGGCUGCUCGUUUUGCGCCUGGUUUUCGAGCACUUGAUUAGUCUGUUCUUCGACAGGUGCUUCUCUUGGCCUGACAUUCGCAUUUCGCGUAGCCGGCGUAACGCGCACUUGGGGUGCGCCCAGAAAAUCCGCUAUCCGCCCCAUAUGUUGUGAUAGGGCUUGGUAACUGCUAUUCGUCUCUUGAAUCAAAGGACUAAUAACAGUCGCGACUUGUUGUCUCGCCAUAUUAACCAUAUCAUGGUUAGUCUCUGCCAUGGUUUGCCUUAAUGCAUUCAUCGAAGCGUUGGUCAAUGAUUGUUGAGGCGAACCGAAUGGGAUAAACGUUUGUUGAGAUCUACCAAACGAGACAUUUUCCCCUUGGUUAGAAAAGGGUGGUAUGAUCGUGGUAGUGUGUGAAGUUUGGGUCGAAGAGGUUGGGAUGCCAUAGGACCCUCUUCCAUUGUUUCCCAGAUUGAGAAACCUUUGAGAAAACGUAUUUCCCGCAGACUGGGUAGUCUGAGCGGCUGUCGUAACCGCCGGGGUACUUCUUAAAGUAUUAUUGGCCAUCGUAUUCGACGUAUUGGCCUGUGAUGUUUGUGAAGUUACGUUUUCCUCUAGUAGGGUCUCUACAGGCUCUAAUACAUUAGUCAUAUUGCUAUUCUGGUUAAGUUGCGGAGACCCUAUCGGAAUUGUUUGAUUGGUCGCUGUUCCUGAAGUAGAAGCAGUGUUCGCUGCUGUUGUACCAGAAACUAUAGAAGGACGCGUCAUUUCAGGAAGUAUUUUGUUAUUCCUUAAACGCAUACACAAUGCAGACCAACAAAAAUUUUAGAAUUGAAAAAAUUUUCCAAGUUAAAAGCAAAAAAGGUCCCACUGGGCGUGCCAAUUUGUUUACACUAAUUUUUGGUAAACAAUCGCUGGUUUCCAUAAUGUUUACUUGGAAGAUCAACCAGUAAAUCUUAGGAGCAUAUUGUGCUUUUGUUGUUUGAAAGUAGGAGUAAUACUUGUUCGUAAAGUAUUUUUGAUAAAGUAAAGACAAGAACAAAAUGUAAAGAAUUGAAUCCAAUCCGUGUUGAAUCCAAUCGAAAUUCUGUAGAUAAUGACAAUAAAAAGGAAGUACUUUGAAAGGACUUAGUAAAAACAAGACUUAAAUUGCAAAAAGUGUUUAAAAGAUUGUAUUGAAUUUGUAAAGACUUAAUGAAAGUUGGUGCACAUAUUCAUACUUUGCAACUUGUGACUCAUUUGUCGCUUCCAUACGGACAGUAUUGAGUGUAAGUUUUUAGUAUGAUUGAAUUGUGACCCCUUUUUCCUAAGAAAAACUACUAUUUAUACAGAUAGUCCUAUAACUACCUAAUCAUAUCCGUUCGAUUCAAAAUCGAAACUAGCCGUUUGAAACUAGCCGUUUGCUAACUGCUUGAUCUUAUCCAAAAAAUCUGAAGGCGCUUCGAUAACUUCCUUUAUCCAUCGAACUAAAACGGCUUCUUCGAUUCCCGCUAAAGGUAUACAUAUAUUUUUCGAUGGAUUCUUUCACAAAGCUAAGUCCAACUUUUUAGGUCAAACCCUUGACAGCAUUAAAUGAUACUAUUCUCACAAAUAUCGGCUAACACAGGUAGAUGUAAAAUUUGUUGAUUUAAUGAUUGCUGGUUAUGAAACUGAGAAUAGUGAUUUCAAGGUUGAUGAUCAGGGUGUGUUGAGGUUCAGAGGAAGAAUUUGUAUUCCUGAUGAUGAUGGUUUGAAAAAGUUGAUUUUAGAGGAAAGUCACAAGAGUAGCUUGAGUAUUCACCCGGGAGCUACGAAAAGGCACUCAAGGUCCAACUAAAAAGUCGAAAUUACAAAAUCCAACAUGCUCUCUGCCUUAGCUCGCUAUGGCGAGUAAGGUUGCUCGCUAUGGCGAGCUGUAUUGCACAACUCGCGAGGCGAGGAAAAAGAGGUCGCGAGGCGAGCGAUGAUCAUUGUUUAUUUUUACGUGUGCGCUUAAAUAAUUUAGAGGAAUGCUAGGAACACGACCUCUAACACACUCUUUAAACACAUCCAAUAAUAUAAAACCACCUCAUCCCUUUUUUUUCUGUCCUUUUACGGGUUACCUGUUUGGGUUUAGCCAAUCACUUGUUUUAUUUUGUAUUAUUAUUUUUAUUUUAUUUUAACUUUUCAUCUUCUAGAUUUACCCAGAAGGAUAUCUCUGUUAACUAUCUUCUAGAAUUAAGAAUGGGAAAAAACUCAUCCAUUUGGAACAACAUCUGUAACACAACUUUCUUCUUUUUCAAGGAUAUGGCAAGUGGACAACAAAAUUUUAAUCAUGUUGUAAUAAGGAUUUUAUUCCCAUUUUAAAUUUUAGUUUUUUCUUUUUCAAGGUCCCAAUCUUAAUUCUAAUUUUUUUCCCAUUCUAAAUUUUAGUUUUUUUUCUUAUUCCAUUAAGGAUUUGACAGAAGAAUUAAGAAUUAAGAAUUUUUUCCGAUUCUUCAUUCUAGUUUUUUUCCCAAAGAAGGUCCAAAGGAAAUCGCCGUUAACAGUAACAGCCUAAUUUUUGCUAGAUUUAUUUUUAAUUGUUUUAAUAUGUGUUUACAUGUGCUUGUGUGUGAUUAUUAACCAUUGGGUGCAUUUUACUGGGUUUUCGAGUUAGAAGGGUAAUUUAGUCAUUUUGAACUCAGGGGUAUUUUGGUCAUUUGAUGAUUAAGGGUAAAUUAGUAAUUUUUGGUGAGGAUUAUUUUUAGUGUUUAGUGAGAACCAUUAUUUUACUAAGUUAUGAGUGUAGUAAUUAGUGGUGAACCGUUUAGUGACCGUUGUUAGUAUUUUAUCGUUGAGUGGUCGUUAUUAGUAUUUUACUGUUAAAAAUGUAGAAACAUUUUAGAAUUGUGUUGGAGUGGGUUAAGUCCACUAAAGUAUUAGGUUAAGACCAUUAGAGGACUAGCCUAUAUAAGCAUUGUCUUAAGAGAAAAACCUUAUUCAUUUCAUUACAUAGAUAUUUUGAGAGAGGUAGAGAGAGAAUGUGCAAGAGAAGAGGAGAAAAUGGUUAGAGAGAAGAGGCUUGAAGAUUCAAGAAGAUGUGAGGAUCCUAGGAGCUAAAGUGAAGCUUGGGCUAGGAAUUUGUGCUAAUUAAGGUAAGGGGGUUAGAAUUCAUCAUAAUCAUUUAGUGUGAUUUUUCAUUUGUUGUAUGAUUAAGUGCUUAAUUGAAUAAGUGAUUAUUGGUUCUUAGAUGUUGAAUUUCGUGCUCUAAUUAUGAUGGUAUGUUUGAAUACAUGAAAUUGGUGAUAAUUGAAUUAUUGUUGGUGAAAUUGCAUGUUCAUAGUAUGUGAAAAUGGGUACUGAUGAGUCAUUUAUUAUCUAUUUUAAUACGUUAUAUAGUUUCAUUUUAAUUAGAUUUAAGUUUAUUUUAUAUUUAUAUUACUUCAUUUUUGAACUAUUUUACUUUAAUUGCAUAUUGUUAUAUUUCAGGAACGAAUAUUUGAUGAUUAAGUCUUGGAGCAAAAGAGAGGGAUUUGGAGCUGAUUUGGUACGAAAAUACGAAGAUUUGGAGACAAAAUAUGUCUCCCCCAAAGUCAGAAGCUUGGCACGGUGUAACGCCCUAGUCGUUAAUUUAUUUAUUUUAGAAUUAACUAGAGUCUUUUAUGUAUUUUGAAUUAAAUUAACAGAAAGGAUCAAACCGAUACUUUAAAUAAAGUUAAGGGACCUAAACGGAUCUUUUAUUACUUACGGGACCAAAGCGAUACCAAAUAAAUACUUAAGGGACCAAAAGAGCAUUUAAGCCUAUAAUAAAUUGAGAAAUUGAAUUAUUUUAGGAGGUUGGGGAGUUAAUUAGAAUUUAAUAAAAUUAAGGGGAGAUUAAUAGAAAGAGGGGAGUUAUACUUUGGGAGUUACGGAAAGAAUAAGGAGAGAAACAUUUUGUACGUACAACUGACAAGUUUGGGGGAGAAAACCAAGAACAAGGGAGAUGAACCUAGGAACUGAUUUGCUGUGUUUUUUUUCUACAAUUCUAAGGUAAGGGUGAGAUUAUCUUUCAAUAAUCAUAAUAUGUAAUUUUUGAAAAUUAAUCAAAUGGAUUGUUCUUGAAGAUAAAAUAGGGAAUUUAGGGUUGAUGAUGACUUCGAAAGGAAUGGUGUAAGAAUUGUGUUUAAUGUGUUGUAAAUUGGUGUUCAGUAUAUUUUCUUAACUUAUAAUGUUGUUGUGAUCAGAAUUGGAAUGAAAUUAGAAUAUGUUGGAUGAAUUGGGAAGUUUUGUAUGAUUGCUAGAAUGCUCUGAAUUGUUGUUGUUGAUGCCUGUUUUGUGUUCCUUUAGAUGCAUAGUUGUAUAUAGGACCUGUAAACAUUUGCUGGAAAACGUUUUGGGUCAUCAGGGGAUUAAAAUUGGGUUUUUGGAGUGAGAAGAGGUCUAAACCCGUAGGUUUUUGGCCUGCCCAGAUGAGUCGUCGCUUAAGCGAACGACCCAUCGCUUAAGCGAGCAUUCAAGAUCACUGCCUAGAAUUUGAAGGAGCCAGGUCGCUCAAGCAACCCAUGAGCGAGCCCGUAAGCGUAGAAAUAAUUGCUUUCUGCCAAGCGUUCGCCUGAGCAAACCCGCGAGCGUGCCGUCAACGAGCAAAACCCAAACUUUCUGCAAGCCGGUCGCUUAAGCGAGCUGAGCCUUAGUCAGCCACUUUCUGAAUUUUGCUUCGUGCAUUAGGGGACCCUUUUGAGCAUUUAAAGAUGUUUCUUUCAGCUUAUAUAACCCUUGUAUAGGUAACAAAUCCUACUAAAGCACAAUGAUAAUUGAUUUAGCUUAAUAUAUGAAUUUUGGAGAUGUUGGAGUAAUUGAAACUAAGUAAACUCGUAUACUAUGUUGAGUGAACUUGUUGCAUUAACAUGAUUAUUAAUAAUUGUGUAUUUUCUGAAAUUGUUGGAUUGGUUUUGGUAAUUUAUGGUUAGCUGAGAUGUAUGCUUCUGUUUAGAUAAGUUAUACAUGAUGUCGCAUUAUGGAGUGAUGAGUCAUAUGAGUUCAUAUGCAUUGUGGGAGUUGUAUGUAGAUAUACACAAGUGGGUCAGUUGCAUAAGCAUAAAAGCGGUGAGGGCUUCUGCCCUGGAACGCCUUGUCGUUCAAAGCGGUGGAACACAUUGUUGUUCAAAACGGUGAUUAGUGGUGAGGACUCAUGUCCUGAUAAAAGAAUACUUUAACCAUUCUAUAGCGGUGAGCGCCCCGGCCCUGAUAUGGUGGCACAUGCAUUGUAGAGGAGUCUUAGUGGAGUUGUGGAGUGUUGCAUGAGUCAAUGUCGUUGGUCUUUAAAUGCCUUGUUGUGGAUAUUGAAAACGAUGAUGUUUAUAAAAUGUUGAAGAAUUAUUAUGAUGUUAGGGUGUUUGAUUCAUUGAAAUUAUUAUAUAUUAUUAUUAUUGUUUGUGAAUCUCACCCCUUCUGCUUGAAAAUGUUGCCCUUCCUAUGGGUAACUUGCAGGUGAUCCUGAGUAGUAGGUGGUGGCUCAAAGUGUCUAGGGCUCUGAUACGUGGGAUGGGAUUUUAUCUUUUAAUUUCUUUCCUAUGUAUCAAAUUUUGAACACUGAUGGCGUAGCCCUAUUGAUGUUGAAUUACCCUGUUGAGGCUUUUUAUGCCAAGAAAUAUUUAUUGGAUAUUAAAUAUGUUGGAUGAUGUUGUUAAUUGAAGUUGAUCAUAUUCCGCUGCAAGGUUUUGAUGAAAUGAAUAAAAUUGGUGGUUUAUUAAAUAGUUUUAUAUUCUAUUUAAGAAAUUUUAAAAAUGUAGUGUGACAUGCCCGUUUGGGUUAUUACUCUGAUGUUGAAAUAUUUAUUAUUUAAUUGAUUAUUGGGAACGGGGUGUUACAAUUGGUAUCAGAGCAGGUUGGUCCGUCCGGACGAGUAGUAGAGUCGUGUUGAGCCACCUAGGAUAGAGUGUCAACUGUAAUGUUGUUUGUUGUUGUUGUUCUGCAUUGUUGUUUCUUAUGUAGAACUCUGAAAUGGCUGGUCGUAAUGAUGCUGCUAUCGCUGCUGCACUUGAGGCUGUUGCUCAAGUUGUAGGACAGCAACCGAAUGCUGGAGCUGGUAACGGUGAGGUGAGAAUGCUGGAGACCUUCUUGAGGAAUCAUCCCCUGUAACGCCCACUUUCGUUAAUUGUUUAUUUAAUCGAGUUUAGGCGAUUAUAUUAUAUUUAUAUAAUAUAUGCAUGAUUAUGGUAUGAUUUGAAUGAUUUACGUUUAUGUUGAUGGUUUAGUUGAUAUUGUGAUAGGUUAUGAGUUUUGGGAGAUUUGAUAAGAUUAAGGGAUUUAUUUUAUUGUUAAAUAAACUAAAGAUUUGAAAAUAAUAUAAAAUAUUUAGUUGAGGGCUGUUUUGAUAUUUUAGAUAGUUUUGGGGGAGAAAGUGAGAUAAGAUAAGUAAUUAAGAGGAGAUAUAAAAAGGUUAGACCUAGUUUUAGAAAAACAUUGUUGUACGUACGUUUUGGAGAAAAAGGGAGAAAAAGCCAAGAGAAGAGAAACCAAGAGGGAGAGCUGCGAUUCUGCAAAUUAAGGUAAGGGUGAGACUAAUAAUUCAAUAAUGAUAGUUGUUGUAAUUCUGAUGAUUAAUUGACAAAGUUAGGAUUGAUUUAGAAAAGUUUUGGAAUUAGGUCAAAACCCUAAAAUUGAUGAUCAAACGGUAAAACUUGAUUAGAUUGAUGUAGAAACCGUCCUAUAACCUUAGAAUAUGUUUAGGAUGAAUUAUGGAAUCAAAAUUAGGCUUUGAACCAUGUUAGUUGAUGGAUUUUUGAGAAAAACCGUUUUCUGCCCGAGCCUAUGUUCAUCGCUCGCCUUGGCGAGGGAUGAUCCUCGCCUCGCGAGUGAUGAACUUCACCGCUCGCCACGCGAGCCUUUCCCCUUCGCCUCGCGAGUACCUUUGGUACCGCUCGCCAUAGCGAGCAACCUUACUCGCCAUAGCGAGCUAAGGUAGAGAGCAUGUUAGAUUUUGUGUUUCGACCCUUUCAGUUGGACCUUGAGUGCCUUUGAGUGCCUUUCGACCCUUUCAGUAAUGAUUAGGAUUGAAUGUAGGGCAAGAUUGGACCCAGAACAACACUGGUUUGGGAUUUGAGUGGUACUCGCCAUGGCGAGUAAUAACUCUCGCCUCGCGAGCACUUCCAGCUUUGAGUGUCUUGAGUGUUUGUGCGAUCUGUGUCGCACGUUUGGAUCAAGAGUGAACCCCCUUAUGGUAAUGAAACCUAAUGAUGACGUUAAAUGCAGUCUGUAGAACUGUUCAGAUAUGAUGAUAUUUAAUUGAGUUUGAUUAAUGUAAUGUGCAAAUAUGUAUGAUAUGAAGGUUUGGUUAUGAUGCAAAUGAAUUGCUAUUGAUAUAAUGAUAUUAUCCUGUUAUAUGACUUGAUUAUGCUGCUGCUGUUAUUUGACUAAGUGCAUGGUAUAUUUAUACGAUGAAUGAUGACGUUUAGCUCCAAAUUAUUGGAUGCAUGUUGAUAUGUUGAUUACGAUGUUUUGUUCAUAAGAGUCCAUGCAUAGCAUUUCAUUGAGCUUAGUCCUCACCACGAUUAUUAGGAGCUUUGUCCUCCGCACGUUUUAUAGGAGCUUUGUCCUCCGCACGAUUAAAGUAUAUUAAUACUUAUGAUGACGAUUGGUACCACAUGCAUAUAAGGAGUCUAAGAGCAUUGUCACAUUGUCAUGUCCAUAAUGCUAUGUUGUUGAUGACGAUUGAAUACGUGAAUACGUGAUACUUGUUAUUUGAAGAUGCAAAGUUAUUAAAGAAUGAUUACGAUGUUAAUGUUAAUUAUGAUUCGAAUUACUUUGAUUAACAUUAUUUUGUUAUGAAAUCUCACCCCUUCUGCUUGAAAAUGUUGCCCUUCGUAUGGGUAACUUGCAGGUGAUCGUGCUUAGUGUGCAGUUGCCGUCGUGAGUGGCCUUGCCUUCACUGUGUCGUCUAGGCCGCUCUGAUACGUAACGGGAUGGGGUUUAAUGUUAUGCAUGUUUCAUUCUCUUACGUGACUAAUAUGUUAUUUUUAUAAUGUUAUGGAUUAUGAUCUGAACUGUUUUGAUGGGGCCUGCGUGCCAAAACGUUUUAUGACUAUGAUAUGAUUUCCGCUGCAAUGUUUAAGAUAUUUGGUUAAAUUAUUAUUUAACUGUUUUGGAUUAUGUUAUAUGUGAUAUCCCGUUGUUUAUGAUGCUUACUCUGAUAAAUGAUUUAAGAAAUUUGUAUAUUGGGAAAACGGGGUGUUACAUCCCCCAGCAUUCAAGGGAAGGUAUGAUCGCGAUGGUGCCCAGAAGUGGCUGAAGGAAGUGGAGCGGAUCUUUAGGGUCAUGCAAUGUUCUGAGGUGCAAAAGUUGCGGUUUCGAACGCACAUGCUGGCUGAGGAGGCAGAUGACUGGUGGGUAAGUUUGUUACCUGUGUUGGAACAGGAUGGAGCUGCAUUAACCUGGGCUGUGUUUAGGAGAGAAUUCCUGAAUAGAUACUUUCCGGAAGAUGUCCGAGGAAAGAAAGAGAUCGAAUUCCUGGAGUUGAAGCAGGGUGACAUGUCUGUCACAGAGUAUGCUGCUAAGUUUGUGGAACUUGCAAAAUUUUACCCUCACUAUACUGCGGAGACAGUUGAGUUUUCCAAAUGUAUCAAGUUUGAAAAUGACUUGAGAGCUGAUAUCAAGAGAGCCAUUGGAUAUCAGAAGAUCAUAAAUUUCUCGGAGUUGGUGAGCAGUUGUAGGAUAUAUGAGGAGGAUACAAAGGCUCACUAUAAGGCGAUGAGCGAGAAGAGGAAUAAGGGCCAGAGUAGUCGCCCGAAGCCCUACAGUGCUCCUGCUGACAAAGGAAAACAAAUAUUAAAUGAUGAGAGGAGGCCUAGGGGGAGAGAUGCUCCUGUUGAUGUUGUUUGUUACAAGUGUGGUGCAAAAGGCCACAAAAGUAAUGUUUGCACCAAAGAUGAGAAGAAGUGUUUCAGAUGUGGUCAAAAAGGUCAUGUUUUAGCGGAUUGCAAGCGUGGGGAUGUGGUUUGUUAUAACUGUAAUGAAGAAGGUCAGAACUGGUGGAAAAGUGUUUGCUUUGACUGGUACGCAGACUACUAAUGAGGACCGUCUUAUCAGAGGUACUUGUUUCUUUAAUAGUACUCCUUUAAUUGCUAUUAUAGACACUGGUGCUACUCAUUGUUUCAUUGCUUUAGAAUGUGCAUAUAAGUUGGGCUUGAUUGUAUCUGAUAUGAAAGGAGAAAUGGUUGUUGAAACUCCAGCUAAGGUGUCCGUUGUCUAUGUUUGGUAGAGAUUUUGAGGUUGAUCUUGUAUGUCUACCGUUGAUGGGUAUGGAUGUUAUUUUUGGGAUGAAUUGGUUAGAGUAUAACCGAGUUCAUAUAAAUUGUUUUAACAAGACGGUGUAUUUUUCUUCUGCGGAAGAAGAGAGUGGAGGAGAGUUCCUAACUACUAAACAGUUGAAGCAGUUGGAACGAGAUGGAAUUCUUAUGUUUUCUUUGAUGGCAUCUUUGUUGUUAGAGAAUCAAGCUGUAAUUGACAGGUUACCAGUGGUGAAUGAAUUUCCUGAAGUUUUUCCGGAUGAGAUUCCAGAUGUGCCACCAGAAAGGGAGAUUGAGUUCUCAAUUGAUCUUGUUCCAGGAACGAAGCCAGUGUCGCUGGCACCUUAUCGUAUGUCGACGUCUGAGCUAGCCGAGUUGAAGAAACAGUUGGAGGACUUGCUUGAUAAGAAAUUUGUAAGACCCAGUGUUUCACCAUGGGGAACGCCUGUGUUGUUGGUAAAGAAGAAGGAUGGUAGUGUGAGAUUGUGCAUUGACUAUCAUCAGUUGAAUAAAGUUACAAUAAAGAACAGAUAUCCACUCCCGAGGAUUGAUGAUUUGAUGGAUCAGUUGGUGGGUGCAAAAGUUUUUAGUAAAAUUGACUUGAGGUCAGGUUACCAUCAAAUUAAGGUGAAAGAUGAAGAUAUGCAGAAGACGGCCUUUAGGACACAAUAUGGUCAUUACGAAUACAAGGUGAUGCCAUUCGGUGUUACUAAUGCGCCUGGUGUGUUCAUGGAGUAUAUGAACCGAAUUUUUCAUGCUUUUCUGGAUAAAUUUGUGGUGGUAUUUAUUGAUGAUAUUUUAAUUUAUUCCAAGACUAAAGAGGAGCAUGCAGAACAUCUGAAGAUUAUGUUGCAAAUUUUGAAAGAGAGAAAUUUGUAUGCUAAAUUGUCGAAGUGCGAGUUCUGGUUAAGUGAAGUGAGUUUUCUAGGCUACGUUAUUUCUGGUAGUGGUAUUGCAGUUGAUCCUUCGAAAGUUGACGCAGUAUCGCAGUGGGAGACUCCGAAGUCAGUGACUGAGAUUAGAAGUUUCUUAGGUUUGGCUGGUUACUAUCACAGGUUUAUUGAGGGAUUUUCGAAGUUGGCACUUCCGUUGACUCAGUUGACCUGUAAAGGGAAAUCUUUUGUAUGGGAUGCUCAGUGUGAGAGUAGUUUCAAUGAGUUGAAGCAAAGAUUGACGACUGCUCCUAUUUUGAUUUUAACGAAGUCGGAAGAACCUUUUGUAGUUUAUUGUGAUGCUUCUAAGUUCGGCUUGGGUGGUGUUUUGAUGCAAGAUGGCAAGGUGGUAGCUUAUGCUUCUAGGCAGCUGAGAGUUCAUGAAAAGAAUUAUCGUACGCAUGAUUUGGAGUUGGCUGCGGUGGUUUUUGUUUUAAAAAUAUGGAGGCACUAUCUGUAUGGUUCUAGAUUUGAAGUGUUCAGUGAUCAUAAAAGCUUGAGGUAUUUAUUUGAUCAGAAGGAAUUGAACAUGAGGCAGAGGAGAUGGUUAGAGCUGUUGAAGGAUUAUGACUUUGGUUUGAAUUACCAUCCUGGUAAAGCCAAUGUGGUUGCGAAUGCGUUGAGCAGGAAGACCUUACAUAUGUCUGCACUGAUGGUAAGAGAAUUUGAUUUGCUAGAACAGUUUAAAGACUUGAGCCUUGUUUGUGAAUUGUCACCUCAAAGUAUUCAGUCGGGGAUGUUGAAGAUUAACAGUGAUUUCUUGAAUAGUAUCCGUGAAGCUCAGCAGGUAGAUGUAAAAUUUGUUGAUUUAAUGAUUGCUGGUUAUGAAACUGAGAAUAGUGAUUUCAAGGUUGAUGAUCAGGGUGUGUUGAGGUUCAGAGGAAGAAUUUGUAUUCCUGAUGAUGAUGGUUUGAAAAAGUUGAUUUUAGAGGAAAGUCACAAGAGUAGAUUGAGUAUUCACCCGGGAGCUACGAAAAUGUACCAUGAUUUGAAGAAGCUGUUUUGGUGGUCUGGUUUGAAGCGUGACGUCGCUCAGUUUGUGUAUGCGUGUUUUGUAACACCUCGUUUUCCCAAUAUACAAAUUUCUUAAAUCAUUUAUCAGAGUAAGCAUCAUAAGCAACGGGAUAUCACAUAAAACAUAAUCCAAAACAGUUAAAUAAUAAUUUAACCAAAUAUCUUAACCAUUGUAGCGGAAAUUAUAUCAUAAACAUAAAACGUUUUGGCACGCAGGCCCCAUCAAAGUAAUCUCAAAAGAGUUAGUUCAAUAAACAAAUAGCAUAUUAUUCACGUAAUAGAACGAAGCAUGCAUAACAUAAAGCCCAAUCCCGUUACGUAUCGGAGCGACCUAGACGACACAAUGAAGGCAAGGCCACUCACGACGGAGACUGCACACUAAGCACGAUUACCUGCAAGUUACCCAUACGAAGGGCAACAUUUUCAAGCAGAAGGGGUGAGAUUUCAUAACAAAAUAAUGUUAAUCAAAGUAAUUCGAAUCAUAAUUAACAUUAACAUCAUAAUCAAUCUUAAGUAACUUUGCAUAUUUGAUAAACAAUUAUCACGUAAUCACAUCAUCAUUCAUAGACAACUUUGCAUAUUCGAUAAACAAGUAUCACGUAUUCACAUAUUCAAUCGUCAUCAACAACAUAGCAUUAUAGACAUGACAAUGUGACAAUGCUCUUAGACUCCUUAUAUGCAUGUGGUACCAAUCGUCAUCAUAAGUAUUAAUAUACUUUAAAACGUGCGGAGGACAAAGCUCCUAAUAAGUUGUGCGGAGGACAAAGCUCCUAAUAAUCGUGGUGAGGACUAAGCUCAAUGAAUGCUAAUGCAUGGACUCUUAUGAACAAAUCACCGUAAUCAACAUAUCAACAUGCAUCCAAUAAUUUGGAGCUAAACGUCAUCAUUUCAUCAUAUAUAGACAUUAUGCACUUAGUUAAAUAACAGCAGCAGCAUAGUCAAGUCACAUAACAGGAUGAUAUCAAUAUAUAAAUUGCAAUUCAAUAGCAUCAUAAUAUUUCAUUAUAAUCCUACAUAAUGUUUAAUACAUUAAUUCAUGUUCAAUUAGUACCAACAUAUCAUAAACAGCUUUACAGACUGCAUUAAACGUCAUCAUUAGGUCUCAUUACCAUAAGGGGGUUCACUCUUGAUCCAAACGUGCGACACAUAUCGCACAAGCACUCAUUACACUUCAACUUGAAAGUGCUCGCGAGGCGAGAAUUCUUACUCGCCAUGGCGAGUACAAGACUAGUUCCAAACUAAUGUUGUUCUGAAUUUAAUCUUGUCCUACAUUCAUCCCUAAUCAUUACUAGGUAUGUUCAGGCACUCAAAGGCACUCAAGGUCCAACUAAAAAGUCGAAAUUACAAAAUCCAACAUGCUCUCUACCUUAGCUCGCGAUGGCGAGUAAGGUUGCUCGCUAUGGCGAGCUGUAUUGCACAACUCGCGAGGCGAGGAAAAAGGGGUCGCGAGGCGAGCGAUGAAUGUUCAUCACUCGCGAGGCGAGAUUCAUAGCUUGCCAUGGCGAGCGAUGAAUGUCGCUACGGCCAGACUUCCUAUUUUCACAAAAAUCCGACGAUUCUCAGGGUUCUAAGCCUAGUAUUGAUUCCAAAGUUUGUCCUAAACAUUAUCUAAGGUCCAGGAACACUUUCUACACCAAUUUAAUCAAUUCCUACCGUUUAAUCAUCAAUUCUAGGGAAUUGACCUAGUUUUCGUUUUCUCCAAUUCAAUCCUAAUUCUUGCUAACUAAUCAUCAGAAUUACAUUCAGUUAACAAUACUGAGUUAUUAGUCUCACCCUUAUCUUGUUUUGCAGAAAUCGCAGCUCUCCCUCUUGGUUUCUCUUCUCUUGGCUUUUCUCCCUUUUUCUCCAAAAACGUACGUACAACAAUGUUUUUCUAAAACUAGGUCUAACUCUUUUAUAUCUCCUCUUAAUUACUUAUCUUAUCUCACUUUCUCCCCCAAAACUAUCUAAAAUAUCAAAACAGCCCUAAACUAAAUAUUUUAUAUUAUUUUCAAAUCUUUAUUUUCUUUAAUAAUAAAAUAAAUCCCUUAAUCUUAUCAAAUCUUCCAAAACUCAUAACUUAUCUCAAUAUCAACCAAACCAUCAAUAUAGUCGUAAAUCAUUCAAAUCAUACCAUAAUCAUGCAUAUAUUAUAUAAAUAUAAUAUAAUCGCCUAAACUCGAUUAAAUAAACAAUUAACGAAAGUGGGCAUUAUCUAUGGAUUUACCGUUUGAGCAUCGGAGGUCUGCAGGGUUGUUGACACCGUUGGAUGUACCGGAGUGGAAAUGGGACAGCAUCUCUAUGGAUUUUGUGACGAGUUUACCUAAUACUCCGAGAGGACAUGAUUCUAUAUGGGUUGUGGUCGACAGGUUGACGAAGUCGGCGCACUUUAUUUCGAUUAAUAUCAGUUAUCCGGUAGCUCAGUUGGCAGAGAUUUAUAUUCAUAAUAUUGUGAAGCUACAUGGUGUACCGUCGAGUAUUGUGUCAGAUAGGGAUCUGAGGUUUACUUCUAGAUUCUGGAAGAGUUUGCAAGAUGUUUUGGGUUCGAGGUUAAGGUUGAGUUCGGCUUAUCAUCCUCAGACAGAUGGUCAGUCGGAGAGGACGAUUCAAUCCUUAGAGGAUUUCCUAAGAGUAUGUGUGCUUGAGCAAGGUGAAGCUUGGGAUAGUCACCUACCUUUGAUAGAGUUUACCUACAACAACAAUUACCAUUCGAGUAUUGGUAUGGCACCAUUCGAAGCUUUGUACGGUCGGAGGUGCAGAACUCCUUUAUGCUGGUUUGAGUCAGGUCAGAGUGCUGUGUUGGGACCGGAUUUGGUUCAUCAGACUACAGAGAAAGUCAAGAUGAUCAUAGAAAGGAUGAAAGCGUCGCAGAGUCGACAGAAGAGCUAUCAUGACAAGCGUAGGAAAGAUCUUGGGUUUCAGGAGGGAGACCAUGUGUUUCUGAGAGUUACUCCUAUGACGGGGGUAGGACGUGCAUUGAAGUCGAAGAAGUUGACUCCAAAGUUCAUUGGUCCGUAUCAGAUAUUGGAGAGGAUUGGAACAGUGGCAUAUAGGAUUGGUUUUCCACCACAUCUUUCGAAUUUGCAUGGUGUAUUCCAUGUGUCGCAGCUUCGGAAGUAUGUAGCGGAUCCGUCGCAUGUUAUUCCAAGAGAUGAUGUGCAGGUUAGAGACAACCUGACCAUUGAAACAUUACCGUUGAGAAUUGAUGAUCGAAAGGUGAAGUCCUUGAGAGGUAAAGAGAUACCUCUUGUGAGAGUCGUUUGGGGUGGAGCGACUACUGAAAGUUUGACUUGGAAGCUGGAGAGUAAGAUGCAAGAAUCGUAUCCUGAGUUGUUUGUUUGAGGUAAGAUUUCGAGGACGAAAUUCUAUAUUUUGGGGAGAGUUGUAACGCCCAAGUCGUUAAUUUAUUUAUUUUAGAAUUAACUAGAGUUUUUUAUGUGUUUUUAAUUAAUAUGUGUGAUUUAUGUGGUGUAUAAUAUUUUAUUAUGUAGUUAUUUUUUAUAAUAAAUUGAGAAAUUGAAUUAUUUUAGGAGGUUGGGGAGUUAAUUAGAAUUUAAUAGAAUUAAGGGGAGAUUAAUAGAAAGAGGGGAGUUAUACUUUGGGAGUUAAGGAAAGAAUAAGGAGAGAAACAUUUUGUACGUACAACUGACAAGUUUGGGGGAGAAAACCAAGAACAAGGGAGAAGAACCUAGGAACUGAUUUGCUGAUUUUUUUUUCUACAAUUCUAAGGUAAGGGUGAGAUUAUCUUUCAAUAAUCAUAAUAUGUAAUUUCUGAAAAUUAAUCAAAUUAGAUUGUUCUUGAAGAUAAAAUUGGGAAUUUAGGGUUGAUGAUGACUUCGAAAGGAAUGGUGUAAGAAUUGUGUUUAAUGUGUUGUAAAUUGGUGUUCAGUAUAUUUUCUUAACUUAUAAUGUUGUUGUGAUCAGAAUUGGAAUGAAAUUAGAAUAUGUUGGAUGAAUUGGGAAGUUUUGUAUGAUUGCUAGAAUGCUCUGAAUUGUUGUUGUUGAUGCCUGUUUUGUGUUCCUUUAGAUGCCUGGUUGUAUAUAGCACCUAUAAACAUUUGCUGGAAAACGUUUUGGGUGAUCAGGGGAUUAAAUAUGGGUUUUUGGAGUGAGAAGAGGUCUGAACCCGUAGGUUUUUGCCCUGCCCAAAUGAGUGGUCGCUUAAGCGAACGACCAAUCGCUUAAGCGAGCAUUCAAGAUCGCUGCUCAUAAUUUGAAGGAGCCAGGUCGCUCAAGCGACCCAUGAGCGAGCCCGUAAGCGUAGAAAUAAUUGCUUUCUGCCAAGCGUUCGCCUGAGCGAACCCGCGAGCGUGCCGUCAGCGAGCAAAACCCAAACUUUCUGCAAGCCAGUCGCUUAAGCGAGCCAGCCUUCGCUUAAGCGAGCUGAGCCUUAGUCAGCCACUUUCUGAAUUUUGCUUCGUGCAUUAGGGGACCCUUUUGAGCAUUCAAAGAUGUUUCUUUCAGCUUAUAUAACCCUUGUAUAGGUAACAAAUCCUACUAAAGCACAAUGAUAAUUGAUUUAGCUUAAUAUAUAAAUUUUGGAGAUGUUGGAGUAAUUGAAACUAAGUAAACUCGUAUACUAUGUUGAGUGAACUUGUUGCAUUAACAUGAUUAUUAAUAAUUGUGUAUUUUCUGAAAUUGUUGGAUUGGUUUUGGUAAUUUAUGGUUAGCUGAGAUGUAUGCUUCUGUUUAGAUAAGUUAUACAUGAUGUCGCAUUAUGGAGUGAUGAGUCAUAUGAGUUCAUAUGCAUUGUGGGAGUUGUAUGUAGAUAUACACAAGUGGGUCAGUUGCAUAAGUAUAAAAGCGGUGAGGGCUUCUGCCCUGGAACGCCUUGUCGUUCAAAGCGGUGGAACACAUUGUUGUUCAAAAUGGUGAUUAGCGGUGAGGACUCAUGUCCUGAUAAAAGAAUGCUUUAAUCAUUCUAUAGCGGUGAGGGCCCCCCCAGCCCUGAUAUGGUACCACAUGCAUUGUAGAGGAGUCUUAGUGGAGUUGUGGAGUGUUGCAUGAGUCAAUGUCGUUGGUCUUUAAAUGCCUUGUUGUGGAUAUUGAUAACGAUGAUGUUUAUAAAAUGUUGAAGAAUUAUUAUGAUGUUAGGGUGUUUGAUUCAUUGAAGUUAUUAUAUAUUAUUAUUAUUGUUUGUGAAUCUCACCCCUUCUGCUUGAAAAUGUUGCCCUUCCUAUGGAUAAAUUGCAGGUGAUCCUGAGUAGUAGGUAGUGGUUCAAAGUGUCUAGGGCUCUGAUACGUGGGAUGGGAUUUUAUCUUUUAAUUUCUUUCCUAUGUAUCAAAUUUUGAACACUGAUGUCGUAGCCCUAUUGAUGUUGAAUUACCCUGUUGAGGCUUUUUAUGCCAAGAAAUAUUUAUUGGAUAAUAAAUAUGUUGGAUGAUGUUGUUAAUUGAAGUUGAUCAUAUUCCGCUGCAAGGUUUUGAUGAAAUGAAUAAAAUUCGUGGUUUAUUAAAUAUUUUUAUAUUCUAUUUAAGAAAUUUUAAAAAUGUAGUGUGACAUGCCCGUUUGGGUUAUUACUCUGAUGUUGAAAUAUUUAUUAUUUAAUUGAUUAUUGGGAAUGGGGUGUUACACACGGCCCGUGCUAGCAUUGGCACGGCCGUGCCACCCUCCAGAGUCACUUUUGCUGCUUUUGCUUAGAUUUUAAGCUACUCUAUUUUAGCUCGCAGUUUCUUGUGGAACAUUCUAGUAAUGUAAUUGUUUAGAUUUUAAUUCGAAUGUCUGCUAUAAAUAGAGUAGCUAGCCAUCACAAAUAUUCAUCUUUUCUUGGAAUUCAAUAAGUGACAAUUGUCUUUCUAAUAAAAGUUCUUUUCUUUUCCUUUACUUUUUUGUUAUUUACUUUUAUGUUUUCUCUCUUCUUCCCCAUGUCUACGAUGAACAUGAGUGAGUAGAUUUCUCUUUGUCUUGGGAUUGUUGGAUAAGUCUAAAUGACAUAAUCCUAAUCAAAGCAAGUUUUAUACCUUAAUCCUAUGUAACCAUAAUCUCUAAUCUAAAUUCACCGCUUUAACAUGGAUUAACCAUUAUCAAACUGUGGAAACGAAAGUGGAGGGUUUGAUAAUUGUUCGUCCAUCAUCUCAAAUAUCAAUUCAUAAAAUGAAAGUGGAGCUUUGAUAUUCGAACAAGUGAAUUUAGACAAGGAUUGCAAAGGCAGCGAAAUAGUCUUUGCAAUCCUUGAGACAUAUAGUUUCGAUCUUCAAGGGAACUAAUAGUAAUCAACUCAGCGAAAUAGGCUUGGUUAUUAGUGUAACCAAAAUCUAAUAGUCAUCAAGUCGGCGAAAUAGGCUUGGUGGCUAGAGGAACAAAAGAGAAACUAUCUUUAGAUGUUAGGUCUAACAUAACAUAAGGUUAUAAGUUUAAUAGUUUGGUUUGUGAAGGACUUGUCAUGAAGAUGAAGCAAUGAUUCCAAGGCUCUUUUAUAUUAUUAUCUAUUCAACCGUUUGAAAACCCCAACUUUACAUAUUGAUUCUCUUCUAAUCACCAACAAAAGUUAAUUGAAUUAACCAACUCCCUGUCGAAACGAUACUCUUUUAUUACUACUUCGGUAAGACCGUGCACUUGCGGUUUUAUCCCAUCAGCUACUUAUGAGUUUUGCUCAAAUUGAUGAAUUGUGAUAUUGUGUUGUUGAAUUAUGGUUGAAUUCAUGUCUAAAUGAAGUGUUGUUGAAUUAGAUAUGUUGUUGUUGUUGAAUUAUACCAUGGGUAUUCCAUUUCAUGAAGUUGUUGUUUGAAUUUGUGAAGUUGUUGUUUGUAUUGCUAAAGUUGUGCUAGAUGUUCAUGUGAAGGACCCAAAGUGAAAUUUGAUAUACAAAGUUGUUGAUUGAAUUGUCGAUGUUGUUGGAUGACUUAAACUUGAUGGAAUUUCUGUUUUUAUGUUGUAGUUAUGAUAGUCGAGUCGUUUGGGAGAAAAUGGGAGUUUCGUGUGAAAAUUCAAUUGUUAACCAUUUUGGAAAAUGAGUGUUUGUGUGAGGUUUGUAAAAUGAAUUUGGGGUUGUUAAAACUUGAAUUUUUUUAUGCAUUAUGAUAGGUCUAAGUGUCAGGAACAAGUAGGUGAAAACGGCAUCGAAAACAGUUUAACGGUUUGAUUUUUAUGUGCGAAAACGUGAAGGUUGAAAAUUUGAUGUUAUCUGUCAAACAAUGAUCGUGCCAUGAUUCAGGGCCAACGUGCCACGAUUUUGAUUAGGAUUUCAGCUUGUCUGAUUCUGGAAAAAUCGUGCCACGAUGGGAGACCAACGUGCCACGAUGCUGUUAGACAAAAAACCUUAAAAAUGCAAUUUUCUUCGCUCAAAUUGUUUCCAAACUUCUUCCUAAGUGUAGAGACUUUAUCUUAACCAUCUAGGGAUAUUUUUGUGAAAGAAAUAGCUUUGUAAUAAGGGCUUAGUGAGUCCUUGUGUUUUCUUGACUUUAAUGAAGCAUUUAUGAUACGAAUCUUUGCAAAACUUGAAAUUAAGUGAGUUGGCCUAUGAGACGUUGAUGUAUACACUACUGCACUCAUAUGUGACUUGUGUAUAUACAUGGUCGAGGUCCUAGAGUUUAUGUACUUAGUUUUGGUUCAAUUGUCUCAUUGUUUUAAAGUUGUAAAAGGAGAGACGGACUUAUCGGAAAAUGUUCCUUUAAGCCAAUUAUCUUAUAAUCUUUCGUGACUAGCUUUAUGUGACUAAAAUGAAGAUGUGUGAUGAAUUGUUAGAUGUUGGAUAUGAUAUUUAUCAUAAUAUGAUGUAUUUUCUCUUUGAAGUGGAAGAAAUAGUCACAAGAAAGGGGGGGUUUGAAUUGUGACCCUUUUUAAAUUUAAUCCUGAAACUUAACAACUUUAUAUACUCAAGAAAAUUCUUGGUAAAUGUUAGAUAAAAGAAGAUUAUGAAAUAUUUAGAUAUUUAAACAGUUGUUUUAUCAAGGACCAGAAUGUUCUGGAUAAUAAUUAUAUAAUUAAUAAGGAGACUGAAAUAAUAAAACAAUAUUAAUGAUUACCAAGGACCAGAGAACUCUGGAAGAAUAUAAAUAUUAAGAAGUUAUAUUAGGACCAGAAUGUUCUGGAUAACAGUUAUAAGAUGAAUGAUAAAAUAAUAUUAUGGUUAAUCAAGGACCAGAGAACUCUGGAUUAAUUUGAUUGUGAUUAAUUAGGACCAGAACAUUCUGGAGAUAAAUAAAUAUUAAUGCCUGUGAUAGUGUGUGAAUAUCGUGUACAAAUAAAAGAUAGAGAGAGAGGGAGAGAAAGAAUAAUAACACAGGAGAGUUAUCUUGGUUCACCAAACCCGACUACUUCCAGUCCCCACACUUCGUGUGAGAUUAUCCACUAUAGUAUACAGUUGGUAGAAACUUCUAACCAACACUAUUAGGUCUUGAUCACACCAGAUCAGUCCGUAACCCUUGUAUUAUCAACCUCAGCAAGCUUCUACAAUUCUUUGCUUUCGCACAAGAAAGGUUGGAACUCUUCCUAUCUCAAACUAUUAAUCCCAGUAGACUUGAGAUCUAGUUAUCUCUUUGUAAGAUGAUUGUUUGGAUCUAAGUCUCAAACGAAAAUAAGAAAGAUGUUGUUUGGAUCUAGCGUCUCAAACAAAAGAUGUGUAGGAUGUUGUUUGGAUCUUUAUAUGUCAAACAAACUAUCCUUGUACAAAUACAAACUCAGAAAGAUGUUCUCAAUGAGAGAUAAAGAUGAUAAAUAUAGUGAAAGAUUAUGGAGUUUGCUUUGUGAUUGUCGAAAGAGAUGUUGAAGAGAUUGAUUUCUUUAGCUUUGAGAGAAAGAGAUAUCAAAGCUUUUGUAAAUCAAAACUCUUGCUUUUCUCCUUCAAUGACCUCUUCUAUUUAUAGAGCUGGAAUCCCUUAGAAAUCAAGCUAAAAAAGAGCUGUUGUGCUUCCAAUUUGAAUUCGAAUUUUGGCUCCAAGGAGACUUGGGAAGAAAGCAUGUAGAGAAUGUUUCUUCAGUUUUGCCCAGAACAUUCUCUCAGUCACAACCAAACUUGAACGAAAUUGUAGAUCAUGUGCUUGCUAGUUGGUGAUGAGCUGUGAUCAAGCCUUUUGUAACUUGCUGCCCACUUGAUGAUUUUUGCUGAUAUCAUCUUGAUGAUGUCAUGUAGCUUAGAGAUAGAUAUUGAUCCUUUAGAUAUUCCUUUUCCUCAAAAUUCCUUAAUGGAUCGAAAAAGCCACAUGAGGGCCCAAAGAUGAUUUUAUUCUUUUUGCUUCCAACACAUGUGCAAGAAUAUAAUUUAUUUCCUUUGUUUCGUUGUCCUUUAACGCAUUUCCAAGAACCAUGAUUUCUUUCCUCUUUAAGUGAGACAAACGAGAAUAUUUGCAUAUCUUGACAAUUGCCCAAAAAGCUCAUAUUUUUUCAUAUUCAUAUUCAAUAAAGAUUUUGUUAUCCCUUGUGAGGCCAGAAUGUUCUCGAGAACAUUCUCACUGAAACAUUAUCACAAAACACAUUAGUAGAUAACAAGAUAAUAAAUGUAAAUAUGUGUUAAUAAAAAACAUAAAGUGAGGAUGUUCUCUUCACUUUGUAUGACCAGAAUGUUCUUUGUAAGAACAUGAGAAUCUUUUCUCAAAGUAAAAAUUCCUUUGAUUGAUUUCUAUUCUCGCGAAUCAUAUCUUAAAAAAUGAUGGAAGAUUCUUGGUUCAUCCUAUGUUUAUUAUGAUAGAAUCUUCAUGCAUAUGAUCAUGAAUUUUCUUCCUUGAUAAUUCUCCAAUUAAUGAAUAAUUCAUUCAUCGGUUGGUUUCUCUUCAAAGUUGAUUCGAAUUAUUUCGAUGAAGUAAUGAGAAUAAUUUCGAGUGUAAUAAUCAUCUUCACCAUGAGAACAUUCUUUUCAUCAAAGUUGAUAAUGUUCUCUUCUAUAGAAGAAGACAAUAUCUUCUUGGUCAAUCAACCUUGAAUUGUUUGAUGAUGCAAUUCUUCCCAUAAUUCCUCUUAGUGAUUCCACACAAUGUGUCUUGUUCAUUGAGUGUCCCGAGCUCUAUAAAUAGAACCCUAGUGCUGAAGUUUUAGGUUACUCGCGUUUUUGAGAAUCCCGAGCUCUCUGGACUUCUGAUUCCUUGGCUAGCACCGAGUUUUGGAGGAACACUGUUCGUGUGGACUUGCUAGAGGCUUUGCUGCUUGCUGCUUGCUUUGCUGUGAUCGUGAUUCCGGUUUCCAGAUUCCACCUUUCAGUUUUCAGAAUUAACACUUCGAGGUAACAAUCGAAUCACUGAUUCAUGUGUAAUUCGUAAUGAUCCAAGGAAAGAAAAUCGAAAUAAUUUUCCCCUGCUUAUUCUGUUUAAGAUCGAUUUUCCUUCAUAAAGUAGGUUUGAUUGAAAUGUGUUUGGUUAGAGUUUAGGAAUUGUUAGAAAUUGUGUUGAACUCUAGGUGUUUGAUAAAAUGUCUCAAUGAAAAUUUGUUUAUUUGUUUUAGUGUUAAUGAUGAAAUUAGUUAGAAAUUGGUUUGUUAAUGUUGAUUAUAGUUAGUUUGACUGCAAUGUGGUAGUUUACGGACUGAAUUGACACUGCGGAAAUUUAAGUGUUGUUGUUGAACAGUUAGAAAUGACACAAUGUCCCUAUGAAAAAAUUCAUUGAUUUGUUGCCUUUUGAAAUGUUGUGUAGAUAUGUCUCAGAGGCUUGACAAAGUUAGAGCAGGGAGGGAGUCCACUACAGGUAGUGCAUGGGCCGAAAAGGUUGCACAAUGCCCUCCUCAUGCUUAGGCUCGUAAACGGAGUCAAUGGGUGUAACGCCCUACUUCUAUUAAAGCGAUAAAACACGCGAAUAAUAAAUAUAUUCAAAAAAUAGACGUUACGUCAUCAUACAAAAUUCAAAUUCACAUGCAUGUAUAAAAUCUCAACAGUCGUAGCGGAUAUAUAUACCAUAUAAUUCAACAUAUACAUGCCAUGAUAUCGAAAAUGCAUCAUAAAUGAAUCUUCAAAAUGCUUUGGAUACUCUUCUGAUACGUAUCAGGAAGUAUAUCGGGCAGGUAUCGGUGCAGGAUGGAUACGAUAUGUUAUAAAUUUUGAAGUAUCGGGGCUUCACAGAAAGAAAAAAAAGUAAUGUUUUUUUAUUAAGGGACCUAUCUUUACAAUUAAAGCUGAGCCUUUAAUUUUGUAGGAACGGCCCUGAUAGGAACCCCAAAUCUAAGUCAUUUUCGAGUUCAUCAGUUCGAUCAACAAAAUCGAGGAGUAUGGUCCUAAACUUGUUUCUCACAAUCACAAUAAUCAUUUGAUCGGUAAAAAUUGUAAUUCGAUUUUUAUCUAAACUCUUAUAAAACAAAAUUUUCUUAUUUUAGUUGAAACCUGAACAAUGACAAAUGACUCUCCCGUUUAUCUACUCCUAUUACUCCACUAGUUAUUUUAUUUAUCGAGUUUAUCUCUCUUCAAAUGGAAGUGUCCAAUUAAAUGGAGAAGCUUCGGGUUUCUCACUGUUAAUCAUCGCCUCCACAGAUGAAACAUGGUUUCAAGUGACGACCUCUCAAGAUAAAGGUUUAUAACGUGACUGCAGCUACAAUAGUCAACAGAUGAAAUUGUUCCACUACAUGUGAUCAGAUGUAGCAGACUUGGUGAGAGGGAUCAGAUGCAUUGCAAAUUUUUAUAUUGUCAGUAUAAACUUGUGAUACUGAUAGAAUGUGAAGACAAAUCAUGAUGAUAAUAUAAUAUCUACUUUAUUUGAUUUACUUAUUUUAUUAGGCAACAUCAGCAUGUAAAAUAAAAGCUUUAAUACAAAGACAUGGGUUCUGGUAGUAGGUGAAUAAUUGUCUGAAAUAUCAUAUUUUAUAUAGCCGGCCUAACCCUAUCUAAAGGUCCCUAACCAAGGGAAACAUUUGUUUCCAAAUGAUUCCGGAUUAGGACAAUAAACACAGUUGGAAUAGGGAUAUUGCAUAUUAUAUGCAUGUGUCGGGGUUCAAAUUCCGGACACUCAACUUCUCCAUAUUUAAAAUGUGUGAGCUCUCACCAGUUGCCUACUUGACCCAAUAAAAAAAAAGGUCUCCUAUGCUGAAAGGCGAUCACUUUGGAAUCCUCUCUUUUGCUUUAUUGUUUUCUUUUCUUUAUAUCAAUUAACCAUUGGUGUGUUUUUUUCUGUAGUUUGUCAAUGCUUUUCUCAAUACUUCAAUUAUUCAUUCACAACAUAACCCUGUAUUUUUCUUCAGCCUUAUCUCUUUACCAUACACACUGCCAACUAUCCCAAUUCUAAAUCUUCAUAGUUCUAAAAUUCAUUCAAGAUUUAGUUACAACAUCAUUCCUUGCUGCUUUUACUUUAACAAUAGAAGAUGGCUGCAACUUUGGUGGGAGGGGCUUUUCUCUCUGCUACUGUUCAGACUUUAGUUGAGAAACUUGCUUCACAAGAGUUUUGUGAUUACAUCAGAAACACCAAGCUGAAUUCCUCACUGUUGGCAGAGUUGGAAACAACACUGCUCGCUCUUCAGGCGGUGCUGGAUGAUGCAGAACAGAAGCAAAUCACCAACACUGCUGUCAAACAAUGGUUGGAUCAGCUGAAAGAUGCAAUCUAUGAUGCUGAGGAUUUGCUUAACCAAAUCAAUUACGACUCCCUGCGAUGUAAGGUGGAGAAGAAACAAGCUGAAAACAUGACUAAUCAGGUUUGGAACCUCUUUUCGUCUCCUUUUAAAAAUCUCUAUGGAGAGAUCAAUUCACAAAUGAAGAUUAUGUGUCAAAGGCUGCAACUUUUUGCACAACAGAGAGAUAUUCUUGGCUUGCAAACUGUGAGCGCGAGAGUUUCUCUUAGAACGCCUUCAAGUUCAAUGGUAAAUGAAUCUGUUAUGGUUGGUAGGAAGGAUGAUAAAGAGAGACUCAUUAGUAUGUUGAUAUCUGACAGUGGCACUACCAAUAGUAGUGUUGGUGUGGUUGCAAUUUUGGGUAUGGGCGGUGUUGGCAAAACCACUCUUGCCCAACUUCUUUAUAAUGAUAAAGAAGUUCAAGACCAUUUUGAUCUGAAAGUCUGGGUUUGUGUAUCGGAGGAUUUCGAUAUUCUGAGAGUAACUAAAACCAUUCAUGAAUCUGUCACUUCAAGAGGUGGUGAAAACAAUAAUCUUGAUUUUCUUCGAGUUGAAUUGAAUAAAAACUUGAGGGAUAAAAGAUUUUUGUUAGUGUUGGAUGACCUGUGGAAUGACAAUUAUAAUGAUUGGGAUGAGUUAGUAACUCCACUGAUUAACGGCAAAAAAGGAAGUAGGGUGAUCAUCACAACACGCCAACAAAAAGUUGCGGAGGUUGCACACACGUUUCCUAUUCACAAAGUAGAUCCUCUAUCAGAUGAUGACUGUUGGUCGUUACUUUCAAAGCAUGCAUUCGGAAGUGAAGACCGUCGAGGUAGAAAGUACCCAAAUCUAGAAGAAAUUGGUAGAAAGAUUGCCAAAAAGUGUGGUGGAUUGCCCAUAGCUGCUAAAACACUCGGAGGAAUUUUGCGUUCAAAGGUAGAUGCAAAAGAGUGGACUGCAAUUCUAAAUAGUGACAUAUGGAACUUACCAAAUGAUACAAUUUUACCUGCUUUGCGUCUAAGUUAUCAAUAUCUUCCCUCACAUUUGAAAAGAUGUUUUGCCUAUUGCUCAAUUUUUCCGAAGGAUUUUCCACUUGACAAGAAGGAAUUGAUUUUGUUAUGGAUGGCAGAAGGCUUCCUAGAGCAUUCUCAACGUAAUAAAACAGCUGAGGAAGUAGGCCAUGACUACUUUAUUGAAUUGUUAUCCAGGUCCUUAAUUCAACAAUCAAAUGAUGAUGGAAAAGAAAAAUUUGUUAUGCACGACCUUGUCAAUGAUUUAGCCUUAGUGGUGUCAGGAACAAGUUGCUUCAGGCUUGAAUUUGGUGGUAACAUGUCUAAAAAUGUUCGUCAUUUUUCAUAUAAUCAAGGAGAUUACGACUUUUUCAAGAAGUUUGAGGUUCUCUACGAUUUCAAGUGCUUGCGAAGCUUUCUACCCAUUAACCUACGCAACUGGGUAGGAGGAUAUUACUUAUCUAGUAAGGUUGUUGAAGAUUUAAUACCCAAACUCAAACGGUUACGCGUGCUAUCCUUAAAAUAUUAUCGAAACAUCAACAUACUGCCAGAAUCAGUUGGUAGUUUGGUGGAGUUGAGGUAUUUAGAUCUCUCAUUCACUGGAAUUAAAAGCUUACCUAAUGCAACAUGCAAUCUUUACAAUCUGCAAACCUUGAAUUUAACACAAUGUGAAAACCUCACUGAGUUGCCACUACAUUUUGGAAAGUUAAUUAACUUACGGCACCUUGAUAUUAGUAAGACAAAUAUAAAGGAGAUGCCAAUGCAAAUUGUUGGACUCAAUAACCUGCAAACAUUAACUGAUUUUUCAGUCGGCAAGCAAGACACCGGGUUAAGUGUCAAAGAGGUUGGUAAGUUUCCUAACCUGCGGGGAAAACUUUGUAUCAAGAACCUGCAGAAUGUCAGCGAUGCCAUUGAGGCGUAUGAUGUCAACAUGAGAAAAAAAGAACAUAUUGAGGAGUUAGAGUUACAAUGGAGCAAACAAACGGAAGAUUCGCGAACAGAGAAGGAUGUGCUUGAUAUGUUACAACCUUCAUUUAACCUUAGGAAGCUGAUUAUUAGGUUGUAUGGUGGAACAAGCUUUCCGAGUUGGUUGGGUGAUCCUUUGUUUUCUAACAUGGUGUCCUUGUGUAUCUCGAAUUGUGAAUAUUGUGUAACACUUCCACCACUAGGCCAACUACCUUCUCUCAAGGACUUGACUAUUGAGGGUAUGACAAUGGAAACAAUUGGGCUAGAGUUCUAUGGGAUGACAGUAGAACCUUCCAUUUCCUUAUUCCGACCAUUUCAAUCUCUCGAGUCUUUACAAAUCUCCAGUAUGCCGAAUUGGAAAGAAUGGAUACACUAUGAAAAUGAUGAGUUUAAUUUUCCUCGCCUUAGAACUUUGUGCUUAAGCCAAUGUCCUAAACUAAAGGGACAUUUGCCUAGCAGUCUUCCUUCAAUAGACGAAAUCAAUAUAACUGGUUGUGACCGUCUCUUGACAACACCACCAACUACUUUGCAUUGGCUCUCCUCAUUAAACGAAAUAGGUAUACAAGGGUCUACAGGAAGUUCCCAAUGGUUGUUACUUGAGAUUGAUUCUCCUUGUGUGCUUCAAAGUGCAACAAUCAGUUAUUGUGAUACCCUGUUUUCUUUACCCAAAAUUAUUAGGAGCAGCAUUUGUCUUCGAUUCUUGGAACUUUAUGAUCUUCCAUCUCUCGCUGCUUUUCCAACAGAUGGUCUACCCACUUCAUUGCAGUACAUUAGAAUUGAUGAUUGUCCGAAUUUAGCAUUCCUGCCACUUGAAACAUGGGGCAAUUACACAUCUCUUGUGACUUUGCACUUAUGGAAUAGUUGUUAUGCACUUACCUCAUUCCCUUUGGAUGGUUUCCCAGCCCUCCAAGAUCUUUUCAUUUGUCGCUGUAAAAAUCUGGAAUCCAUUUUUAUUUCAAAAAAUUCUUCCCAUCUCCCGUCAACCCUCCAAUCAUUUGAGGUAUAUGAAUGUGAUGAACUUAGAUCAUUGACUCUACCAAUAGACACCCUGAUCUCUCUUGAACGUUUGUCCCUCGGAGAUCUUCCAGAACUAACUUUACCAUUUUGUAAAGGAGCUUGCCUACCUCCCAAAUUACGAAGCAUUUUUAUUCGAUCAGUGAGAAUAGCAACGCCUGUAGCUGAAUGGGGUCUCCAACAUCUUACUUCUCUUUCAAGUUUGUAUAUUGGAGGUGACGAUGAUAUUGUUAACACCUUGCUGAAGGAGCGGUUGCUGCCAAUUUCACUUGUGUCUUUGAGUAUUUCUAAUCUCUGUGAAAUAAAAUCCAUUGAUGGAAAUGGACUCCGACACCUAUCCUCUCUUGAAACACUUUGUUUAAAUGACUGUCCAAGACUUGAGUCUCUUUCAAAAGACACUUUUCCAUCCUCUCUUAAGAUACUGCGCAUCUGGAAAUGCCCUCUGUUAGAAGCAAACUAUAAAAGUCAGAGGUGGGAACAUUUGUCCAUCCCAGUCUUGAAAAUAAAUAACGAAGUGAUAAUAUGAGGGAAGGGACGGAAAAUUUGCAAUCCUGUUUCAGGUAUAAUUCUCUUUUAUGCAUCUAUCCAUGAAGAAUUGUUCAAUUUUUUCUGUGUAACAAUUCAUAAAACUGUGGUAACUGUAGUCAAGUUCAUUUAUAAUAACCUACAAACUGUGGUAAAACACCAUUUCUUGAGAUUUUUAAGUUAAUGGGUCUAAGGUACCGUUUGGCCCGGCUUUUUUUCAGCUUCUCUACAUUUUUAAGGAGAAGCUAGGUCAAACACAAUAUCAAUAAAGUACCUUCGAAAAAAAGUACUUUUUUUAGAAUGCAUAAAAUUAAAUGGAAUGAACUUUAACCAAAAGUUGUUAAACGCUACUUCAAAAAACUACUUCUCCAUAAUUUAUUUCAGAAACACCUCUCUUCAUGCAUGCAACCUUUUCUUUUAUUUUUUAAUAUUAUUUUUCAAUUUGUUUUUUUAUUCCUUUUUUUUUAACCGGUCCAUAUAAAUUUUUUUAAAGGAGGAUCAAUUUAAUUUUAUCAUCUAUUUUUGAAGGAAUUUUAUUAUCCUUUUAUCACUUAUAUAUUUAAUUUUAAUAUCGUUUAAUUAUCAAAACCUCACAAAUAUUUUUAUUCCCUUUCUUCAAUCUCACAAAUAUACACACACACGCAUUAGCGUUUAAAGUAAUAUUUUAUGUCUGUAUGUCUGUAUUUUUUGUUACGCUAAUGCGUAUAAUUUUUUUAGUGUUGCGUAUUGCGUACAAUUAUUAUUUUUAUAAAAUUUUGAUUUUAAUUAAAAGUACAAGUAUAGAUGCCUAAAAAAAUUAUACUUAUAUAUAUUUUACACAUUUAUAUUGUAACAAACUAUGCAUAUCUUUUUCUUAUUAAAAAAACUAAACAUAUCUUUUUCAAUGACACCAACAAUGUAACAAAUAUAAUAUCAUAUAAUAUAAAUUCUUAUGUUUUUAAAUGACACAAAAAAUAUGAUAUUCUUAUAACAAAAUUUGUUAUACAGUAUAAUUGGAAAAGAAAAAAUAAACUAUUCUCUAGCUUAGCUCAGUUGAUAUAGACAAUGUAUAAAUAUAUGCAAGGUCGCGGGUUCGAACCCCAGACACCACAAAAAAAUAAUAAAUUCAAAGUUUUGUACGAUAUUUUGCCAAACAACUUUAACUUAAAAAUAACUUUAGAACUAAAAAAAAAAUUAAGAAACCAAACAGCUUUAGCUUUUUCCUUAAAGAGCUUUAUUUUAAAGUAGCUUUCAGACCGAAAAAAAGUCUGGCCAAACGGUAGACGUUGUUACGCAAUUUUCUCAACAAGUAGAAGUAGAUUAAAAUAAGAAUCCAGAUUGAUUCUUGGUUCAAUGUAAUGCCAACUUGUUCCAGUAAAAUAUAUCUAUAUCCUAAGGUAAUAACUUCAAUGUCUGUUUUAUGCAACAUGCACCUCAAUGCGAUUUACAACUUGUUCCUUGAGACAUAUCUUUGUUGAAAUAAAAAUAAAGAACAGUUCACAGAUAUUUUAUACAUUUACAUGGAUAAAUAAAUACAAUUACAAUUGCAAUUUACAACUUUAUCUUUGUGACAAGAACAAAAUAUUCUUUCUUAAAAUCCUAUUGAAAACCAGUUUAAAUUUUUAAAAUCAUAUUCUUGAUCCUAGUUGAGAUUAAACUUAUAAUGUUUUCGAAGCCAUUGUUAAUUUUUAUUCUUUUGUUGUUAAUAGGUUUGUCAUCGGUAAGGCGUGCAAAGUCCAUACACAGAGAUCUCGUUAUAAGAACAAGAGUUGCUGGCAACAUAAAUGUAUGUCACAAAGCUUCAGUUUCAGUUUGUAGUUACUUAUCUAUUUUGAUUUCUUUUCUCCAUAUUUUGAUUAGUUUUCUUUUAAUGAAGAAGCUAAAUUAGAUUACCGAAAUUGGCAUCGGGGAGAAUCGAACCUCGGAUCUUGAGGAGGAACGCACUCUAAGGUCCUAAGUCAACAUCACCCGUCAAUCCAAGUGGGUUAUAUUUUUCUUAGUUUAUCUGUGUAUUUUUGUUCAGUACAGUUUUUAUAGAUUUAAUUCAUAAGCACUAACUGUGACAAUAUUUACCUUAUUAAUCAAUCAUAACUAUUUGAUGAUUAAACAAAUUUUACUUUCAUCUGAAGUGCAUAUGAUUAGUUGGUAUUUGGUUAGCCUUUUGUUGAAAGCAUAUAACUUAAAAGUUGUGAAGCACCGAUACAAACACGGACACGUCGACAUUGUGUCGGUGCUACAGAACUUAAAAGUCCUUAAUGUACAAAUUACAAUAAAGCAGUACGUAGAAAUUCAGUUUCACAAUCUGACAUAAGUUUUUGCUGUAAAUAAAUUUUAAUUAUGAAGUGAUGAACUUUCUUACUUCGCGCAGGUAAUUCAUGAUGCCGGUGGAUACUUUCUCGCAGAAACUGUCAAAAUACCGUUUUCAUCAAUUGAGAAACGUUCGCUGAUAGGAUGGCAACGAAGGAAAGUCUCAGGAAAGGGCUGACUAUCUCUGCUUGAAGGCCUACAAGACAACAUGAAUCAAACAAUUUUUAGGAAAUUAGAAUUUUUCUUAUCCAGAUUCUCACUUUGUUAUAGGAUUAGAUCUCACAUAAAUGUUUACUCCAAGUCCAGAAAUGACAAGCCAUCUACAAAUGUAAAUCAACAUUGUCUAAUUUUUCUCUUUGUAGAGUCAGUAUUGUAUAUAUUAAUCAUUUCUCUCUAAAAAUAAUAAAUUUAAUAACUUAUUACAAAGGAAAUGUUAUGACUUAUAAUUUAUCUAAUAUCCCUCUUUUGUAUAAACAAUAAAUAAAUUAUCCAAUCCUACAAACAUGGCCUAGUUUUAAUAUCUCAGAAAUAACAUGAAUGACACAUCGAAUUAACAUGACUAACUCAGAAAAAAAAUUAAUUAUCCAAUCCUACAAACCUGGCCUAACUUUUAAUAAGUCAGAAAUAACAUGAAUAACUCGAGAUAUAAAUAAAUUAUCCAAUUGAAUUAUUUCAACAGAUAUCCGUAAACAUGCACUCCAAGUGCAUUGCAAUUUUCCAUCAUUUUGGUCCUCACAUUUUCCAUUAGUUUCAAAGUGUUAUUUCUGCUUUCAAAGUGUUUGAUAAGUUUCAUCAUCUUGUGUUUGUACGAGGUAAACGGAAAAUUUUGAAGAAUUUAGAAUUUUAGGCAAUUUAAAUGAUUCAAUUAAAUUUUUUUUAUUUUUAAAUAUUUUUGUUUGGAUGGAGUAAUUGUCAUAAUUUUUGGGUAACUUUUAUAAAUUUUAAUUUAUUUUGGCCAAAUUUGGAAAUUUAAAUUAGCGGUCAAUUUGUAAUUUUCUAAAAUUUCGAGGGGUCAAUUUAUAAUUUUUGAACAUUUUUAGGGGAAAAUUUGUAAUUUCAAAAAAAAAAUAUAGGGGUCAGUUUGAAAAUUUUGGAAAAUGUGUGAACCAAAAUGCAAAAUUUGAACAACUAUAAUAAUGAAAAAAUUUAUCAUCCAAACAAUAGAAUCCACCUAAAAGUCUUUGAAUUCUCUCAAAACAUUACAUGGGUCAACUUAGUGGUAAAGACUUGAAUUUGUAACUUCAAGAGACAUUGUUCAAAUCUCGCAUGAAACAGUUGUAAAAUGAUCAUUAGUUCCAUAAUUAUUAAUAAUAGAUUUUAAGGAAUAAAUUCUACAAAAUUUCAAUUAUUUUAUAAUAAUGCAUUUUUGUUUAUAAACAAAACAUUUUACUUGUUGAUAUUUGUAAAUAUAUAUAAAUACAUUAAUAUCCACUAAUACUCGUGUAGCGGAUAUUCACACGAAUGUAAGAACGGUCUAAAUAUCAGUUUUAUCAACUAACUACUAUGUAUAUCAUGUGGACAUCGAUUAUCAUCCCUAUUAAUAGUAUAGUAGCAACAACAAUAAAAUUAUUAUUAUAUUAUUAUAUGAUAAUGAUAAAGUCACACUUCUAUUAAAAAGAAAUAAUCUCAAAAUAUAAAGAGAGAAAAAAUUUGAUAAAGUCCAAAUAAUAAUACAAAUCUCACGAUAAUUGAUUCAAAAUUGAUAAAUGUUUAUUAGACAUUCAAAAUAGUUGCAACAAUUUUUUGUGAAUAUAUAAAGAAAGUAACAUUUAAGAAGAACAAAUAAAAGAAACAUUGAUAAAUUUAUUCUUUUUCUGGUAUUGCUUGACAAAUGAAAAUGUUCAACAUCAUUCCUUUUUUUCUUAUACGCCACAAAACAUAGUAAAAUAAAAUUAAAACAUACUAACAAAUAAAUGAGUACUUUUCACUUUUUAUUCUGAGUAGAAAAAUGAAAUACCCAUUAAAAAAUAAACAAUAAUAAUAUGGAAGAAAAAAAACAUAAGAAAAAAUAUAUUGAGAGGAGAAUAUUCAAAGAUAAAUAAUAUAAAUUAAAAAAUAAAACCCUAAUAAAUAAAAUGGUUGAAAAGUGUGUUAGAACAACAAUGGUUCAUACAAGUCCUCUAAGGUUUUGAUGAUAACAAAGUAUUGAAGAACAAUUGGAAUACUAACAUACGUUCAAGUGUAUAAAAUCUAUCUAUCAUGAAGAAAUAACAUAUGAAGAGCAUAAGAAGGAACUGGAGAAGCCUAGAAGACUAUGAUGGAAGAUCUAAAAGAAAGUCAACCAGAAGUCAACAUCAUUAGAAGAAAGAUGUCUCAAAGAAGCUGAAGAGUGACCUCAAGAGAUUCCGUGAAGGCCAUCAGACACAUAAUAUGUCUGGCAUACUUGGAUCUGAGGGACCCGAAAUGCAGGUAAAUUUUUGUCUAAUAUUGUGAGCUGUCUAUACCGUAGUAUCUGAUAGAGGAGUUCUUUUGUCUUCUUCUGUCUACGUGUGCAACUAGACAAAGGACCUUAAGAACAAAGAGAAUACAACACGUAAUUCAUCUUUCAGCAAAGGAAAUUCAAAAGAUUUUCCAACGGAAUUAUCCAUAUCAGGCAAAGAGUCAACUUUCUUGAUCAAAGUUAUCCAACGACUCUAUUUGCAUUGGAACUUUUCCAACGUCUCUUAAAUCACUGCAUAUAAAAGGAGUUGAAGACCUGAAGCAGAAAUAACAAGACUAUGUUAUUUUUAUAUGCCAAAUCUCCGUCAAAUCAAAUAGCGCAAAACACUUAGAAUUUUAGCUUUCAAGUUUAUAUCUUAGAAAUCCUAAGGAGUCUGUUCAUUUGUUCAGUUCACUACCAUUGUUAAAUCUAGUGUAAGAAAAAAGUAACUUGUAACACCCCGUUAUCCCAACAAUUAAUAAUAAAUAAGAUAAUCAGAGUUCCUCCACAAACAGGCAUGUCACACUGCUUUUCAAAAUUUCUUAAAUAGAAAUAAAUACUAUUUAAUAAACAUCAAUAAUUUGCAGCGGAAUAUUUUUCGAAAUAUCUAACAUCAACAUCCAACAAUAAUCCUGGCACAAAGGCCUCAACAUAAAUAUUCACCAAAAUUGUUCAACAACAAUAAAAGGCUACAUCAGCAUGUUCCAAAAUUGAUACAUAAGGAAUGAAAAUAAACAACUAAUUCUCAUCCUGUUACGUAUCAGAGCCCUAGACACUUGAGCCACCACUCUACUAUUCUUCAUCACCUGCAAGUUACCCAUAGGAAGGGCAACAUUUCCAAGCAGAAGGGGUGAGAUUCACAAACAAUAAUAAUAGAUGAGUAAAUAGUCAAUUUUCCCCCUGAAAUUGUAAGUUUCAUCAAUUACCCCCCUGAAAUUAACAAAACAUCAAUUACCCCCCUAAAAUUUCACAACGUUAGUCAAUUUACCCCCUCCGUCAAAUUUUUCUGUUAGUGAACAUGACGUUUUGCAAAUACCCCCCUGAAGUUUUGCACUUAUGUGCAAAAUGCCCCCCAAACUUAAAAAUUUAUAUUAUUUUUUUCUUAAAAACAAACAAUUAAUAGUUAAAUAUUAAAGCUAACUAUUAAUUUUGGAGUUUGGAAAAACUACAUACAUAUAUACAUCAAAAUAGGGAAAAAUGUGUAUUUUUAAAGUGACAAUAAUGGUUAUUUCUAAUAGACAAAUUAUUAUUUUUAGAGGUUUAUAAACAAAUUAAUAAUCAGAUUUAAAUUUAUAUUUUCUCCUUCACCAUCUUAGUCUUUUAACUCCUCCAACUCCUUCAACAAUUUGCUCAAACCAUUUAAACUACACAACCCCCAAUAUUAAUCCACAAAUCAUCCCAUUAUUGUCACUUUAAAAAAUACAUAUUUUUUCCCAUUUUGGAGCCUAUUUUGAUGUAUAUAUGCAUGUAGUUUUCCCAAAUUCCAAAAUUAAUAGUUAGUUUUAAUAUUUAACUAUUAAUUGUUUGUUUUUAAGAAAAAAAUAAUAUAAAUUUUUAAAUUUGGGGGGCAUUUUGCACAUAAGUGCAAAACUUCAGGGGGGUAUUUGCAAAACGUCAUGUUCACUAACAGAAAAAUUUGACGGAGGGGGUAAAUUGACUAACGUUGUGAAAUUUCAGGGGGGUAAUUGAAGUUUUGUUAAUUUCAGGGGGGUAAUUGAUGAAACUUACAAUUUCAGGGGGGAAAUUGACUAUUUACUCAAUAAUAGAUAUAUAAUUCAUCAAUCGAAUCUAACACCCUAAAUAUCAUCAAUACAUCAUUAUAUAUAUAUAUAUAUAUAUAUAUAUAUAUAUAUAUAUAUAUAUAUAUAUAUUUCAUGAUCACAUCAUUAACAUCAUAUUCAUCUUCAAUCAAUAGUAAGAAUUAUUACUCAAUCACCAACGACGACUAAUGCAAUGACAUGACAACACCACUAAGACUCCUCAACAAAUGCGACUAUACACAUGCAUAUGGUACCAUUUUACAGGACAUAAGUCCUCACCGAAUUUGAAUGGUUAAAGCAUUCAGAGGGCAUAAGAGUUUGUUGGAUGCAUGUGUACAAAUUAAAUUCUUAAAGAAAUAGAAUUAAUACUACAAAAUAAAUAAAUAAUUGAAUCACAUGUUAUGCAAUUAUUUAAUCACUUUCCAACAUCAAUAAUUGAAUCACAUGUUAUCACAAUGGGGACUCACUUCACACAGGCUGUAAUAUAUAUUUCCUCUUUUGAGAGACACAACCUGCAAAACCACACAUAGACUGCAAAACCACUACUCUCUAUUGAAAACUGUUGGCUUUCUCUCUCUCAGCUGUAUUGCAUUUAUUUUUAUUAUUUACAAUUAAUUGUUUUGAAACAGUUAAGCAUUAUAAUAAUAAUCUUUUUUUGACUAAUGUACUACUUUAUAUCAUAUUUAUUUAUAUUUAUCACUAGUAUUUAUUUUCCUUUAAUUUUCAUUGAAAGCUUAGCUACCUGCAAACCUGAAUCUCUUUACUACACACAGUACCAACUAUUUGCUUUUUAUCAAUGCUUUUCUCAGUACUUCAAUUAUUCAUUCACAACAUAACCGUUUAUUUUUCUUCAGCCUUAUCUCUUUACUAUAUACACGCUACCAACUAUCCUUAUUCUAAAUCUUCAUAGUUCAGAAAUUCAUUCAAGAUUUAGACAUUUAGUUACAACAUCAUUCCUUGCUACUUUACUUUAACAAUAGAAAAUGGCUGCAACUUUGGUGGGAGGGGCUUUUCUCUCUGCUACUGUUCAGACUUUAGUUGAGAAACUUGCUUCACAAGAGUUUUGUGAUUACAUAAGAAACACCAAGCUGAAUUCCUCGCUGUUUGCAGAGUUGGAAACAACACUGCUCGCUCUUCAGGCGGUGCUGGAUGAUGCAGAACAUAAGCAAAUCACCAACACUGCUGUCAAACAAUGGUUGGAUCAGCUGAAAGAUGCAAUCUAUGAUGCUGAGGAUUUGCUUAACCAAAUCAACUACGACUCCCUGCGAUGUACGGUGGAGAAGAAACAAGCUGAAAACAUGACUAAUCAGGUUUGGAACCUCUUUUCGUCUCCGUUUAAAAAUCUCUAUGGAGAGAUCAAUUCACAAAUGAAGAUUAUGUGUCAAAGGCUGCAGAUUUUUGCACAACAGAGAGAUAUCCUUGGCUUGCAAACUGUGAGCGGGAGAGUUUCUCUAAGAACACCUUCAAGUUCAAUGGUAAAUGAAUCUGUUAUGGUUGGUAGGAAGGAUGAUAAAGAGAGACUCAUUAGUAUGUUGAUAUCUGACAGUGGCACUACCAAUAGUAGUAUUGGUGUGGUUGCAAUUUUGGGUAUGGGCGGUGUUGGCAAAACCACUCUUGCCCAACUUCUUUAUAAUGAUAAAGAAGUUCAAGACCAUUUUGAUCUGAAAGUCUGGGUUUGUGUAUCGGAGGAUUUCGAUAUUCUGAGAGUCACUAAAACCAUUCAUGAAUCUGUCACUUCAAGAGGUGGUGAAAACAAUAAUCUUGAUUUUCUUCGAGUUGAAUUGAAUCAAAACUUGAGGGAUAAAAGAUUUUUGUUAGUGCUGGACGAUCUGUGGAAUGAUAGUUAUAAUGAUUGGGAUGAGUUAGUAACUCCAUUGAUUAACGGCAAAACGGGAAGUAUGGUGAUCAUCACAACACGCCAACAAAAAGUUGCGGAGGUUGCACACACGUUUCCUAUUCACAAAGUAGAUCCUCUAUCAGAUGAUGACUGUUGGUCGUUACUUUCAAAGCAUGCAUUCGGAAGUGAAGACCGUCGAGGUAGAAAGUACCCAAAUCUAGAAGAAAUUGGUAGAAAGAUUGCCAAAAAGUGUGGUGGAUUGCCCAUAGCUGCUAAAACACUCGGAGGAAUUUUGCGUUCAAAGGUAGAUGCAAAAGAGUGGACUGCAAUUCUAAAUAGUGACAUAUGGAACUUACCAAAUGAUAAUAUUUUACCUGCUUUACGUCUAAGUUAUCAAUAUCUUCCCUCACAUUUGAAAAGAUGUUUUGCCUAUUGCUCAAUUUUUCCAAAGGAUUUUCCACUGGACAAGAAGGAAUUGAUUUUGUUAUGGAUGGCAGAAGGCUUCCUAGAGCAUUCUCAACGUAAUAAAACAGCUGAGGAAGUAGGCCAUGACUACUUUAUUGAAUUGUUAUCCAGGUCCUUAAUUCAACAAUCAAAUGAUGAUGGAAAAGAAAAAUUUGUUAUGCACGACCUUGUCAAUGAUUUAGCGUUAGUGGUGUCAGGAACAAGUUGCUUCAGGCUUGAAUGUGGUGGUAACAUGUCUAAAAAUGUUCGUCAUUUGUCAUAUAAUCAAGGAAAUUACGACUUUUUCAAGAAGUUUGAGGUUCUCUACAAUUUCAAGUGCUUGCGAAGCUUCCUACCCAUUAACCUUUUCGGAGGAAGAUACUACUUAUCUAGAAAGGUUGUUGAAGAUUUAAUACCCAAACUCAAACGGUUACGUGUGCUAUCCUUAAAAAAAUAUAAAAACAUCAACCUGCUGCCAGAAUCAGUAGGUAGUUUGGUGGAGUUGAGGUAUUUAGAUCUCUCAUUCACUGGAAUUAAAAGCUUACCUAAUGCAACUUGCAAUCUUUACAAUCUGCAAACCUUGAAUUUAACACGGUGUGAAAACCUCACUGAGUUGCCACCAAAUUUUGGAAAGUUAAUUAACUUACGGCACCUUGAUAUUAGUGAGACAAAUAUAAAGGAGAUGCCAAUGCAAAUUGUUGGACUCAAUAACCUGCAAACAUUAACUGUUUUUUCAGUUGGCAAGCAAGACACCGGGUU
rnacentral:lncRNA from 1 species